UUUUUUUUCGUGAAAUACGGUGGUCUGUCCGGUGGGUCCCAGCAGUCAGGGCAAACGUUUUUUCGCGAAAUACGAUGGUCCGUCCGGUGGGUCCCAGAAGUCAGGGGGAAACAUUUUUUCCGCGAAAUACUAGUGGCCCGUCCGGUGGGUCCCUGCUGUUAGGUGGAGGAAUAAUUAUUUUGCGCGUAAUAAGGAGGCACUUCCUUGCGGCUGCCGUGGACCCAGCUGUCAGCCUCUCCACGUAUAAUUCUCUUUCGAUGGAAGUCGGUCGUUGACCACAUUGACCAUGCCACGCCGAGAGCACCACGGCGGUGGACGACGGCGAGGCCUAAGAAGGGGACGACGCGGAGCCGGGGAAGACGCGACAGUGGAUGCCCACGCGGAGAGGAGUACGAGGGUUCACUGGUUCGGUUGGGGUGUGAGGCUGCCGUCGCCGCAAAAUAACAUGGGGAGUGGGUGAGUGGAGGGAUGGCCUGGCCAGCAGUGGGAGUAGUAUGGGGACGGUGAUGCCUCCGCGGCAGCACAGCCGGCCACGGGAGGCAGGAGCAUGCGGCACGACCGGCACUGCUUUGGGCGGCUGGGGCAAGAAGAACAUAGGUUGAAAAAGCACUACGGCCGUUGGAUGGACAUCGUUGCCCAUGCCGCGCCGAGAGCACCAGGGCGGUGGACGACGGUGAGGCCUACAAAGGGAACGACACGGAGCCGGGGAAGACACGGCAGUGGCUGCCCACGCGGUGGAGAGUAUGACUGGUUCGGCUGCGGUCACCGGAAAAUAACAGGAGGUGUGGGUGAGUAGAGGGAUAGCCAUGCCAGGGAUGCGAGUAUGAUGGGGCCGUGAGGCCUUCCCGGCAGCACUUCUGGCCACGGGAGGCGGGAGCAGGCGGUUCCGACAGCGCUAGUUUGGGUGACUGGGGCAGGAAGAUCAGAGACUGAAGAAGCACGAUUGUCGUUAGAUUGACAUCUAACGGUCUGACGCUGAUAGAGUCGAUUGUUGACCAAGUUUCUUUUUUGAGAAACCUUGUGUACGCAUGAACUUAGUAGACCCACAAGUCAGCCUCCAAAUCUGUGGCAGACAACAUAAAGCCCAUUUACUAUUUUUUAUAAUUUUCAGCCCAUUUGCUAAUUCUGAAGUAAUUUAUUACAACCCAUUUUCUGCCCAGGACCAUGGUCAAAAAGUCCAACCUUAUUUUGCAUAUUUCGGUGGAGUCCGAACUGUUGUAAUCCUGAAAUGGUAAACAUUUUUUAAGAACUUAUUGAUUUGCCAAAAAAUCGUUUUGUUUUUGUAAGCAAAUAAGACGUGGGACAAUUUAGUUGGUUUAAGGGAAAACCAGUGGUAAAAAAAUCAGCGCUGGGUGGGAAAAAACAAUAAAAAUAAGGAUGUAAAUAUGAAAAGGGAAUUUUAUGUGUUUUCAAUAUAAUGAUACGUGUAUAUGAACUAGUAAAACUAUAGGUAGAGAUUAGAAAACGGAUGUAGGACAUGCGUUUCAAGAGGAAAAUAGAACUGGGUUGUGUGUUUGAUUCAGUAAAAAAACUGUCUACGGAUGUUGUAAGACAAAAUAUAACUAAUGCUGGCGGGAAGGAGGCCAGUAGAUACCUGCUGGAUCUUUGUGCCCCUUUGUCGUCAUGGGCUGGGCCUGUUAAAAACAAAACAACCCUGGGUAAUCUACAGCCCAGUUGAAACUUGCUCGACCUGAAAAAACCAUACGUGCUCAAUAAACGAGAGAAUUCUGCAAGUACAGACUGAUAACUGGGAUGCAACAUGGAUAUUGUUUUUUAUCGUGAUAAUAAGUGCAUGCACUUGUUUCGAAAAAAUUGGAGAACUGGGAAUUCGAACAGCGGGUGCUUAUGCUACCCAUCAAAUAAAAAUCAGGUGCCUGAAAAUUCGUUUCGAAACAAAUGAUUCAGCUUUAUAUCCAUGUCGACCCUCGACAUGAUGGUUGGAAGCAAAUUCAAGUUCAUACCAAAAGAUCGUUAACAACAAUACCAACUUGCGGACAACAAGGUAGUACAACUACCAAUACCAAACUAACUUAUAAUCUUUUUACUCCUGGCCCUAGUUUUCGUCUGGUAGAAAAUCUUGCAGAGGACCAGCUCCCGCUCCUUCUCUUGCUCCAGGUCCCCGAGGUGGUACUGGUGCAUCACCCAGUUGGUCCUCUGCUGGUCGAAGUUCUUGUUGGUGUGCAGCACCAGAACCUUUUUUGCUGCCCGUCUGCCGGCCGUUGACCAUCACCGGCAAGGUAUUGCCGAUCUUGUGCCACAUCGCGUGCAUGCCGCACUCCGACUGUAUCUUGCGAUGCGUCCACGCGCCCCUUUUGAACGCCCUGGAAUUGUGCUGGAAGAAAUGCUUCCUUAGGCCACUCAGUGUGAUACAUGCAGUAUUGUGGAAUACAUGUUUUAGUGUACCUAGUUGGCAUUUUCAUAACAUCUUUGGCAUGUUGCAGUCACUUGUUUCACUUUUUAUUAACUGUCAAAUUGUAAUUGCUUCACCAGGUCUGCGUCCAAAAAGAAAAAUAGAGCUAUAAACGAAGGAAUAUGUUUGUGCAAGUAGACGGCUGAUCAGUGUCUUACCUGGAAGUUUCUCAGGUUGGGUGUAACAUAUGUCGUGCUCGCUGUUGAUGGUUGGUAUGAACAAAUCGAUGAGAGAAUGAAAUCUCGCGCUGUCAGCACUCACUUUGGCCUCAAGGUGCUCGAUCAGCUCCUGAUCCGUGGGAUCGAACUUGACGCCAGCCGGCAGCACGGGCCAAUCCUUCUUCGACUUGCAUCGGUAAUUCCAGUUAUAUGGUACUCAAUGUAUGAUCAAUCGACUGUUUUAAGUGAAUGAUGAAAGACUUCGACAGAUAAGUGGUACUCCAAAUCUGAAGUCCAGAAUACCCGAACACGCCGUCGGGAUUCUUGUGUCACCUCACGCGCAGUGUGUUGUCACGUCAAUUCAAUGUGUGGACAUGAUGAAUAAUUUGACCGACGUAUACUAGUACUGCUACUGUACUACUUACUAGUUGUAUUUAGUGUCACAAUUUAUACAUAGGUUUAACUAACAAGUACGCACUUGAAGCCUAACUGAUAUAUAUAUAUAUACUGGCACUAUUCUGAUCCUGGGAUCAGAAUAACUAUUUGGAUCACGAAGCGCCCUAUAAGGCCCGAUCACAUGUUCCCGAGAUUCCAGAAAAUGCUUACCCCAGAAAACGACCCAGUCCCGCACCUCCAGCAGUUCACCCCCAGAUUCCUCCUGCGAUCAGCUCGCCGCCCCGCCAUGGAUCUGCCCCCUCCCCCGCGCCAUGCCUCAAGAUUCGGCAGCCGCGCCGCCAAGGACCCUCGGAUCAGGUGUCAGGACCCCGACUCGAUGUCACAUCGAUCUAGCCGGUAACACCUCAUAUCACUUUGCGGCCUCACGCACGGUAUUCCCCCGGGUGUCGUCUUACCUUUUCCCGGGACCGUUUGCGCCUUUUGGCUCACCUAUAUGAUAGUGUCGCUAGCAUCCAUAUGAUAAGGAGCCCGGGCUGACAUGACUAGUCGUAAACCCAAAGUGGCACAGACUUACAGGGACAGGCAUCCAUGACCCAGCUUCGAACGUGUCGGUCAUCAGCAAGUGGGUCCGGGCUGUAGCACUGGGCUAGCAGGACUCCGGUAAACCGGGCUGUAGCGGGCUAACAGGACUCCGGUACUCAAAGCGUGACAUUUCCCCGAAGGGACAGACACAGGAACGAAGAAGGACACAUGCCGGCCAGCCUAAGUGUUCCAGAGCAGUAGCAAGCUACCAUGGCUCAGCGGUAACACUAGGAGACAUUUCCCGGUAAGAGAGGCUACUAAAGAUAAACAGCUAGAUAGUCAGAUCCCACACAUACCAAGCAUUUCAAUCAUACACACAAUAUGCUCGAUAUGUGCAAUACAACGAAACAUCACAACAUGACUCUACGACACAAGUACUUUAUUUAAGGCUCAGGGAGCCAUACAUAACAUACACCAAGGUACGGGUCUCACGACCCAACAUACAAGUCAUACAGUCAUACAAACCAGCAGCGGGAGUACAUUGUCUGAGUACAGACAACUAGUAAAAUAAAAGAGGCUUGGAAAGCCUAGCUAUACUACGUGGUCCAUCACAAGCUCAGGGUCACCACCUGGGUCUUUAGCCUACUCGUUGAUGUCAACGUCUACAUAGAACCCAUCAGAAGGGGUUGCAGCGUCUUCUGUAAAAUGUAGAUUAUAGCAACAUGAGUACAAAGGUACUCAGCAAGACUUACAUCAGAUCCUACAUACAUGCAUAUUAUCAAGAAGGGUUGGUGGAGUUAUUGCAGCAAGCCAGCUUUGACUCUUGGCUAGACUAUCCUACGAUACUCCAACUUGAAAUGGUUUUGCGCACACGAGUCCACUACUCACCACUUCAAUACACUACCGAGGAUCCACCUCCGUCUUCCUACGGAAGAGCCAUCCUUGGCACUCACACUUAUCUUGAGGCUUUUAGUAGUUUCCAUUUACUUGUCUAUGAACUGUAUAGGCAACCAAGUAGUCCUUUACCGCGGACGCGGCUAUUCGAAUAGAUCAUGUUAACCCUGCAGGGGUGUACUUCUUCAUACAUGUUUCCACCACUUAGCGUCUGCACACGACAUGUGCUCGGCAGACUUCAAGCGAAAGCCGACGUGGGUGUAGACCACGACCUACCUAAACACUUAAGCCUCUAGUCCAGGUUUAUCGCCUAUUCAGGUUCCAUCCGCAGGGAGUCCGGCCGAGGUUUCCCAUACGGCCCCGAACGAUGUGAACAGGGUUCCCGAGAUACCUAACGGGUAUUUGGUACACCGUGCCACGUACCUACCGCAUCACAGCCCACCCCUACAGUCAGCGCUGUCCACGGCCUCCAGUAGGCUACAAACACCAGAAACUACUUGCAACUCCUGGACAGAGAGCUAGGGUGAAUAAGAAGUCGAGCGGGGUCAUAUUUCAGGGCCCAAUGCAUGGUAGUAGCUGUAUCUUAAAUCACAUAUACAGAUCUCAGUGCUUAAGGUCGGCUUCAAUGAAACAACCCACCAUGUACUCCUACAUGGCCUCUCAUCGAUACCUUUACCAAAUCGUGUUCACCACACCACUCUCAUUACCGACAUAAUCAUUUCACUCCAGCACAUCACCCAGAUGAACCAGACCUGACACGACUCUAAGCAUAGCAGGCAUAGCAAGGUAGGAACAACACAUACAUAGGGCUCAAUCAACUUCUACACAUGCUAGUGGGUUUCAUCUAGUUACUGUGGCAAUGACAGGUCAUGCAGAGGAAAUGGGUUCAACUACCGUAGCACACAGCAGUUUGAAUCGCGUUGUCUUAAUGCAGUAAAAGAGAGCAGGAGCGAGAACAUGGGAUUGUAUCGAUAUGAUCAAAUGGUUGGUUGCUUGCCUGAUGGUUCGAUGCACUGAUACGGUUCUUCGUUAGGGUAAUCACGGUACUCCUCGGAGGCAGAACCUGUCGCAAAGGACACCGAUACACAACCAUCACCAAACAAUGUGCAACAAUAUGAUGCAUGCAUGAAACAUAGUAAUAUGAGUGUGUUGGGCUAAUGCAACUAAAACCAGAAGGGUUUGAACAAAUUUGAAUCAAAGAUUCAAAUUUCAAACUCAAACAUGGUCUCUUUAAGUGCUUAUCCUUGUUCUGCUUAAAACAUCAAUUUAACUUGUUUGAUCAUGCAUGAAAAUAGUACAGAUGGAUAGAUUGGAUUUUUCUGAUCAUUUUUCAUAUAUAAUUUGUCCAAUUUGGAGUUACAGAAUAAAAGUUAUGAAUUUUUGAAGUUUAAAUAAUAUUCUGGAAUUUCCUGAUUAAAAUUAAAUCCAGAAAUUAUAAUUAUUGCGCCAGCAUGACGUCAGCAUGACGUCAGUGGUCAACUGCGGCUGGCUGAAGUCAAACCUGACGUGUGGGGGCCACACGUCAGUGACAGGGGGGUUUAACAGGUUUAAUUUAAUCCUAAUUACUAAUUAGUGGCGCUGGGGCCCACUAGUUAGUGUCAGGGGGUUAACUAACAGUGGUUAGCACUAAUCCUAAUUAGCUACAGGGCUGGGCCCACCUGUCAGGGACUCAGGGGGUGUCCUGCCGUGGUCAAGGUGGGUCAAACCCACCGGCGACGUGACGCCGGCGAGGCCCGAGACGGCGGCGCGACGCGGGAUCGCGCUACAGGGCACGGGCGAGGCCGUGCUUGGGCUCGUUGGAAAGCUCUUGCUCCCGUGCGUCGAACGGUGGCCGUGGCUGGGCCUGGGGUGGCCGGAGUCGACGGCGGCGAGCUCGGCUGCGGCCGCCGGAGUUCGGGUGCGGUCGGGAUCUAUGUUGCAAGGGGUUAGGGGAGGUGUUGGUGCGUGCUACGUGCUCCUGGUGAGGUGUGGAGCACGAUAGUGUGCUCGGUUGGGUGCUACGGUAACCGUGGCCACGACGGCGACAUCGCCGGCGGCGUGGAGCUCUCGGCCAAGGUGGGGCUAGGGCCUAGAGGUCGGGAGAGACCAGGGAAGAAGGGGAAAACGAUCCGGGGGCUCACCGCGGAGCUGCAGGGAUGGUUAGCGGGCUCGGGGACGCGCUGGAGACGACGAAUUCGACGGCGACGAUGGUCGGAGCCCGAAGAGGGGAACGGCGACGUGGCGGCGAUGCAGGGCUUCUGGAGGACCGUGGAGCGGUGGGGAGGAAGAGGGGGUCGUGGCGGAGCUUCUGAGCUAGUCGGGGGAGCGAGGGGUGGCCGGAGACGGCUGCUGUGGCGAACGGCGGCGACGGUGGUGUUCGGCCGUGUGAGAGAGAGAGCGAGGGAGAGGAGGGAAGAGCCGGGGGAGAGUGAGAGAGAGCAGGGGGGAGGUGUGGCGUCGUCCAGGGGCAUCGAGGCGAGGAGAGGGAGGGCAGGCAGGCAGGGAGAGAGGUGGCGUGGCGCGGUGGCGCGCGCGCGCGCCGGCCACACUCCCCUCCCUCUGUCGGGACGAAGACGACAGAGGAGGGAGAUGGGUUGGGCCGGCUGCUGGCUGGGCCGGCCAGCUGGCUGGGCCGGCCAGCUGGCUGGGCUGCACAGGGAGGAGCCCAGGUAAGCUUCUCCCUUUUUUAAUUAUUUCUGUUUUCUAAUUUCUGACAUUUGUUUUGAUUUAAAUAAAAUAUUAAAUCAUUUUAUUUCCUUAUGCCAAUUUUUGCAGGGGCUAGAUAUAUUAUUUCAGAGCUCCUUUAUAAAUGGCAUAAUAUUUGGACAUAUAUUAAUAUAUAUAAUUAAUAUAUUUCCAAAGCAAAUAUUUAUGCAUUAAUUCCAAAUGCCCAAAAUAAAUACCUAUGAGCUCUCAAAAAUAUUGGUUUGAUUAUUAUCUCUGUCCAAUAUUUUCAGAGAGCAACAUGAGCAUUUUCUUGGACCCUUUUGGAGAAAUUUUUAUUUGGGUCAUUUUCAAAAUGAUUCUGAGGGUUUCACAGAUCCCCAUUUCAAAUUAAAUGGAAUUUUAAACAUGAUGCACACACUCUGAUGCAUGACUAGCUAGGGUGUGACAACUCACCCCCACUCAAAAGAAUCUCGUCCCGAGAUUUGGGUUCCUCCGGGAAGAAGGCGGGAUACUCGAGUCGAAGACGAUCCUCCCUUUCCCAAGUUGCUUCAUCCUCAGAAUGGUGCGACCAUUGUACUUUGAGGAACUUGAUGUUCUGACGUCGGGUGAUACGUUCGGCCUGAUCGAGGAUACGAACGGGGUACUCUCGAUAUGUAAGAUUAUCUUGAAGAUCAAGCGUUUCGUGGUCCACUUCACGGAUAGGGUCCGAGAAGCAACGCCUGAGUUGAGAAACGUGGAAGACAUCGUGGACUCUGGAGAGGUGCGGAGGUAGUUCCAACUGGUAGGCAACUUCUCCUCGUUUGGCGAGAAUGCGAAAAGGUCCAAUGUAACGAGGAGCCAAUUUGCCCUUGAUACCGAAACGAUGGGUUCCCUUCAGAGGGGUGACCCGAAGAUAAGCCUUCUCGUCAACCUCAAAAGUCAUAGCCUUAUGCUUUCGGUCAUAUUGACUCUUUUGACGGGAUUGGGCUGUUUUCAACUUUUCACGAACGAUACGAACUUGUUCUUCUGCUUCCUGAAUCAUAUCCGGGCCAAAGAAUUGUCUUUCCCCGGUCUCUGACCAGUUAAGGGGUGUUCGACACCGUCGUCCAUAGAGAACUUCAAAAGGGGCUUUACCCAAGCUAGAUUGAUAGCUGUUGUUGUAAGCGAAUUCGGCAAAUGGAAGGCACUUCUCCCAGUCCAUUCCGAAUGAGAUAACAGAGGCUCGAAGCAUGUCUUCUAGAAUUUGGUUGACGCGUUCCACUUGACCACUCGACUGAGGGUGGAAAGCGGUGCUAAAGGAGAGACGGGUUCCCAUAGCAUUUUGGAAACUUUCCCAAAAUCGAGAGGUGAAAAGACUUCCUCGAUCCGACUUAAUUUCCAAAGGAACACCAUGGAGAGACACUAUUCGGGAGAUGUACAACUCUGCCAGCUGACUAGCGGUUAUACUCUCACGAACAGGUAAGAAAUGGGCUACUUUGGAAAGACGAUCGACCACGACGAAAAUAGCAUUAUUCCCUCUCUUGGUCCUGGGAAAACCGGUAAUGAAAUCCAUACCAAUUUUAUCCCAUUUCCAUUCAGGAAUAGCUAAGGGUUGAAGGGUGCCCGCAGGCCGUUGGUGCUCUGCUUUUACACGACGACAGACGUCGCAAUUAGCAAUAAACUGAGCAAUUUCUCUCUUCAUCCUAGUCCACCAGAACCUCUGGCGUAGGUCCUGAUACAUCUUAGUACUACCGGGAUGAAUGGUGAGAGGAGAUUCAUGAGCUUCAUGAAGGAUUAACUGCCGUAGAUGCUGGUUCUUGGGAACCACUAGACGGUUCUCAAAGUACACAACACCAUGAUCAUUUGUGGAGAAACAACUAGCACCUCCGCUAGCAAUGUUCUCUUUGAUUUUAGAUAUUCCCUUAUCUCGCUUUUGGGCAGCAAUGAUUUGAUCCGUAAGAGUAGGUUUUGCCACCAAGGUGGAAAGAAAACCUUGAGGUACAAUGUGAAGGUUAAGCUUCCGAAAUUCCUCAUGGAGAAGCGGUUGACUUUGUUGUAACAUCAGGUUGUUACAAUAAGAUUUACGACUUAGCGCAUCAGCCAUGACGUUGGCUUUCCCUGGGGUGUAGGUUAUUCCUAAGUCGAAGUCUGUGAUCAAUUCAACCCAACGUCUCUGCCUGAGAUUCAAAUCCGGUUGGGUGAAAAUGUACUUCAGACUUUGGUGAUUAGUGAAUAUUUCGCAACGAUUACCGAGGAGGUAAUGUCGCCAGGUCUUAAGUGCAUAGACUACGGCUGCAAGCUCUAGAUCAUGAGUAGGAUAAUUCUCCUCAUGUGGGUGCAAUUGUCGUGAAGCGUAAGCAAUUACGUGUCGAUCUUGCAUAAGAAUGCAACCUAGUCCUUGUCGCGAGGCGUCGCAGUAGAUAACAAAGUCCUUGGAAAAGUCUGGCGGUACCAGUACGGGAGCAGAGGUCAGGCGUCUUUUCAGUUCCUGAAAACUGUGCUCACACUGUGGAGUCCACUCGAACUUUUUAUCUUUCUUGAGGAGUUCGGUUAGAGGUUUAGCAACUUUGGAGAAGUUCUCGACGAAGCGACGACAAUAACUCGCUAAGCCCAGAAAACUCCGAACUUGCUUGACCGAUUCAGGUGGAGUCCAAUUAAGGACAGCUUGAACUCGCUCAGGGUUAACAGCAAUACCUUUACCAGAUAUUACAUGACCCAGAUAGGUCACUUCUGACAACCAGAAUUCACAUUUAGAAAAUUUGGCAUAAAGGCGAUGCUCUCGAAGUUUUCUUCAACACUAGCCUUAAAUGUUCGGCAUGUUCUUCCUCGUUCUUGGAAUAGAUGAGUAUAUCAUAGAGGUAAACUACGACGAAUUUAUCCAAAUACUCCAUUAAGAUUGAGUUCAUUAACCGAGAAAAGGUGGCUGGAGCGUUGGUUAAACCGAAGGACAUGACGGUGUACUCGUAUUGGCCAUAACGAGUAACAAAGGCCGUUUUAGGAAUGUCCCCGUUUCUGAUUUUGAUUUGAUGGUAGCCCAACCUCAAAUCCAUCUUGGAGAAGACUGAGGAUCCAGCGAGUUGAUCGUACAGGUCGUUGAUCCUGGGAAGCGGAUAUUUGUUCUUGAUUGUGACCAAAUUGACAGGUCGGUAAUCUACAACCAUCCGGUCCGUACCAUCCUUCUUCUUGACGAAUAGGACGGGGCAAGCCCACGGAGAUGAACUAGGGCGGAUGAAACCCUUUUUCAAGGACUCAUCGAGUUGUUUCUUAAGCUCGGCUAGUUCUAGGGGUGCCAUCUUAUAAGGUCUUCUAGCAAUCGGAACGGUUCCUGGAAUGAGAUCUAUUACGAACUCAACAUCCCUGUCAGGUGGAACACCUGGCAAUUCCUCUGGGAAGACAUCCGGGAAGUCACAGACUACCGGCACGUCCUCAAGGUCUGGCAAAGGGCUGGCGUUAAGAGAAUAUAAUUGUCGCUUGGCUAUUCGGGUCAAGACAUUGACUAUCUUCCCGGAAGGAUGGGUGAGUUGAACAGUCCUAGAGAAGCAAUCAAUUUUGGCUUGAUGAGCUGACAUCCAGUCCAUACCCAAAAUGAUAUUAAUAUCUGAAGAUUUAAGGGCUAUCAAAGAUGCGAGAAAAACAAGUCUGUCGACUUGGAUUUCAUUUCCAUGGCUUACUCUAGAAGUUUGCCAUUUGGAUCCCGGAGUUUGAAUUACCAUAGAGGUUGGCAUAUCACCGAAUGCGACGUUAUGCAAGCGAGCAUAGUUUUCAGAUAUAAAAGAAUGAGAGGCUCCGGUAUCGAAAAGAACAGAUGCCGGGUGGCAAUUAACAAGAAGCGUACCGAGAACGACGUUGGGAUCCUCUUGAGCUUCUUCGGCAGAGAUACAGUUAACAUGGCCACGUGAAGCGGUGACCGGCUUGGCGUGGAAUAUUUUUCCUGUCGGCUUGCCACGGCCAACAGCUUUAGCAGACUGGUUGGGGUUGGUCUGGGGACACUCACGCAUAUAGUGACCAGAUUCCCCACACUUGAAACAAGUCACGGAACUGGUACGUGGAGGGGCAUUAUUGAUUGGACCCCCAUAGGGCUUGGCUGGAGCAGACUGUUGAACGGGGCGAGGCGCCUGGAAAGAUGGCCUCGGUGUGAACCUGGGUGGCAGGGCGGUGUUGGGUACCCACACGCGGCGCUUCUGAGGACCAGCACCGGAUGAGGAACCCAUAUCACGGCCAUGCUUGCGUGUUGCGUCAUAGUCAGUCUGACCAGUUUCAGCACUGAUGGCUUUGUUGACAAGUUUCUGAAAAGAUGUGCACUCAUGCAGACGGAGAUCGCGGCGAAGCUCGGGACUAAGGCCCUUACGGAACCUUGCUUGCUUCUUGGCGUCAGUAGACACUUCCUCAGUUGCAUAUCGGGCGAGAUUACCAAACUCCCUGCUAUAGGCAUCCACAGAAAGUCGGCCUUGGGUGAAACUGCAAAAUUCUUCACGUUUACGGUCCAUGAGACCCUCCGAAAUGUGAUGUUCACGGAAAGCCUCGCUGAACUCAGCCCAAGUAGUGACAUGGCCCGCUGGGCGCAUAGCUCCAUAAUUCUCCCACCAUAGACUGGCGGGGCCUUCAAUAUGAUAUGCAGCAAAGGUGACCUUGUCAGCCUCCGCUACCAGCGCGGAACAUGGUUUGUGAGAGAUACUGCGAAGCCAGUCAUCAGCGUCGAGAGGCUCGACGGAGUGGUGGAAUGUGGGUGGAUGCAAUUUGAUAAAAUCACUGAGUGACACCACGUUAGUCCUCUGAUGGUGUGCAGUAUUCUGUUCAAUACGCUCCAACAAACGGUUGGUCUCCCGCUUGUUUCUCUCAGCUUCCAUCAUAACCUCGGCUAGUGAAGGAGGAUGAGGCAGAUUUGCAUCCCUGGCUUCACUGCCUUCGGCCUGCUCUUGGGAAGCAGGGUUAGCGCGCGUGUUGACCAUCCUAGGUAACAAGACAAUGAUUUAGUCAGGAUGAUAAAAUUCCGACAUAGGAUAUAAAAUGUAAGGUAUAACUCGAAAUGCAAGAUGAUCAUCCGUAUGACAUGGUAAAUACAGAAACUGCUUCUUUAUUCCAUCGUCAUACACACCAUACAGGGUUUAGUACAAGACCAAACAAAGUACUAUUACGGUGAAAGAGGAUUACAUCUUAUCGAAGGCAUCCCAAGCUCCUAUACAUUAUUUUUCUACACCUCCGGAAAGAGUACAAACUAGGUCAUAUCCCACGAGUCACGCGGGACGAUAGACGACACAGCUAGUGCGAACUAGUGAUACUACCACUAACUCAGACCGAUCCGUAGUAGUCCUCGUAAAAGUCACCUCCAUAGCCUGGAAGCUCAACAUGAUCAUCCGGAAACAGACGAUCCCGCGGAGCUUGUGGACCAUAGGGGCUAGGAUGAGGCCUUGGACCAACAAACGGUGGCCUGCGGGGACCGCGAGGUGGGGUGAUGCCUCCUACAUCACGCCAAACCAUCACGUCCGGCAAAGCAGAUCUCACAGGAUAGAGAUCGCGCAUAUCCGAAUAUCCAGCUUGCACCGCCGGUGCGAACCGAGUCAAAGUGGCCCAGUGGUCAGCACGGGUAUUGAAGAGCUCUAACCUUAAGGCCCGAUUUUCACGGUCCUUAUCCUCGAGCAUCUCAGCAGUGGUGCGAGUCCGUGAAUCCUCCUGAGUGGGGUCAGCAUAGAUAGCCUGGAGAUACCCUUGUGCUCCCGGAAGUGAUCCUGGCAUAUACCGGAAAUCAGAGUCCCGAAAUAGACCAGAUCUGACUCGCAUGAUGGUCAUCAUAGAGUAGGCGGCGUCCUGCACAGCCAUCUCAAUAGUAACCCCGAGUCCAUAGGAGCAGUGAAGAGGCUCGGUGGAUCCAGGAUAAGAUGGAAAUAUCCUGACAGUGCAGAGAUACUGGCUUUGAUUAAAAUCUCGGAAUUGCUCUUCGACCGUGUACUCGGGAUACCAGCGGUAUCCAGCCUCAGUCAUUACCCUGACCAACUUAGCAGUAUGGCCGGGUACAUCUAGGCAUCAAUUCAGGCGAACCACUUGAUUGAGGUCGCGAGUGGCCAUCUGAAAGCACAAUCAUAAUGCAAAGGCAUUAGAAUUUCUAGCAAAAUUUCGGCAGCAUAACAGCUGUAAAUGCUCAAAAAGGAUUUUGAGACAUUUGACAAAGGAUUUCGUACAUACUCAACAUCAUCAUAUCAAAGUUCUGAAACCAUUCUAACAACAUAAGGUGGUAGUAGAACUGAACUAGGCUUGUAACCAUCAAACUUAUAAGGUACUACUGAUUAGUAACUCGUGAUCCUGAUAGAGAGAACAGAUCCUAAUUCCUUAACCCCCGGUGGAAGAAUGGACUGACUCAGAUCAGAAAGUCACAAGAUAAAGGAGUAAAAAGAGCCUUACAUUCCAACCCACAAACAAUUCCCUUACAUAUAACUAAAGAAUUUCUAGACUCAACAUCGACCAGUUUGGCUUGGAGAACCUACAGGCAGUCCGGCUCUGAUGCCAACGCUGUCAGGACCCCGACUCGAUGUCACAUCGAUCUAGCCGGUAACACCUCAUAUCACUUUGCGGCCUCACGCACGGUAUUCCCCCGGGUGUCGUCUUACCUUUUCCCGGGACCGUUUGCGCCUUUUGGCUCACGUAUAUGAUAGUGUCGCUAGCAUCCAUAUGAUAAGGAGCCCGGGCUGACAUGACUAGUCGUAAACCCAAAGUGGCACAGACUUACAGGGACAGGCAUCCAUGACCCAGCUUCGAACGUGUCGGUCAUCAGCAAGUGGGUCCGGGCUGUAGCACUGGGCUAGCAGGACUCCGGUAAACCGGGCUGUAGCGGGCUAACAGGACUCCGGUACUCAAAGCGUGACAUUUCCCCGAAGGGACAGACACAGGAACGAAGAAGGACACAUGCCGGCCAGCCUAAGUGUUCCAGAGCAGUAGCAAGCUACCAUGGCUCAGCGGUAACACUAGGAGACAUUUCCCGGUAAGAGAGGCUACUAAAGAUAAACAGCUAGAUAGUCAGAUCCCACACAUACCAAGCAUUUCAAUCAUACACACAAUAUGCUCGAUAUGUGCAAUACAACGAAACAUCACAACAUGACUCUACGACACAAGUACUUUAUUUAAGGCUCAGGGAGCCAUACAUAACAUACACCAAGGUACGGGUCUCACGACCCAACAUACAAGUCAUACAGUCAUACAAACCAGCAGCGGGAGUACAUUGUCUGAGUACAGACAACUAGUAAAAUAAAAGAGGCUUGGAAAGCCUAGCUAUACUACGUGGUCCAUCACAAGCUCAGGGUCACCACCUGGGUCUUUAGCCUACUCGUUGAUGACAACGUCUACAUAGAACCCAUCAGAAGGGGUUGCAGCGUCUUCUGUAAAAUGUAGAUUAUAGCAACAUGAGUACAAAGGUACUCAGCAAGACUUACAUCAGAUCCUACAUACAUGCAUAUUAUCAAGAAGGGUUGGUGGAGUUAUUGCAGCAAGCCAGCUUUGACUCUUGGCUAGACUAUCCUACGAUACUCCAACUUGAAAUGGUUUUGCGCACACGAGUCCACUACUCACCACUUCAAUACACUACCGAGGAUCCACCUCCGUCUUCCUACGGAAGAGCCAUCCUUGGCACUCACACUUAUCUUGAGGCUUUUAGUAGUUUCCAUUUACUUGUCUAUGAACUGUAUAGGCAACCAAGUAGUCCUUUACCGCGGACGCGGCUAUUCGAAUAGAUCAUGUUAACCCUGCAGGGGUGUACUUCUUCAUACAUGUUUCCACCACUUAGCGUCUGCACACGACAUGUGCUCGGCAGACUUCAAGCGAAAGCCGACGUGGGUGUAGACCACGACCUACCUAAACACUUAAGCCUCUAGUCCAGGUUUAUCGCCUAUUCAGGUUCCAUCCGCAGGGAGUCCGGCCGAGGUUUCCCAUACGGCCCCGAACGAUGUGAACAGGGUUCCCGAGAUACCUAACGGGUAUUCGGUACACCGUGCCACGUACCUACCGCAUCACAGCCCACCCCUACGGUCAGCGCUGUCCACGGCCUCCAGUAGGCUACAAACACCAGAAACUACUUGCAACUCCUGGACAGAGAGCUAGGGUGAAUAAGAAGUCGAGCGGGGUCAUAUUUCAGGGCCCAAUGCAUGGUAGUAGCUGUAUCUUAAAUAAAAUAUACAGAUCUUAGUGCUUAAGGUCGGCUUCAAUGAAACAACCCACCAUGUACUCCUACAUGGCCUCUCAUCGAUACCUUUACCAAAUCGUGUUCACCACACCACUCUCAUUACCGACAUAAUCAUUUCACUCUAGCCCAUCACCCAGAUGAACCAGACCUGACACGACUCUAAGCAUAGCAGGCAUAGCAAGGUAGGAACAACACAUACAUAGGGCUCAAUCAACUCCUACACAUGCUAGUGGGUUUCAUCUAGUUACUGUGGCAAUGACAGGUCAUGCAGAGGAAAUGGGUUCAACUACCGUAGCACACAGCAGUUUGAAUCGCGUUGUCUUAAUGCAGUAAAAGAGAGCAGGAGCGAGAACAUGGGAUUGUAUCGAUAUGAUCAAAUGGUUGGUUGCUUGCCUGAUGGUUCGAUGCACUGAUACGGUUCUUUGUUAGGGUAAUCACGGUACUCCUCGGAGGCAGAACCUGUCGCAAAGGACACCGAUACACAACCAUCACCAAACAAUGUGCAACAAUAUGAUGCAUGCAUGAAACAUAGCAAUAUGAGUGUGUUGGGCUAAUGCAACUAAAACCAGAAGGGUUUGAACAAAUUUGAAUCAAAGAUUCAAAUUUCAAACUCAAACAUGGUCUCUUUAAGUGCUUAUCCUUGUUCUGCUUAAAACAUCAAUUUAACUUGUUUGAUCAUGCAUGAAAAUAGUACAGAUGGAUAGAUUGGAUUUUUCUGAUCAUUUUUCAUAUAUAAUUUGUCCAAUUUGGAGUUACAGAAUAAAAGUUAUGAAUUUUUGAAGUUUAAAUAAUAUUCUGGAAUUUCCUGAUUAAAAUUAAAUCCAGAAAUUAUAAUUAUUGCGCCAGCAUGACGUCAGCAUGACGUCAGUGGUCAACUGCGGCUGGCUGAAGUCAAACCUGACGUGUGGGGGCCACACGUCAGUGACAGGGGGGUUUAACAGGUUUAAUUUAAUCCUAAUUACUAAUUAGUGGCGCUGGGGCCCACUAGUCAGUGUCAGGGGGUUAACUAACAGUGGUUAGCACUAAUCCUAAUUAGCUACAGGGACUGGGCCCACCUGUCAGGGACUCAGGGGGUGUCCUGCCGUGGUCAAGGUGGGUCAAACCCACCGGCGACGUGACGCCGGCGAGGCCCGAGACGGCAGCGCGACGCGGGAUCGCGCUACAGGGCACGGGCGAGGCCGUGCUUGGGCUCGUUGGAAAGCUCUUGCUCCCGCGCGUCGAACGGUGGCCGUGGUUGGGCCUGGGGUGGCCGGAGUCGACGGCGGCGAGCUCGGCUGCGGCCGCCGGAGUUCGGGUGCGGUCGGGAUCGAUGUUGCAAGGGGUUAGGGGAGGUGUUGGUGCGUGCUACAUGCUCCUGGUGAGGUGUGGAGCACGAUAGUGUGCUCGGUUGGGUGCUACGGUGACCGUGGCCACGACGGCGACAUCGCCGGCGGCGUGGAGCUCUCGGCCAAGGUGGGGCUAGGGCCUAGAGGUCGGGAGAGACCAGGGAAGAAGGGGAAAACGAUCCGGGGGCUCACCGCGGAGCUGCAGGGAUGGUUAGCGGGCUCGGGGACGCGCUCGAGACGACGAAUUCGACGGCGACGAUGGCCGGAGCCCGAAGAGGGGAACAGCGACGUGGCGGCGAUGCAGGGCUUCUGGAGGACCGUGGAGCGGUGGGGAGGAAGAGGGGGUCGUGGCGGAGCUUCUGAGCUAGUCGGGGGAGCGAGGGGUGGCCGGAGACGGCUGCUGUGGCGAACGGCGGCGACGGUGGUGUUCGGCCGUGUGAGAGAGAGAGCGAGGGAGAGGAGGGAAGAGCCGGGGGAGAGUGAGAGAUAGCAGGGGGGAGGCGUGGCGUCGUCCAGGGGCAUCGAGGCGAGGAGAGGGAGGGCAGGCAGGCAGGGAGAGAGGUGGCGUGGCGCGGUGGCGCGCGCGCGCGCCGGCCACACUCCCCUCCCUCUGUCGGGACGAAGACGACAGAGGAGGGAGAUGGGCUGGGCCGGCUGCUGGCUGGGCCGGCCAGCUGGCUGGGCUGCACAGGGAGGAGCCCAGGUAAGCUUCUCCCUUUUUUAAUUAUUUCUGUUUUCUAAUUUCUGACAUUUGUUUUGAUUUAAAUAAAAUAUUAAAUCAUUUUAUUUCCUUAUGUCAAUUUUUGCAGGGGCUAGAUAUAUUAUUUCAGAGCUCCUUUAUAAAUGGCAUAAUAUUUGGACAUAUAUUAAUAUAUAUAAUUAAUAUAUAUCCAAAGCAAAUAUUUAUGCAUUAAUUCCAAAUGCCCAAAAUAAAUACCUAUGAGCUCUCAAAAAUAUUGGUUUGAUUAUUAUCUCUGUCCAAUAUUUUCAGAGAGCAACAUGAGCAUUUUCUUGGACCCUUUUGGAGAAAUUUUUAUUUGGGUCAUUUUCAAAAUGAUUCUGAGGGUUUCACAGAUCCCCAUUUCAAAUUAAAUGGAAUUUUAAACAUGAUGCACACACUCUGAUGCAUGACUAGCUAGGGUGUGACAUCAGGCGGCCGCGCGGCCACCGGUCUUGGAUCCGGCCACCGCACUGCCUGCCUUUGCUCCUCCCUAGUCCGUCUCCAUGCCCGCACAAGGGGAUGCCAAGCCCCUCGUGCUCCUCCAUCGGCAGCCACCAGAUGGUCUCCCGCGCACCUUCCCUUCCUCUCUUCUUCUCCUUCUCACUCACACCCUCUCUCUCUCUGUUCUCCGCAGGUACAUGCCAUGGUCAUCAUGGAUAGCAGCCACGCAGUAGGAGCUCGCCAUCAAAGUCCCCCGAGCACCGUUCACCCCAAAUCUGGCCGGGAACCGGACGAGGCAGAGCCCUCGCGCCCAGAUCUGCCGCAGCCAUGUAGAAGUUCGCCGCCGCCACCUCGGGUGGUUCAACUGACGUGCCCCGCUUCUGGCACCACCUGCCGGGACGACCACCACCCCUCCCUCAUCUUGCUGCAGGUGACCUUCCUCCUCCUACUGAAGCUGACCUUCCUCCCUCCUGCUGCUUCCUCCUGCCGUCUUGGAUGAUUUAAUUGCGUCACAUUCUGCUCGUUCAAUUCUGCAUCGGCGUAUCACAUAGAGAAGUUUGACCCAAACAAUCGCUUCAGCUCGACGUCAAUGAGAGCUCCUCAUUUGUUCUAGCUAUGGAAUUAUGCAGCCCCUACUAGUUGCUGCCAUGCCAAUGAGAGCUGAUUGAAGCCUUUUUUUAGACGUUUGUUGAGUAGCUGCGUUCAGAGAAGAAGCCAUUCAUACCAUUUGUGGGUUGAGUCGUCGUCUGCUGUGUUCUGCAUAGGGAGGAGGAUAAUAUGGAGGGCGCAUGUGGAUAAUGUCUGGAUUUCAUUAGAGAAAACAGAGGAGGCCUCUCCUCUCAGUCCCGCUUUAUAUAGAAAGCUAAACCACACCAUCUGCUGGGAGCUUGGGAUUACCAACCAUUGUAUUGCUCUUCAACUAGUUAUAUUCGACCCCAUUGUUUAUUUAUCCAAGCUAGGCCCUGUGCAUAGCCAGCGUUGUCUAAGUACUGCAGUCUGUUCCUCGUCUGAAGAGCGAGUUGUUGUGGCGACAGAAGGAUCAGUUCAGUUCUAUUGCUUUAUCUGGAUCCUGAUAGCAUAUUAACAACAAUAUUGGUCUUUCUUCUGUCUUGAACAGAUGGAGUUCUGCAUCUGCCUGCUGCUCACCAUCCUCGGCUAUAUCCCCGGCAUCAUCUACGCGGUGUACGUGCUCGUCGUGCUCGGCUCAGAGGAGCGUGAUAGGGACUACGACACCCUUGCCUGAUAAUCCUGCAAUAGUUUGUGAUUGUGUGAUGAACCGCUUGCCCAGUUGUGAAUCGACUUUGUGUGUUUCCAUCUAGACUGUCUGGCAUGCCUUUUUUAUGUCAAUCUGUAAAUGCUUAAACCGUCCUCUGGUUUCCCCAUCCUGUAAUUAUGAUACAACCGAAUAAAUUUCAGCUCCGAAGAUUUAUGCCAGUGGUUACGUGAAUUGGUGAGCAGGGUUAUGUAACAACAGUUACUAUCUGAGGAUUUCCUGCCACUGUCGUUGUGUGGCGAUCUUUCUUCAGUCCGACUUAAUUUUGUGUACUGUAUGUACACUUAAUUGCUGAUGGGCACGGAUUUUGCCUGAUUUUGCUUUACUUCUUUACUGAUGGUGCUUCGAUUCAGCGCCUCCUCUCGGUGGAAUCUGAUGCUCAGAAUCAGCAACAAACAAAACUAACAUUGAUUCAAUUCUGCACCGGCGUAUCACAUAGAGAAGUUUGACCCAAACAAUCGCUUCAGUUCGACGUCGCGGCAUGGUGCAGCUUUGUUAUGCUAUUUUCAUGUUCUGACAAAAGAUGUUGUUUUUUUUGUAGAUUUGUACCCAUAAAGUUCAAAAAUAUAACAGAGAGAAGGAGCAUGUAUGCGUGUGUGUGAUGGUGAGGUUGACGUUCAGAAAACGUCAUGGAGAGGUUCAAAUUCUGUGUUUGCUAUUUUCUAUUUUGUGUUUUUGAAGUUCAAAUUCUGGUGUUGGAGAGUUCAGUCCAUCAUGCGUGACAAGAUCAUUAUUUUGAGAUGAAAAAAAUGUUUCUCUUGCUCAUCUCCCUACCCCCCAUAGUACUCUACAUGAGAAUGGUGCAACAUUCAAAUAUGUUUUCGAGUAAAGAAGAAUGAAAAAUAUAAUGUGAAGAAUGAAAAACGUUGCUGCUCCUCUUCGAAACCAACUCAAUAACAUCGAUCUAAAAAGCAGACGACCGCCUUCUGCUACUACUACCGACCGAUGCUCGCUACACAACGCGCUGACGAGCCCCUGCACCCAUGUCGCCAUCUCAAAAAAAGGAUACAGAGAAUGCAAUGUUUGUCUUGUACUACUAUGCUCAAUUUUUUAUUUGUGAAGGUCAAGAUGUUGUGUUCAAGAAGGACAAGUGUGUUAUGUGUAUUUCAACAAGAUCAAAUAAUUUAAACAUGCAAGGAAAAACAUGGGAGAUUUGUGAUUUUUUAGAACUCGAAGUGACAAACAAAUUUAAAAGAGCACAAACAAAAUUUAAGUCUAGAAAAAUCACUUCAAAACAUUAACAAGAAAAAGAAUGUUAUCUUUGUUCUCGAACGCAAAAACAAAAUUUUAAAAAAGGGAUUUUCACCGUUUCUAAAUAGAAAAAUUCAGAGUUUGAUGUUUAUAGGAAAUUCAGAGUUUCCUUAUUAUUAAAUAAUGAAAAAAAGAAGUUCAAAAAUAAAAAAACAAGAAGUUCAAAAUUUAAAAAUAGAGCGGUUCAAAAUUUAUAAAAAGGGAUUUUCACCGUUUCUAAAUAGAAAAAUUCUAGAAGUUCUAUUUUAAAUAACAAACCGGUUCAAUUUUUGAAAAUAGAAUAGUUCAAUGUAUAUGAAAAACUUUAGAUUUUACUCAUUACUAAAUAAUAAUGAGUGAAAUUCAAGUAGACAUGCCGAGAAGUUCAAGUUCUUCAUGCGAUGCAUUUUCGAAGAAUCUAUUUCGCGAUAAAAGCAGAAUGAAUGAUCUCGCCGUUUUCGAAAUUACUUCAAAAUGGAUAGGAAUCAGAGAAAACCAUCAACAUGAAAAAGUUUCGCAUUUUCCAUAGCUUUUCAAUGGUAUAUUAUUUGCUACAUUCCGAUAAAGUUUGUAGAAAUUAUGGCAAAAUAGGUUUUUAUGAAACUUGUACCGUUUUCCAAAUUACUCUUAAACCGUUCAAAAUUAGAAAAAACAUUCAACAUGGAAAAGUAGCGCAUUUUCAUAAGCUUUCCAACGCCAUAUCAUUUGACUCAAUUGGAUUAGCCAUUUAGAAAUGACAUCAAAAAUACGAACACGGCUAUUCGGUUUACAAAAUUUUACGAUUUUCCAAAUUACUCCUUAAUCAUAGGGAAUUGGAGAAAACUAUCAACAUGUGGAAGGAGCGGUUUUGCAGCAGCUUUCCAACGCCAUAUUAUUUACCUCAUUCCGAUAAACGGUUUAUAAGUGCGAUCGGAAGUACUAUUCACGUUUUUGUGUGAAGAAAAAACGUUUUUCAAAACUGCUCUUAAACCGCUUACAUUUUGCCAAAAAUUUAACUUGGGUCAUGAUACUCGUGUCCAUAGCUUUCCAACGAUAUAUCGCAAGCCCCAUUUGGGCAAUGUUGGCGGAAGUUCAACCUAGCACUGGAGGAAGUUCAGGUGGAACAACUCAGGCAGUAAAAUUGCAAAAAACGCAAGUUCAUCACACCCCAAAUAGCAAAAUCCAAUAAUGAGCGAGUGACAGAAGUUCAAGGGAAAAACAACGGGAAGUUCAACUACUACACGGAAUGCGUUUCAGAUGAGAAUAAAAGAAUGUAAAACUAAAAGCCUAAAACGUUUGUUGCAAGAAGUUCACGUGCUUCUCCGAGUGAAGUUCUAGAACUCUAGUGCGAGAUGUCCGACCUUCAAUUACAUGUAAAAAACAGAGUGAAGUUCAAACAAACAUGCCACAGAAGUUCAACUACUUCACGCAGUGCAUUUCCAUUCGCGAUGAACGCUGAAAUCAUGAUCUCGCCAUUGAAGUUUGUUCAAAAAUUAUUGUGAGAGAGGUUUGUACAAAAGGAAUAUCAUUUGUGUAACACCGACGAAUGGGUGAAAAAUUACAAACAAAAAUACACGACAGAAGUUCAACGUGAAAACAGAAGGAAGUUCAACCACUACGCUAAAUGAAUUUCGGAUGAAAAUGUUUUAAACCGUCGCGAGUAUGAAAAAAAUGAUCAAGACGGAAAAGUUGUGUGUUUACAACAGCUUUCCAUCGGUAUAUCACUUGCUCAAUUUUGGUGAGUGGAUGAAGAGCUACGAGUAGUGGAUGGAGAGCUUCGAGCAAAAAAAAUACGUGAAAAACAGAGUGAAGUUCAGGUGCGCACGCCGAGAAGUUCAAGUUCUUCACGCGGUGCAUUUUUGACAAUCUGUUUCGCGAAAAAGGCAGAACAAAUGAUCUCGCCAUUUUCAAAAUUACUUGAAAAUGGCUAGGAAUCAGACAUCAUUUGCCUCAAUUAGAUUAGCCGUUUAGAAAUGACAUCAAAAAUAUGAACUCGGCUGUUCGGUUUGGGAAAUUUUACGAUUUUCCAAAUUACUCUUUAACAAUAGAGAAUUAGAGAAAACUUUCAACAUAUGGAAGGAGCGGUUUUUCAGCAGCUUUCCAACGCCAUAUUAUUUGCCUCAUUCCGAUAAACGGUUUGGAAACGCGAUCAAAAAUACGAUUCAUGUUUUUUGUAUGAAGAAAAAACGAUUUUCAAAACUACUCUUAAACAACUUACAUUUUGCCAAAAAUUUAAGUUGGGUCAUGAUACUCAUGUCCAUAGCUUUCCAACGGGAUCUGGCAAGCCCCAUUUGGGCAAUGUUGGCGGAAGUUCAACCUAGCACUCGGAGAAGUUCAACGUACUACUGUCGGGGCAGGUCAGGUUGUGAUCAGAAUAUUAUUCUCACCCCGUGAUCAGAAUAGUGUUUAUGUGUGUGUGUGUGUCUAUAUAUAUAUAUAUAUAUAUAUAUAGUGUUAUUAUUCAUCACCCAGGGUGCAGAAUAAGUUAUUCUUCACCCGAGGUAAUCUUACGAUCAUUUCAUAAUUAAAUUACAUUUCGAAUUCAAACAGUUACAUUCCUAUUGAUUCACUACGUAAAAUUUGACAUACGAAAAUAAAAAUAUAGGUCAUAAUACAAGAAAAUUUAUAGUUUAUGUGUAUUUUAGAUUAUGUUUUUACAUUUAUAAUUUUACAUAACAUAAAAUAUUUUUUACGGUGAUUAUAUAUUUUCUUACGGUCCCUUUUUGCGUCGGAAAUAAGAAAAAACUUACGGAAUGUAAAAUUACGGUGCAUUGAUGGUAAAAUAAAGGGGGGGUGAAGAAUAACUAUUCCUCACUUAGGAUGAUGAAUAGCGUGUGUGUGUGUGUGUGUGUGUAUAAACACUAUUCUGAUCACGGGAUGAGAAUAAUAUUCUGAUCACAAGCUGACCUGCCCCGCUAGUAGUACGUUGAACUUCCCUGUGAACUAGGUUGAACUUCCGCCAACAUUGCCCAAAUGGGGCUUGCGAUUUACCAUUGGAAAGCUAUGGACACCAGUAUCAUGACCCAACUUAAAUUUUUGGCAAAAUGCAAGAGGUUUAAGAGCAGUUUUGAAAACCAUUUUUUCUUCGCACAAAAAACGUGAAUCGUAUUUUCGAUCGCAUUUCUAAACCGUUUAUCGGAAUGAGGCAUACAAUAUGGCAUUGGAAAGCUACUACAAAACCGCUCCUUCCACAUGUUGAAAAUUUUCUCUAAUUUCCUAUGGUUAAAGAGUAAUUUGAAAAAACGUAAAAUUUCGUAAACCGAACAGUUGAGUUCGUUUUUUCGAUGUCAUUUCUAAACGGCUAAUCCAAUGGAGGCAUAUGAUACGGCGUUGGAAAGCUUAUGGAAAUGCGCUACUUUUUCAUUUUGAAAGUUUUUUUUCUAAUUUUGAAUGGUUUAAGAGUAAUUUAGAAAAUGAUCCAAGUCCUACCAAGUUCGUAUUUUCGAGCUAAUUUUUUAACCGUAUGUCCGAAUGCAGCAAAUGAUAUGGCGUUGGAAAGCUUGAACAAAUGCGAAACUUUUUUGUAUGUAUUGUUUCUCCCAAUUAUUUACGGUUUUAAGUCAGUUUUGAAAAUGGCGAAAAACAUAUUUUUGCUGUAAUUUCUACAAACUUUAUCGGAAUGGGGCAAAUAAUAUAUCGAUGAAAAGCUACAGAAAAUGCGAAACUUUUUCAUGUUGAUGGUUUUCUCUGAUUCCUAGCCGUUUUCAUGUAAUUUCUAAAACGGCGGGAUCGUGCGUUCUGCCUUUAUCGCGAAACAGAUUCUUCGAAAAUGCACCGCGUAAAGAACCUGAACUUCCCGGCGCGUGUACCUGAACUUCACUCUAUUUUUUCACGUUCUUUUUUUGCUCGUACCUCUUCAUCCACUGCUCGUAACUCUCCGUCCACUCACCGGAAUUGAGCAGGUGAUAUACCGAUGGAAAGCUGCUGUAAGCACGCAAGUUUGCCGUGUUGAUCAUCUUUUCAUACUCGCGACGAUUUUAAAAGUUUUUCAUCUAAAAUUCAUUCAACAUAGUAGUUGAACUUCCUGCUGUUUUCACGUUGAAAUUAUGUGACAUAUUUUUGUUUGUAAUUUUCUCAUUCAUUCGUUAGUGUUACACGAAUAAUAUUCCUUUUGUACAAACAUCUCUCACAAUAAUUUUUUUUACUUUCUCCGACCGAGGACUUGAACUUACACAAAUGAUAUUCCUGUCGUUUUGAGGUAAAUUAAAAAAUGGCGAGAUCAUGAUUUAUGCGUUCAUCGUGAAUGAAAAUGCACUGUGUGAAGUAGUUGAACUUCAUGGGCAUGUCUAUUUGAACCUCACUCUGUUUUUGACGUGCUGUUUUUUGCACUGUGUGAAGUAGUUGAACUUCUGGGGCAAGUCUGUUUGAACUUCACUCUGUUUCACUUUAUUGUAUUUUUCUUAUAUGAAACACACACCAUGUAGUACGUGAACUUCCGGUUAUUAUCAUGUUGAACUUCUCUCUAGUUUGAGAGAGUUAUUUUAAAACACAAAAAACAACAUAUUUCUUUAUGUAUUUUGGACAUCUGAAUACACGGUGAACCUCUCUCGCAAGAAUUUUUUGAACUUUUCCUCGCCGAGCACUUGAACUUCUAGCAACCAUUUUUUUCGUUUAUGAGUUGUUUUUAAAAGUGCAAAAAAUGGCUAUGUGUUUUUUUAUUUUUGGAACAGGUAAAUCCUAGGUUUUAAUAAACUCCGAACUUCUCUGUUAUUUAAAUUUUAACUUCACCUUUUUAUAUUUUGAGUAAAGAAUUGUAUUCGAUUUUUAUAUGGAAAAAACCAAACAUGGUAAUACAAGGUGAACCUCUCUCGCAAGAAUUUUUGAACUUCUCCGGACGGAGCACUCGAACUUCUUUCAACAAACCUUUUAAGCUUUUAUUUUUCUGUAAUUUUAAUAUUUUAUUCUCACCUGAAAUGCAUUCCUUGCAGUACUUGACCUUCUUGUUGUUUUCACUAUGAACUUCACUCAACAGGUAAGCUACGAAAAACAUGAAAAUUUAUGAUUUCUAGAAACGGUGAAAUACUUGCUUGAAAGUGUUGUGUUAUUUUUGAAAUACUUUUGUCAUUUUGGUUCAAACUUCUUAUGAAAUUCCCGUCAAAAAGUUUUGAACUUCUCUAUAUUUUUUAUUAAAACUUCUUGGUUUAUUAUUUAGUAAUGGAGGAAACCCUUGUGUUCUAAUAAACAUCAAACCACCCUGUUCUUGAAAUUUGAACUUCUAAGUUUUUUAGAAACAAGGAAAAUCCUUUUUCGUUUAAUUUUUUUUUGAAUUAUAUCUAUUUUGUUUUAAUUUGACCUUGUUUGUUUUUUAGAAAUCAGAAAAUAUAUAUUUUGUACAAAUAUCAAUCAUCUUUGUGUUUUUUAAAUUAAAAUUUGGUUAUAUUGUAUAUAAACUAAAAUCCUUUUUGAACAGUGCACUACUUUUUCACAAUGAUUGAUUUUGUCGAUAUGCUUUAAUAUAGUGCAUGUUUGUUUUAUAACUACAAGGGAUGUUUUUUUUAACAUGUACUUUUUGAAUUUCGUGUGUUCUCAUAGUUGAACUUGUUUUAGGUUCGGAGUUGACGGUAUUUUUUAACAGAUGAGAGCAAGUGAAUAUUAUUUAACAUAUGUACAAACGAGUAGACAUUUAACAAGUAUUCCUACAAAGAGGGCACAAAUAAAUGAUGGGCCUGGUGCGGCAUGGUAAAAAAAUAUGCUUACAAUUUUUUUGCAACCUAUUUUAAUGAAAAAAUGAUUUGUAACAAGAUGCAUGAGCUUGCUUCCUUUUUUGCAUAGGUCGAACAAAGCAAAAUAAACGACUACAAAAGUUGAGAAUGUUUCUUUUUAAACUAAAAAACUGUGGUAUUUUUACCACCACAUAUUUUCAGCCCAAUCAUGUUCCUUAUCUUCUCAAGAGACCAGAACAUGCGUUUGCCUUAUCCUGUGCUUCCAUUUCUUUUAUAUGUUCAGUAAAAUCAGAGCAGUCGAAUGUCGUAAACAUCCAUAGUCCAACGACCAAAAUAACCCGAGUAUAUAUGAAGAAAAUACAAGUUUCGUGGAACCUUUUUUCUACCACACACACACACCUUUGUUCUCAUCCAUCUCCAAAGCCACCACCACUGAGCUACUCACGCAAUAGGAAAAGAUCAACACUUUGUGCAGAAGCGAAUGACUAAGAGUUGACAACAACUACAAGUUGAAGGGACUAGUCAAGUGAAGUGCUUGUAAUAUUAACCUGUAGCAAAUUCAUGUUGGCUGAUUCCACCAAGAAGAAGCCAUGUAUGGAUAUGAACUCCACAAAAAGCUAUACUAAUCCCUCCUCGUGUUGGCUAUAGUUGACUCGGCUUCCAUCGGGUGUUGUGGCAGCGUCAACGGCUCACUGCAGUCAAGCACCACCGGAUCCGUGCACGCGGGACAUUCUGAACUAACAACAAAUAGCGACCUGCACUUCUGUUUGUGGGAAAAUCAUUUAUGAACUUUUCCCAUAGUAUUUUUGAUGAAACAACACAUGAGUUCACUUAGUUUUUCUGAACUUUUCUGAAGACAACGAAGCAAGAGCAGGACAGGGGGCGAACAACCGCUAGCUGCUAGCACAGUGGGGAGGGAAGUACUCGCUCUGCCAUGAGUGGUAGCCGACGUCGCACAAGGGAAGCUUGGCGCUGGAAGGGCAGGCCAAGGCGGUGUGUUGGAAGCUCUAUGCGGCGGCAGCGCACUGGUGACAGAGGGCGGAGACGUGCAGCGAGCCAGGCACAACGCGGUAGUGGAGUGGCGGGAGAGUCUGCUCCAUGGAUGAACCUUCGUUGGGAAGGUCAAGGUGGCCCUCGUGAGAAGGUCGAUGUGGCCGAAGACGCAGGAGCGACAGUGCUUGUGUGGUGGCCGAGGACAGCGGUGGAUUGGUUGACGGCCAGUGGUGGCGUGUGGGGAUGGAAUGCCAUGGUUACUGGAUCAUGCCUAUCGCACACUAUGAAACUGAACUGAUGCAUCAGAGGAAGCUGACCUACAUAGUAUAGGAAAAGAAGUCAGUGGAGUAGACAACAAGGUAUAAUGCUCUUAUUUUUUGCAACUGGACUGAUGCAUCAGGCGAAACUGACGUGCAACAAUGCCAUUUUUCAGAGGAUAACGACAAACAAAUGUGAUACACUGGGGUUUUCUGCAGACAAAGAAGAGAACUUCUGUUAUUCAAAAAUCAAAUAACACAAGUACGAAGCAAGUAGCCAACUAUUUUUACUAUAAAAAAUUGAUUCAUCAACUUUUGUCCUACUAUUUUUGAACGCACAAAACUAGUCAAUGAACAGAUUGCCCUGCUAAAAAUCAACAAUUUGGAGUACACAGAAUGGUGCUCUACAAAAUCUAAGGAAGCAGUCGGCCUAGGUGAAGAAGAACAGCCGACGUAUAGAGCCCGACACCGGCGGAGGUGAUUAGAGCCAGCAGAGACAGAGGAACUCGGAGCUACAUGCCAGAGCUGUGAUGUGCAGGCGAUGGCGGCGGAAGAAGCGGUGCCAGUUGGGGAGCAGGGACAGGAAUCUCCAUUUUGGGAAGGAUCUUCGGGUAAGGGAAGAAGCCGUGCCGGAGUUGGAAGAGGAGAUGUGGGCAUCACCGGUGUUGGGGCGGCGGCGACGGACAGGGGCCGCGGUUGCACGUGGUGACAGGGGCCGGCGGCGGCGGCGCCGGAGGAGGCCGGCAUCGCGUCGCGACGACAGCGUCACAGUAGGAGGCCGGCAGGGCCUGGGAUUUCCAGGGCGGCGACGACACCUUUGUUUGGCGGGGACGGCGUCACCUGGCGUUGACAGGGGCGGCGGCGAGCAGGGCACUGGUGGCGGGGGCUCCGGGCCGAGGCAGGAGAGGUGGGGCGGGGCACCGAUGCGGGGAGGUUCGAGGCCGGGCUCGGCACCGGCGACGGGGGGUUCCGGGUGGGGCACCGGAGGCGAGUUGCUCGGGGGGCGGGGGCUCGGCGGCGAUGGUAUCAGGGGAUCGGGGGACGAGCCUUUCUUAGACAACGCUGGUGCGGCGGUUCGAGAGUUCAGGAGGACCUCCGCGGCUCCUAUAGGGCCGAUCGUGAUCCAAAUAGUUAUUCUAAUUCCAGGAUUAGAAUAGUGUUACUAUAUAUAUAUAUAUAUAUAUAUAUAUAUAUAUAUAUAUAUAUAUAUAUGGCUUCUGCACAGCAUCUCCAUCAUCAUUAUCAGUACAUCCUACACAGGUAAGUUAGGAUGCACUUGAUGCCAGGAAGGUAUCUAUCCUUCAAACCAGGGGAGUGCUUCAAACUAACAACAGUACAUAAUAUGCAACAAAAGAGGGUCGUGCUACAACAGCAGAAUACAUGGCUCAGUCUAGAUAUCAACACGAAUAAAGUUGUGCAUAUUUGCUGUUGGCAUGAACCACAUCGCCGCAUGUCGGGUUUGCAAAAGCCAUCCAUUGCAUGGAAGCUUGAUGCCUUUCACACACUGAAGAUUAUCUCGCAACAAGCUGUGUCGACGAAUCUCUGGAUAUGGUGAUUCAUGAAAUCCAUGGUAUGAUGUGUAAACACAGCCCCCCCCCCCCUCACGAAUGGAAGUUGCAUAGCACAGUAAUCAUCGCCGGUGAUAUGGUCGAUGAUUGGUUGGAUGAUCGGAUAAUUGAGCCCGAGGAACAAGGAGUGGUUGCCGAGGCUGUAAACCCGCCUCCAGUUGAAUACGCUUGGCCCAACGGAGCUGGGAUCUUUCUCGAACACGAAGCAGCCAUAGCCAUCAAUGUCACGAAUGCCUCACGCAUUGUACUGCAUGUGGUUUGAUGUAAUGGUUUGGUCAAUUUGGUACGUGCGAAUGAGCAUCAAAUGACCGCCGUCAGCUGAACGAGCGAUAAACCACCACCCAUCGGCCGGUAUGAUUCCAGGUCCUGGAAUCAUGAAGGCCGGUGCAUUUGCGUCUGCUGCUACAAUUCAAAUUGGAGACCAAAAGGACAAAAAUAAACAAUCAUGUUCAGAGUAUGUGUGCAAUUAAGAUUAUUAUAACAGUGACACAUAUCAUAAACAGAGAAUUGCAAUGUCGUGGUCAUAAUCAUACCCCAAGUUAAAAAAUAAGCCAAUGGCUUUCAUAUUCUAGCAAUAUGUCAUGGUUCAAACAUCAUGUAACAAUGAGAGGAAAACAACUAUGAUAGCGCCUACUCAUAUUCUACCAUAGCACUUAUUACUACUGUUCUCAUAUCAACUCUAAGCAAUAACAUGCGUUGUUAUAAAAAUCUUGUAAACGAGAGUAACAUAUAGCAAUCAUGAUGUUAUGCUCAUAAUAUGUAUUCUAACAAUCAUUAGAUGCCAAUUGUUCUCAUAUCAACUCUAACAAUAACAUGCGUGGUCAUAAAAAUCUAGGAAAUGAGAGGAACAUAUAGCAAUGAUGUGGUUAUAGACAUGCUAUGCAUUCUAAAUUUGUAACAAAUGAACAUGCAGUCGUAUUCAUAAGGUAAAGAUGAGAUGAGAUAGAACAAUUACACGAUGAUAGAUUCCACCAAUAUAGGUAGCCAAUCUGUGCGUCGACCGCGUAAACGAUGCCAUCGUGCACUAUAGCAUCAGACAGAAAUGUUUCCUCAACAGGAUUGAUGAUGAGCCAUAACCAUAUAUGGCGACCGGAUUCCAGAUAGACUAAUCCCUUAUUGAACAAGGCAAUGAGAUUGUAAUCCAUGUAGUCUUCUGAUGGUGUGGGCACUUCGCAGAUUACAACUUUCUGCAAACAGAGGUCGAGCCAAAAGCUUGACGCGUCUCGUGCGUAGUAGGCAGGAGUGUCCGGCGGGCCGCGAGGCUCGAUGGCGGCGGUAUCCAACAAUGGAAGGGCGAUCUCUCACUGGGUGUAGAUAUCCACGAGACGCCACGGACUACCGGUGUGGUGGAUGAGGACGAUCCAGUUGGCCUUGAUGCCCGCCCAGUAGUGGCCGCGCAUGAAGGAUAGGUGGACGGGUAGUGGUAGCAUGUCGAGGGGCACCACGGCAACCUCCGUAGGAUCGUUAAGUCGGUGUCUGGGCCACCUGCGAGGAUCGGGCAUCAGCAAGCAGGGUGUCUUGAAAAGAGCCGGCCGGUUGCAGACGAGUAGACGGUACAAAGACACUUAGCAUGCGGCCAGACGGGCGGUGCUGAGUAGGUCCAUACGACUACAGAUCUGCUCCAAGAGAACAUCGGGGAGGGAAUUCCAAUCGCGGCUCUGCGUGUCAGUCGGUUCUGCCAUUGGGGUUUUCGGUGCCUGCGAGCCAACGGGGAAGUGGAUUCGGGCGGGCGAGCGAAGAAGCUUCUCCUCGUGUGGGCGAGCAGUGAGCGGGGGGGAUAUGGUACGCGCGAGCUACCAAGGAAGAUGGCGCGAGCGGGGGUAAAUGGUGUGCGGCCGACGAUGGGGAAGAGAGGAGGAAGAAGAAGAGAGGAGGAAGAAGAAGAGACUAGUUGAAUAGUUCUCUUUGACCGAGAUGGGGAAUAAAUGGAUCGCGAGGACUUCCUUUCUACAGUAUCCCUAUGCCUCUACGCUCACUUCACUCAUUUUGCUCCAUACCUAGUCACUUGUUGAAAUCUGUAGAAAGACAAAUAUUCCGUAUUUGGGAACAGAGGGAGGCUUUUACUCCAUACUAUUUGGGAACAGAGGGAGUAUCACCAUAUGGAGGGAACAGAGGAAGCUUGAAAUAUGAACAUGUCAAUGGGAGGGAGUAAGCCCCAUGCAUGCAUGCAUGCAUGCAACAUGCAACACUCACACGUACACAUGGACGCACGCAACACUCACGCACCCAUGCGGCACACAGCACACGACGCAACACACACGCUCACGCUCAAGUGCUCAACCUACUCCCUACGUCCGUGAAAGACUGUACAUUUAGAGAUUUACACAUUGACCAGGGCAUAAUUAGCGCCCAAAAGUAGCAGACUUAUGUGUGCAUGCGACCAUUGAGAUAAGAAGAUUAAAUGAAGGCCGUUGCAUGCUGUAAUUAAGGAUAGACAUGUAGCCUAUACCUACAGCACAAGUUGGUGCAUUAGUCAAUCAAUAUCGAUUUAGAAUAAAGGCUAAACACAUUGGAAGUGUAGAUGUACAUCAUGUAGUACACUCUUUGUUGGAAGACCGAGGGAGGACACGUGCAUGCACUCACAUACACAGUCAGGGCGGUUCGCGCGCAAGGGUUGGACUCGUGUCGCACGUGCAUAAAGUUUUGUUUAAUUGAUUUCUUUGCUCUGCCAACUGACAGGUGGGACCCAGAAACCAGGUGACAAUUUAACCAGUCAACAAAGUGCCACGUCGACUAUGUGGCCGGUCAGUAGGGUGCAAUACGGUGCUCUACGGUGAGCUAGUGAUCGCAUAAUUGCCGCAAAACUAUAUAUAGUGAUCGUAAAGAGCGUACUGUUACAUACGUUGACCGCCAGUGUAUUUUUCUCAUUUCAAAUUAAGCCAUAUUAAUCGGAAAGGAUGUAGUAUGGACUACUAAUACUACUACUAGUACUGCUUUGAUGUGUCCCGUCAACUCGCCGAACGAGGAGAAUCUUGCUUACUACGCCUCUCCCUCGCCCACGCGCGCGGUGGUCCGCAGGACGAGGAGAGGGUUUUGACUACAGCGCCCUCUCCCUCUCCCUUGCCCUCGCGGUGGACGUGCAUCAGUUCAAUCGGUGUCAGAUUACCAGAAGCAUAUUGUACUGUAGUAUCAUCAUUGUUGGACCUUCCGAAGAGGCGAAGAGCCAAGUGCAAGGUUCACACGAGUACGAACUGUUGAACCUCCCGAAGAGGCAAAGAGCCAAGCGCAAGGUUUUAUAGGAGUUGUCGUCCUAGUAGGAGUGUACUAGUACAACUAUAGCGAACGAUGCUAUUGUAUGAUGUCGCCACAUCACGUAUACCCAAAGCUGUGCCACCUUUUUUUUCUCAAAGAGCAUGUUGGAGCCCGUGCAAUAACCACACAAGUUGCACGUACACAUAACACAUUUACUAGUAAUAAAUUCUAAAGGACAAAUGCCAGUAUGCCACACGAGUUCAUCUCCAACUCAUGUGAUAAAUUUAUGCACGACUAGUCUACAUAUAUUCACAGCGCUACCGUUCACAAUUACCGUACUCCACUUACACGUUAUAGAUGGGCUACAUGUCCUCCUCCAGGUUCCAGUCUCAGGUGUUCUUCAUGGAUGGCACGAUCCAUAGCGGUGGGCAACGGGAAUCAUUGUCGCGGCUUUCUAGUCCGGUUCCACACGAUGGAGACUCAUCCAAGCUGAAGCGGCAUAAAUUAGGGGUAGCGUGUCCCAACAUGUCGUUCAUCCGGUGGUGCGCACUGAAGACACAACCAUGCUUCAUGAACGGCAGGCCUUCCGUGUCGUGCAUGUAAGGUGGCAUCUGCUUCACAAUGGGGUAGCUGCCCCUGAUGAAAAGCGAGUACUCUCCAAGAGUGUUCCUCGUCACCCAUGUAGCAUCACAGAGGUAGAACUCGGCGCCGUUCUUCUGGUACACCCGGCAUCCCAGAUCUGGACACAUGGUGACGUACAUAGUCAAGGUCCAUGCAUAAUAAUGUUGUGCUCAAAUGUGGCGGUCAGUAAUACUGUGUAGAAAAUAGUACUACUCCGGUAUAGAGGAAGUAAAAUAACCGGCUUAUUAUAUAUAGCCACUCUUGGCUACAUGGAUGAGAUAGUAAGACAUGGAAAAAAAUGGUGGCAACUAGUGGGUUCAAGUCUUCAAGGGCCUAGCUAGCUAUAUGCGUCCUCCAAGGUAAAAAGUACUCCUACUAGUACUACAAAGUAUAGUACUAGUACUCCCUCCGGUCCUUUUUACUCUGCAUAUAAGGAUUGUCUAAAGUCAAACUUUGUAAAGUUUGACCAUAUUUAUAUGAAAAAAUAUUAACAUCUACAAUGCUAAAUUUAUACAAUAUAAAAGCUAAAGUCAUGACGCAUCUAAUGUUGUUGAUUUCACAUUUUGAAUGUUGAUAUUUUUUUUCUAUAAAUUUUGUCAAACUUUACGACGUUUGACUUCAGACAAAUCUUAUAUGCGAACUAAAAAGGACCGGAGGGAGUACAACAAUGAAAGAGAAGGCGAGAGGGUUAAAAAAUGGAAUACCUGGGUAGAUGGUGACAGUCCGAUCGUGGUAGAUUAUGUGACCAUGUUGCACAUCAGUGGUACCAUGGGUAACGAUUGCUAAGAUAGUUGAUCCCAAUAUGCCAAAGUCAGCUACAAGGUUCCAGGUUAGACCGAAUCGCGGACACAAAUGCAUAUCCAGGAUCGGCGAUCUUAUUUUGAUUAGGGGAUGACUGGUCCCUUCAAAAUAAUGGAGUACCGUUAGGGAUGCAAAUGAUGGUUUGUGCAUUCCGUUUGUAAUCUCACGUACCAUAGGAUGUCAACCAGAUGAAACAAGUCCCUUGGAUUGUCACCACGAAGAUGCAUCCUAGAUGGCGCACGGCGUCUUCGAACGUGUAGGGGUACAAAUUUGCCGCCGCCAACAUGCGCCAGCCUCUGCCGUUACUGCCUCCUGCAUUGAUGGUAAUCCUUAUGUCAAACACCGCGAUGAGAUAGUAAUCGUCGUAGCCGCAUCGCUUUGUUGGCAGUCUGCAAUUGCUUUCUUCAAUCUCAUGUAGGCAUCAUCAUACGUAUUCUUGCCCAACCAGUCUGGAAGGCCGAUCCCAAUGGUGGAGAAGGGGUCUAUCGGAACGGCCGCACUGCUAUGGAUGUUGUGCAAAAUGAUGGUGGUAUCCGGCCGGAGGUAUGCAAGCCAAUCUUCGUUGGCACCGACCCAGACCUAUAUAUAAGACGGUGGGCGGCGGAGAAAUUAUGGGAUGGAAAUGGAAUAACUAAGACUACAUGAUCAAACUCCAUUACUGACCUGCUCAUCGGACAAAUCCGACUACCUCUCAACGUCGGCAACUCUAGCGAAGUCAACGUGCAACCAUGGUCAGGGAGCGGUGGACUGUUCGAAGGAUUGUCCCAUAGAAGAACCUUCUCCUCGAGGAUGCAUGGAAGACCAACAAGCAUGGCCUGUUUAAGCAGCAUCUUGAAAAAGUUGGUGCAGGAAGCACCGAGUCUUGCGGCGGUGAGGACGUCGGAGCGGCGUGCAAUUUCUCCCACAGGAUCGUCGUCCAAGGUCUCUCAGCCCCGACGAGGAGGAGAAUCGCCUGGCGAAUCCAUGGGAGCAGCGACGAACUGCCUUCUCUUCGGGGGGAGGGGAACUGGCGAGGAGGAGAUAAGAGCGUAGUAACCGCAGGGCCUCGUCCCUUCCAACUGUAGAUCGUUCCUCAGCGAAGGGGUGAGGCUAUUAUUUACUACUAGUACUCCCUCCGAUUCUUUUUACUCUGCGCAUAAGAGCAGACCCGGAUACCAAGGAAGGGGCUCACUGCAUGCUUUCUGGACGGAAAUACCCCUAGCACAUGGAUGGGAGGAGUUAGCAGCUAUAAAUGCCCCAUGCAGCCCAUUGGUUGUCCGUCCACGUUCUCCUCUCUCUACAUGUUGCAUGGAUGUCUCCCUCUCUCUCACAUGACUGCAUGCGGUGGCGCUGGCCUAUGAGAAGCUCGCGUGGAUAUAGAAAUCUUCUCUCCAGAAGAGAUUUUUUUGAAAGAAAGGGAUUAUGGAACGUUAUGGGAUUGCAUUAUACUGUAAAUAAUAACACUAGUAAGAAAUUUUUGGCACUAGGUAGUAGUUUUUGGCAUGGAUUAAGAAAUUUUGGGUAUGUUUUUGUCAUUUUUUGUACAUGCCAACUAGUGUCAAAAAAUGUCUUACAUUAUGUGACGGAGGAGUACGUACUCGUACUGUAGCAGUACUAGUACUACUUUUCUCAACUAGUAGUGCGAUGUACUAUACUUCUAGUCUAGUCUAGUAUAGUGCACCAGUUUUGAACUCUUGAAUCUCAGGGCCAAGGAGCUACAGUUGGAAGUGGAGGGUACUACUGUUCUCUAGAACCAUCGUUGUACUAUCAAUGCAGGGGAAGUAGACAUGUGUAGUGGCCUAGUGGGUACUCUCGAUGCUCUAUUCAGCCGCUCCUCUCACGUAGUUGGCCUACUCAGCUGCUCCUCUCACGCACACACUAGCAGCCUGUUUAUCAGCGACGGUUACUGCGGGGGCAGAACAUUUGAGUUAUUUGAUACAGCGAGACUAGGCUUUUCGCUUCCAUUUGUGGAGGUGUAAUGGAUCUCGUCGAAAUUUGUUAGUAGUUCCUUCUUUAUGAAUGAGAUGAAGCAAAGCUUUUGCCUCCGUUUCAAAAAAAACACGGCAAGAGGAAUUUCUUUCAUAGUAGAAACGAUAAUGGAGUGAAGUCCAUGCAUGCAACGCCACAAGCUACAGAGUAGUAGUGGAGCACUUUACGUAUAGAGCCAUAUUGCACAGUUCCCAAUGCCCCGCUAGGCUUUUCCGGCUCCUCGGGCUUAAUUGGGAGGCGCUAGUUUAAAUAUGCUACUAGCUGGAAGCUGCAAGCGAGGUGCGGCUAGGGCGAGCACGCGAGCCACGGGAUGCUGGGAAGGAAAACCCGUUCACGUGGCUAGGCUGUCCAGUGCACCCAGAUUGUGGGGCCGCACGUCCGUUUAACUUCAAAACUCAAACUACCCGUGUAAAAUAUUGGCUCGCGGCGAAGUGUAGUAGUACUAUUUUUUUAAAAAAGGCCGCCUUGCGUUCGGCCGGGAUCGAACCCACAAAACGAGGUAUACACUCCCGCGACCACUAGUAGUACUCAUUGGAGUACAACGCAACCUAGAAUCGCCUUUUGUCGCUAGUAGUACGUACAUUGUUCCUUACAAGAAACCCCUAAGAGUAUGGUUAAUAGUAUAGCCAGCUGCUGGCUAUAAGCCAGUGCCAUGUCAUCUACAACCCAUCUUAUAGCCAACAUGUAGUAGUAGUUUAUUUCUUAUAGCCCACUGACUCAGCUCUAUUGUACUUGCUCUAAUAAUGCAAGAAACCACUAAAAUGCCAAGAAACUACUACCACUUGCAUACGUGGCAGACUUAAGAUAAGACUACCUUAUCAACCAUUGUACAUGCUCUUACCAACAAAAAUCCUCGAGUGACCUCCUACCUUCGGCCCGUCCACCUAGUCAUCCUUGGCCAUGGGACGCAGCUACCGCCGCCGGCAGAAGGCGAGGUCAAAACCGCCGGCGGCGCGGAGCCCAUGUUGCGGCAGCCCGGAUGCCAGCUCCGUCCGGCGCUCGCAGCCGCUAGCUAGCCAAGAUAGCUCCGUCCAGCUGCUUGUCUGCAAGGUUUGCUAGCUAGAUUGGCAAGGCAGCACGGUGGCAUGCUCGCGCGCGCCGCGCUAAGGCCAGCCAUCUGGCUCGAGCGAAGGCCAGCGUGGCGGCUUGCUCGCUCAUGAGUCACGCUCGGGCCAGCCUGCCAACUCGUGCGGAGGCCAGCGCGGCGUCUGGCCCGUCCGGCGGAGCGGGGGCCAACUCGCUCAUCACCGGCGCCACCGACGAACACGCAUCGGUACUAUUUGAAGUAAUGUUCAGGAAAAAUAAUGAUUUGAGGGGGAAUAGCAGGAUAGAAGGUCAGAUGUGGGUCCCUCGUGUCAACGGUCAAACAAAAUGUGUUGGUUUAAGCUGCCUAGUCAGCACAGACAUGUGGGCCAACCCUGUCAUAAAUGGGUUUAAACAAACCUAAUCGGUAGAAGUACUAGAUAGUUUUUGGCGUGGAUUAAGAAAUUUUGGGUAUGUUUUUGCUAUUUUUUGUACAAUAGAUUCCUCCUAGGGCUGGUUGAAAGUGGUAGUUUUUUGUUAAAUACUCUACAUAUUGUAAGUAGGAGUGGAAGUUAAGCUUUGGAAGCCAAUAAGCAAGGCUAGUUACAUAGUGCAUAUGUGUACAUGAUUGAAAAUAAAUAUCAACCAUGAGUGACUAAUAUCUUGAUGGAAAACUCGAAACUAUGGAAUACUAGGAAAAGAAAUGCAUGGUUGGAAAUACUAGCAAUGUUCAUGUGUGUUGCAACGAAUCAUAAUUAGAAUAAUACUUAUUCACAAACUUGGUACAAAACACUCUAAUUUUGAUAUACAUAUGUCACUAGAGAUAUAUUAUGUUUCAAUUAGAAUAUAUUCCUUGGGCUGUUUUGGUGAGGUCAGGGAGGGAUGUGGUUGGUUUUAAGAUACUAAUUAUGGGUUUUUAUGCAAAUUGGUAGACAAGUGGGAUGUUGGUGAGAAAAGGCAACAACUUACCUCACAAUCGUUAGAUGUAGAUCUAAUGGUCAGAAACGACGGAUGGCAGACACACCAGCAUCACCAACUUAGUCUUGUGUAGGAGUACUAGCAAGAUCCGUGCAUUGCACAGAACAUCAAGAUGCAUUUUUUUAUAAAACACUUGUUGUGAUUGACCCUUGCGGGAGUAAUCCCAUGUGUAAAAACUAAUGAUAUCUCGAGAAAUAUGAGAUAAGGUAAAGAGGAGUCGGGUGUGGUGGUGGUUGCUGGUCGAACUGAGUGGAGGCAUGGGGAUUGACGACGCUGGCAGCGGCCACCAGGACAGUUUGUUCCAGAGGCUUCCUUUCUUAAUUGCUCAACAAUGAGGUUUGUUGGAGAUAGGGAUGAACGAGGUAAGGCCUUGUCUGCAAAUGUGGAGAGGGGUGCAUGUAUCUUUUAGUUUAAUUUCCAUCCAUCAGAUAUAGAUCAGACGGUCUAUAUUACAAGAUGGCACACGUACCAUCAUCACCAACUCGGUUUUUUAUAAGAGAAGAAAUAUAAGUAUGGAGAUACAAACAUAUUAUCGAUACUUUCUUCCGUAAACUAGCAUCUACAUUCUAUUCAAUGCCUCGGCAUGUGGGGCCUUAGCACAAUGACUUCUCGACUGUGUAAAACGAAGAUUUUCCCGUCGCCGACAAGGAGGGGGUGACGGCGGCGCGCUUUUUGGCUUGCUCUAGUCCUAGUAGUCAUACUAGGUGGUCUAAGCAUGUGUAGAUUUAUUCUUUUUCACGUCUCGUGUUCGCCGUACUGCCAUGACUGUUCAUGAAUAGACGGUAAGUUAUUCAUGGGGAAACCCUUGUUGAGCGUGUUUGCGAGAGAGAGAGAGAGUGUGUGCGUGUGUGGUAUGUUAGAGACUGAGGCAAUGAUAACAGAUUUUUUGUGUCUAUGUGUGUGGAGGAUAGAGAGAGACAUGUACAUGGGGCUUUGUGUUGUGUAACGUGGACACACAUAUACAUAAUUAGAGAGUGAGUGUGUGAGAUACACAUGCAGACAUGAGGAGAGAUGAGGAUCCAGGUAAAUGGGUGUUUGUGCAUGUCUGUGUGUUUGUGCACGUGUUUUUGUGUGAGAGGGAGAGAGUGUAUGUGGAGUAGAGAGACCACUGAUGAUGUAAACCUAGUAUAAGGGAAGGGGGAAUGGUGUGACAUGUGUAGUAGCGAGAUAGCACGGGUGCGGGCGGGGGGAGCAGACUAUUUGGAAGAGACAUCAAGUGUGUGUGUGGGAGAGGGGUGUGAGAGCGAGAGAAAGAGAGAGCUAGCGACAGAGAGAGAGAGAGAGAGAGAGAGAGAGAGGAAGAGAGGGGGCGAGAGGGGUCGUUUGUGUCCAUAAAUGGCGUAUAGAUAGGGAGACAAUGUUGAUGUUGUCCGAAAUUGGCCUAUGAACGGAGACACAAGGGAAGCGAGUCAUCGUGUGUGUGUGUGAUAGGGACUUCAUGAGAGAGCUACAAUAGAUGGUGUAGAGAACAAUGUGCAAAAUCGAGAACGAUUAUACAUUAGGGAGCUGUGCAAAGAGUCACAACAUAUAUGUAUACAGGGAAGGAGCUGGGGCGGGUCCGCAUGUGGGAGAGAUAGAAAGAGGAGAGUGGUGCACAAGGAGACAAAGUGUGCUUGUUUGCAGUGUGGGUGGUGUGUGAGGUGAGUGCGCGAGAACCACAUAACUAGGGAGAUAGACGUUUGGGGGCGACGUUUUGUGUGUAUGGGAAAUAUACACUCUACAUAGUGUGUGUGCUUGGGUAAGAGAGAUAGCGGGAGACCUAGAGAGUGAGAGAAGAGAUGUGUGCAUGCCCGAGAGACAAAGUGAUAGAGACCUAUUGGGGUCCGGACUUUACAAGAGAGAGGGGUCUUAAUGGGCUCGUGUGUUGGUGUUUGGGGGAGAGAACGAAUUCUCUCUCUCUCUCUGUGUGUGUGUGGUGGGGGGGUUGACUUCAGAUAAAGAGUGAGGUGUCUAUAUUUGAGGGACUUUAGCGUAAUUGAGAUAUUGUGCACUCAUGGUUGAUCAAUUUGUUUCACAGUUUGUACUAUGAGAUAACGAUGCUUUUGAACAUGCGUGAUAUACCUUGAUGUACCAGAAUUACAAACCUAAGAUUGGAAUUUUGGAAUUCGACUCCAUCAUUAGCUUUUGUAAUUCAUUUAAACGGAGGUACCUUUUUUAAGCCGGGAUUUCAUGAUUUCAAGUUCAUAUAUCAAACCUAGAGAUAUACACAUACGGGCAUGUUCAAACUUUAUAAUCAUCCACUUCAUUCAUACACAUACACAUUUUUGCUUUUGUCAUCAUAUUUAGGAUAAACACAUUUGGAAUUUCAUUUGAAUUGGACCGUAUGAUGGUAUUUGCUUGUAGUAGCUCAAUGAUCCAUAUUUGAAUUGAAUGGACAAUCUAAGUUUCGAGUUGGAGACAUUGAUUUUCAAAACUUGCACAUUUUUUUGCGUGCAAAACAAACAAAUUGUCGGCCAUGAUACCAUAGCCGGCCGUACGAGAGCAGAAUACUUAUAAUUUUAGGCGCCAAAAGCUUUCAAACUUCCCGCUCACAUCGAAAUAUCACGCGCCCGAAAGUUUAGCCCUGCGAUAUUCCUGUUUUACCCCUACCACAUGAACGGAAAAGGGCUCCUUUGGUAACUCCAUUGUUUUCCCCUCUUCGCCCCCAACAUUCUUCCCCAGAGCCCCUCCCCUUCCCCUCCCCUUCCCCUCCCCUUCCCCUCCCCGACCCCCAACCACGGCAAGCCGCCGAAUCUAGUCCUCCGCCGCAGCGGUGGACCUCACACCCCGCCGGAUCUACCUUCCGCACCUCGGAACCCCCAACUGCCAACUCACCACUUCACCAGAGUCGCUUCAGCGACUCGCUUGUCCACCGCUCCAGAUCUCCUUGACCGCCAUCAUGGUCCACCGCAUCGGAUCUGCUUAACCGGCGCCCUCGUCCACCACAGCGUAGGCCCUUCACUGACUCCCUCGUCCGCCCCUUCGCUGGCCCUUCAUACAAGCCCUCGUCCGCCGCAACAGAUCCGCCUCACCGAAAGCACUGUACAACACGCCCGCCAAAGCCUUCGUCCACUACACCGGACCCGCUCCACGGACGCCAUAUUCAACUCCACCGGCCCUGCUUUACCGACGCCGCAGCCUCAUCAGGUUAUUUCGAUUUGUACUCCUUCAGUUUUUCUCUAUAUCAUGCAACUGUUCACUUACCACAGAUGAUCUUUCUUGUAUGCCGACAGGCACCGCAACCGUAGCACCGGAGCCGCUUCAGCGACGGCGACAGCCGGCCCAAACUCAACCGCAACACGAGCACCAUCGAUGAUCCUUAGCUAUCAAGUAUGACAACGAUACCCAUACGCCGCCGAGAAUCAGGUACUAUUAUCCAACGGCCGGCGCCUACAUUCACUUUCCUAGCAUAAGCACCGCACCUUUGAAUUUCUUCAGGGCAUCAUUCAGUUUUUCAUGAGACGCGUUAUUCUGCUUGCACCUGUAGGGCCAUACUUCUGGCAGUGAACAUGUUACAUGUGCUAAAUUACAUACCAGUGCACAUAUAGUUAAUAUGCUUUAGUUUUGUUCUGAUGCCACCUGUUGGUUCCAUCAGACUACUUAAUGUUCUUUAUGCUUAAUUACACAUCAACAAACUAGCAUGUGGUUCCGCUGCUUUUUGUUCGUUUUACCCUACAUUUUCUGAUGCUAGCUAUUACAUCACUGCUCCAAGCCUCUGUUCAUUUCUUGUUUGUGUGUUCUUGAUCUUCCCAAGUUGCAUGACUAAUUUGAUGCUUCUAUUAAUUAUGGAGCUGCCAACCCCAUCAAGCAAAAUAUUUGUUCUUUUGGGGCUGGCACCUCGAACAAGCAUGAAAAUAGAGGGAAGCAGAUAUACUCCCUCCGAUUCUAUUUACUCUGCGCAUAACUCUUGACCUGCAUACCAAGGAGGGCAUUGGUUUAAUUUUUCUAGACUAAUUUGCCAAUUAAUUAGGGAAGAGGCGGAUGGGGUGGGGCACAAAAGGAAACCAACGCGAGGAAUCGGCGACGCGCAGACUACUACGAGAAAACUGAGAAAAAGUUAUACGCAAAGUAAAAAGAAUCGGAGGGAGUAUUGUCGUGUAUGCACACACCCUUCUUUCAUUAGUUUAGAUGAACCAUUGAUGAUCAAUUCGGACCAGUGCAUGCGAUUAAAAUUAAUUUUACCUAAAUAGAUGGUGCAGAAUAAACUACAACAACUAGAUUUGCAACCACGGGAUGCUGACGAUAUCUUCAAAGAACAUUGCAACAGCAGCUAGGCUUCACAGCAACAUAUGGUAUGCCAGUGUAUUUUAGUACAUGUGAAAUGUAAUGCAAGUGGGCUGCUUUCUUGGCUUGUGCCCUCAACGUGUAAUCCUACCGAAUUACAAAUAGUUCAGUUGUCUGCUUUGUUGUAUUGCUUGAUUCGAAUGCUUAUUUGUUGUUACGCUAUACCUGAGUUGGCCAAUAUGUCAGCAGUGCGUGCUGUACUAUCGUAAAGAAAUGCAUGCCUAUUUCAUUUGAGUCCUUAACCUGUCCUCUCAACUUCAUCACAAGACUGUCUUCGUAGUUUAUAUGGGGCCACACUGUUAAGUGCUUUCUCAGAUUAUUUCAACUGCUUAGAUGCCUUGGCAACUUAAAUAUAGCAGUUGUACACUCCCUUUCAACUAGGGAUGUCAACUGGGUCCGGUUUAAUCCCGAUUAAAGUCCACUAGUGGUAUGAUAGUUCAAAAGAGUUUUUGUUUUUUGAGGAAAAUGAACUAGGGAGGUAGCAAAAACUAACUAGAUGGGACUAGCGGAUUUUGUUUAUUUGCCACUUACAUCCCUAGUUUCAUCUUACAAUUUUAAUUUCUUUUCGGCUGAUGCUGCUUCGAACCAUUUAAAUAUAGUUUGCCAUGCUCGGCAAUAAUUCGUUCGUCGUUUACCAUGUAAGCUUACUGCCUGGAUCAUAUGAUAACUAUCUCUUACUGAUGUCCAGCGGAAACCUUUCAGGAUGCCAUUCACACUAGGAAACAAUGUACAUCCCCAGAAUCUAUUUGUGGAAGCAGUGCGCCAUCCAUGUUACCAGAUGGUAGCAGUUCAGAGGCAACACCGCCGGAGAGCAGUCUGAGCACAGAUAUUAUAGUGCUUGAGGCUCUACUAGAGGCAGAAAGAGAUGGUGUGGCUGCCAUGAAUGAGGUAAUAUUUGUCUUGAGGCUGGAAAUUACGGAAUUAGCGGCACGCAUUAUGCAAGCAACCCAAGAAUUGGAGGAAGUAAGAAUGUUGCAUUUGAACACGGAGGAGGUCCUGCUGUUUCUGCUAUCUGAAGCCCAAGAUAAUCCCAGUUCUUCUUUAGACACCAGUUGAAAUUUUCAUUAGAUUAUUGUACUUGCAUGUUGUGUCAUGUAUCUGAAUGGAUUAUGUUGCAAGACCCCCUAUGUUGUCCAUGUGUUGUAAUGAUCCGAAUUUUUUAGGCGAGGUAAUCCUCAGAACUUGUAUGAUUGACAUAAGGUGAACUGUUUGUCGUGUGAGCAUAUUGUAUUGGAUGAAAUAACUGUUUGACUCAAAGUGUAUCCAACCUACUGAAUUCGAAGAUCACGACAUUUCUAAAUCAUAAUCAUAUAUAAAGGUGGAAUAAAUCUUUGUUGUGGUUUUGAAGAAAUAAAUAACAAAACGUAUAAUUAUCUGUGGAUAUUCGUAACCGAAUACAAAUUGGUUUUGAAUUUAGUUUCCCAGGUCCCAGGGAAAACGUGAAUGCUAAUUCUCCCAAGUUUUGAACGAAGCGGCUAAACACCCACUAUAAUUUGUGGGCUGCUCGAAGCAAGUGUUUGCGAGAUGGAAAUUACUGUCUACCCUUGACACUUGACAUCCUUAAAGACAGGAUUUACACUGCUGUCGAUAGGGGUAGACUAGUAACUUCAAUCAGACGUGACAUGACGGCCUCUGAGCCCAUUCAGACACGGGGGGCGCCAAACAUGGGUGGCAAAACACAUUUGAUUCAAGCUUGUCCGAAAGACAUGUGUCUCUUCCUCCAUUUCCCCAUUCAUACACGGUGGGCGGCAAAACAAACUCUCCUCGUCCGAAAUCGAUGUAGGCUUAUAUUUUAAAUAGGGGCAGAUGUGUAACUUCCAUCAGACGUGACACAACCGCCCUACCUGUCAGCCCGGUUCAUACACCGUGGGCGCCAACCGUGGGCGGCAAAACACCCUCUCCUUGCCCGAAAUCGAUGUAGGCUAAUAUUUUAAAUAGGGGCAGAUGUGUAACUUCCAUCAGACGUGACACAACCGCCCUACCUAUCAGCCCCGUUCAUACACCAUGGGCGCCAACCGUGGGUGGCAAAACACCCUCUCCUCGCCCGAAAUAGUUACCAGCAAAUAUUUGGGAGAUGCGAGAUUACUGUCCUAUCCCCAACCGACGUGAUGUCCGAAAUUUUAAACGGGGGAUAAGUUCGUAACUUUCCCCCAUUUCAGAGAAGCGCGUCCCAAAGUUUGAGAUCCCCCCUCCCCUCCAUUUCCCCAUUCAUACACCGUCGGUGGCACGACAACCUCCGCACUGCGGCCAACCUCCUCCGUCCGCCGCCCCAUCCUCCACCUUGCCGGAGCCGCUACCCCUACCCCGUCGUCCACUGCAAGAGAUGGACGUCUCUCAUUCACGGCGCUGGACCAGCAUCCAUUCAUCGCCUCCUCUUGCUUCAUCGGCGCCGUCGUCCACCUUGUUGUUGCCGCUCCUACGACUGCCUCGUCCACGGCAACAAGAUAUAUCCCCCGACCCGGCCGUCUGUCGUCUAAAGUCUUCUUCCCCGCCGCCGACAGCCAUCGCACCCCCAGCACCCUCAACGUAUCAGCAUAGGCCUACAUGGCAUCGCAAGAGAGGUGGUACUCUUCCAUAUGUGCUUAAGUUAUUGAUCUCACCCGGAAAAUAGAUCGUAAUUUGUUUAUUGUACUUUUCUUGUCCGUACCAAAUCAUAGUGGCUAGUUGAAAGCAAACAUUGGUUGCGAAGUAGCUUCGUCCGGUUUGCACCUUCAGAUCCGCCAUGGCACGGGCACUAUACUCGUAAAGCUUAUGGUUUCCCCCCUUUAUAUUCACUACCAUCAUCUUAGGUGCUUCGUGUCAUGCUAGCACUGCUCCUCAAGACCUCAACCCAAAGCUUACGUGUUGAAAUACUAAUCUGAUAUGAUGCUCAUAUCACUAAAACAGAGAGCGUUUAAUUGGUCACCUAAUAUUCCUAUAUUCGUUUCGAAAAGCAUGUGCGCCACCCACUGGUCCAGCUAGUUCCACUUUCCUGAUUUUUCUCUUGAUGCUUAGGGUUUUUCCCUUUUAUCUACUCUACUAUGAUCUGCGUAGGUGCUUUCUGUCGUACUAGCAUUACUCCACCCUUCAAGCUAAACAACACAACACUCAGAAUUCGAAAGCUUAGUUGUUCAAAUAUGAUUGUGAUAUGAUACUGAUAUUAGUUAACCGACACAUUUAAUUGGUUAGUUAAAGGUCCCACUUGAGUUUCCAAAUGCAUGUCGCGACAUAUAGAGAGACAGCAUAAUUGCAUUUCUUUGUCACUUGUUGACCGUACUUUCUUGUCCAUACCAAAUCUUAGUUGUUAUUUCAAAGCAAACAUCGGUUGCUAACUACCCUUUGCACGGUUUGCAGCUUCAGAUGUGCCAUCCCACUGCCACGGUCAACACUGUACUCAUCAUGCUUAUGUUUUCCCCGUUUUAUGAUGACCACAAUCAGCCUACGUGGUUCGCGUCGUAAUAGCACUGCUCCACCCAUCGAGCUAAACAAGCUUAGUUGUACAUAUUCAUAUAUGAUAUUAUUGCUAAUAUUAGUAAAACUGAGAGAUGUUUAAUUGGUUAGCUAAAUGUUCCUACUUUAGUUUCGAAAUGCAUGUGAGCCACAUAUGGAGAGACCGGAAAGAAUAGUAUUUCUUUGUGCGCUCUGGUUCAUCAUGGGUGGCGAACCAACAUUGUAUUAAAAGACUUGUAAUAUCUUCAAUCUGCUUGCUCUUCUGCUCUUCUUUAAGAUGAUACUCUUCUCUUGCGGUCGACUGGUCAGGUCGAGUUGUUCUCCCUUAGUAUAUUUUGAAUCUGUCAGGUCAGGUCGACUUGUUCUUCUUUACUAUAUGUUGAAACUAUCAUCUGCGAAGUGUCAUCACUUCUGGAGCUCUCAUAUUUUGAGUAGUAGGCCACAUUAUAUUAAUGCACACAACAAAUUACAGCAUGCAUGGCAUCUUUUAAAAGAAUUGCAGAGAUAGCACAAAGGGGUUUACAGGGAGGAAGUAUUGGAUUAGAAUCACUUCUGCAUUACAAAGAAAAUCUCACUUGUUUUUAUGUUUUCAUGCAUGUCAGAUAUUGAACAUUAUCAAAAUGAAUAUGAGAAUGGGCACACCAGAGGAAUAUUGCGGAAUGAUCCACUGCCUAACAAACUUGGCAUGGGGGAGGAUGGCCUAUCUUAUUCACCCAUCAAGGUUCUUGCUCUAACUUUGCAAAGUUGUAUUGGUCGCACAUAUUUUGCUUCUGACCUCUUGCAUUACUUCUACUUUGUUACACCAUCUGCUUAGUUUAAGCAUCAUAUAUGAGUAUAUGCCAUACCUAUCCAUUUUAUGUACCUAUUCCAUGUGUCGUCACACUAUGUUUUUCCAGUCAAAUGUUGUUCUUUCGUAAUAGGUGUCCAAAAGGAAGAGGGUGAGUGCAGGUCGUCAAGGAGUACAAACUAGGUAUUUGGAAAAGGUAGUGAUACCUGUUAAAUCAGAUAGAUCAGCAGCCACAGAAAACACAGGCCCAACUAUACCACACUUUACCCCUACUCCAGUGGCCAAACCCCUAUUACAACUGCUGGGAGCCCAGCGUGAGGUACUGUCUAUGAUAUCAAUUCAAAAUUUGAACUCCUAAAUUUCUGCUUGUGCCUUACCUUCUCUCUUGUAUGAAAACUAAUUUCAGAUGAAUCUCCUUGCUCAAAGGAUCAUACGAUCUCAAAACAAUAAUGGGCUCUGCAUUGCUCUUAUCAGUACCUCUCUCCCUUUUGCCUUGUAACAUUGUACUUAAUUAAUUGCUAUUUGAUUAUGUAUCAUCAGUCUGCACCUGAGCUUCAUUAUCCUCUGUUUCUUCCAAUAUUAUUUGAUCUAUAUUUACUCUUUGCAAAAUGUAGAAUAAUGGGAACGCUUAUAAAGAAUUUUCUUUGGGGAAUUUAUUGAAUUAUCCUUCCAUCAACAUGGAGAAGGGCUUUGUCCAGCCCGUGUUAACAUGUAAUGUAAGUUCAUCCUUCUCAAGCCUUCAAACUUUGUUCUAGUAUAGAUUUUGAUAGGCAUCAUUUCCUCCACUGUUGUUUGCUUUGCUGUUUACAUCUGAUUGGAUGUUUGCAACAACUACCAGUUUCAAAUUGUAGUUGUAAAAACAUGUUCCUUAUGCAGAACAGAUCCAUUUAUUUGCUUAUAUAAUUGUGAAACCUGUUACAUGUAUCCUUGUUUCUCUUACGCCAGGCAGAACUUUAGGGAAGAUAGUGAGCCAAACCAUCUUGAGGACAGCGAGAUGACCCCAAGGUCCUGUCUUGAUGAAGACAGUGAGUUGAAGCUACUCACUAGCAUGUGUGAGACAACCUCUGUGCAGUCGCUGCCUCAAUCAGUUCGACUUCUUCAGUCUCAACUUAAAGAGGAAAGGCUUGCUUCAGCUCAGCUCCGACUUGAAGUCAAAGAUGCAAUGAAGAUGUCAGAGGACUGCCGUGCGCACCAUCAUGCCUUAAAUCUAGUGUUGAUGCAUCUAUUGUUGACACAAUUGAGGUCUACUCAGCUUCUUCAGCUAUUUGGGGGACCAACCUGGCCAGGCCUAGUGCCUUCUGAAGUGCUCUCAGUUUUGUAUAUUCUUUUGUCGGUGUGUUUACUUGCACUGGUGGCGAACUUUGAUGCCUAGUGGAUGUAAUAUGUGUGAUAGUCGUGAUAGCCUAGCGUAAGUUGCUUGCUUAUUUAUUUCCUUGUUGUCUUGUUUAUUUGUUUGCUUCUAGUCAUUGCAGUUCUUUUUCCGCGGUUUGCUAGUGGCUGCUAAAGGAAAUAUGCCCUAGAGGCAAUAAUAAAGUUAUUAUUUAUUUCCUUAUAUCAUGAUAAAAGUUUAUUAUUCAUGCUAGAAUUGUAUUAUCUGGAAACAUAAUACUCGUGUGAAUACAUAGACAAACUAAACGUCACUAGUGUGCCUCUACUUGACUAGCUCGUUAAUCGAAGAUGGUUAUGUUUCCUAACCAUAGACAUGUGUUGUCAUUUGAUUAACGGGAUCACAUCAUUAGGAGAAUGAUGUGAUUGACAUGACCCAUUCCAUUAGCUUAGCACCCGAUCGUUUAGUAUGUUGCUAUUGCUUUCUUCAUGACUUAUACAUGUUCCUAUGACUAUGAGAUUAUGCAACUCCCGUUUGCCGGAGGAACACUUUGUGUGCUACCAAACGUCACAACGUAACUAGGUGAUUAUAAAGGAGCUCUACAGGUGUCUCCAAAGGUACAUGUUGGGUUGGCGUAUUUCGAGAUUAGGAUUUGUCACUCCGAUUAUCGGAGAGGUAUCUCUGGGCCCUCUCGGUAAUGCACAUCACAUAAGCCUUGCAAGCAUUGCAACUAAUGAGUUAGUUGCGAGAUGAUGUAUUACGAAACGAGUAAAGAGACUUGCUGGUAACGAGAUUGAACUAGGUAUUCAGAUACCGACGAUCGAAUCUCGGGCAAGUAACAUACCGAUGACAAAGGGAACAAAGUAUGUUGUUAUGCGGUCUGACCGAUAAAGAUCUUCGUAGAAUAUGUGGGAGCCAAUAUGAGCAUCCAGGUUCUGCUAUUGGUUAUUGACCGGAGACAUGUCUCGGUCAUGUCUACAUUGUUCUCGAACCCGUAGGGUCCGCACGCUUAACGUUACGAUGCCAGUUUCAUUAUGAGUUUAUAUAUUUUGAUGUAACAAAGUUUGUUCGGAGUCUCGGAUGUGAUCACGGACAUGACGAGGAGUCUCAAAAUGGUCGAGACAUAAAGAUUGAUAUAUUGGACGGCUAUAUUCGGACACCGGAAGUGUUCCGGGUGAUUUCGGAGAAAACCGGAGUGCAGGAGGGUUACCGGAAACCCCCGGGAGAAGUAAUGGGCCUUAUGGGCCCUAGUGGAGAGAGAGAGGGGUGGCUAGGGUGGGCCGUGUGCGCCCUCCCCCUCUGGUCCGAAUUGGACUAGGAGAGGGGGGGCGGCGCCCCCCUUUCCUUCUCCCUCUCCCCCUUCCUUUCCCCCUCCUAGUAGGAGUAGGAAAGAGGGGAGUCCUGCUCCUACUAGGAGGAGGACUCCUCCUUGGCGUGCCCAAGGGCCGGCCGGCCUCCCUCUUGCUCCUUUAUAUACGGGGGCAGGGGGUCACCUCUAGACACACAAGUUGAUCCUCGUGAUCGUUUUCUUAGCUGUGUGUGGUGCCCCCCUCCACCAUACUCCUCGAUAAUAUUGUAGCGGUGCUUAGGCGAAGUCCUGCGACGGUAGAACAUCAAGAUCGUCACCAUGCUGCCGUGCUGACGGAACUCUUCCCCGACACUUUGCUGGAUCGGAGUCCGAGUAUCAUCAUCGAGCUGAACGUGUGCUAAAACUCGGAGGUGCCGUAGUUUCGGUGCUUGAUCGGUCGGGCCGUGAAGACGUACGACUACAUCAACCGCAUUGUCAUAACGCUUCCGCUGUCGGUCUACAAGGGUACGUAGACAAUACUCUCCCCUCUCGUUGCUAUGCAUCACCAUGAUCUUGCAUGUGCGUAGGAAUUUUUUUGAAAUUACUACGUUUCCCAACAGUGGCAUCCGAGCCUAGGUUUUAUGCGUUGAUGUUGUGCACGAGUAGAACACAAGUGAGUUGUGGGCGAUAUAAGUCAUACUGCUUACCAGCAUGUCAUACUUUGGUUCGGCGGUAUUGUUGGAUGAAGCGGCCCGGACCGACAUUACGCGUAUGCUUACACGAGACUGGUUCUACCGACAUGCUUUGCACACAGGUGGUUGGCGGGUGUCAGUUUCUCCAACUUUAGUUGAACCUAGUGUGGCUACGCCCGGUCCUUGUGAAGGUUAAAAUAGCACCAACUUGACAAACUAUCGUUGUGGUUUUUGAUGCGUAGGUAAGAUUGGUUCUUGCUUAAGCCCGUAGCAGCCAUGUAAAACUUGCAACAACAAAGUAGAGGACAUCUAACUUGUUUUUGCAGGCCAUGUUGUGAUGUGAUAUGGUCAAGAUAUGAUGCUAAAUUUUAUUGUAUGAGAUGAUCAUGUUUUGUAACCGAGUUAUCGGCAACUGGCAGGAGCCAUAUGUUUGUCGCUUUAUUGUAUGCAAUGCAAUCGCCCUGUAAUGCUUUACUUUAUCACUAAGCGGUAGCGAUAGUCGUAGAAGCAUAAGAUUGGCGAGACGACAACAAUGCUAGGAUGGAGAUCAAGGUGUCGGGCCGGUGACGAUGGUGAUCAUGACGGUGCUUCGAAGAUGGAGAUCGCAAGCACAAGAUGAUGAUGGCCAUAUCAUAUCACUUAUAUUGAUUGCAUGUGAUGUUUAUCUUUUAUGCAUCUUAUCUUGCUUUGAUUGACGGUAGCAUUUUAAGAUGAUCUCUCGCUAAUUAGCAAGAAGUGUUCUCCCUGAGUAUGCACCGUUGCGAAAGUUCUUCGUGCUGAGACACCAUGUGAUGAUAGGGUGUGAUAGGCUCUACGUUCAAAUACAACGGGUGCAAAACAGUUGCACACGCAGAAUACUCAGGUUAUACUUGACGAGCCAAGCAUAUACAGAUAUGGCCUCGGAACACGGAGACCGAAAGGUCGAGCAUGAAUCAUAUAGUAGAUAUGAUCAACAUAGUGAUGUUUGCCAAUGAAGCUACUCCAUCUCACGUGAUGAUCGGACAUGGUUUAGUUGAUUUGGAUCACGUGAUCACUUAGAGGAUUAGAGGGAUGUCAUCUAAGUGGGAGUUCUUUAGUAAUAUGAUUAAUUGAACUUAAAUUUAUCAUGAACUUAGUACCUGAUAGUAUCUUGCUUGUUUAUGUUUGAUUGUAGAUAGAUGGCCCGUGCUGUUGUUCCGUUGAAUUUUAAUGCAUUCCUUGAGAAAGCAAAGUUGAAAGAUGAUGGUAGCAAUUACACGGACUGGGUCCGUAACUUGAGGAUUAUCCUCAUUGCUGCACAGAAGAAUUACGUCAUGGAAGCACCGCUGGGUGCCAGGCCUGCUGCUGGAGCAACACCAGAUGUUAUGAACGUCUGGCAGAGCAAAGCUGAUGACUACUUGAUAGUUCAGUGUGCCAUGCUUUACGGCUUAGAAUCGGGACUUCAAUGACGUUUUGAACGUCAUGGAGCAUAUGAGAUGUUCCAGGAGUUGAAGUUAGUAUUUCAGGCAAAUGCCCGGAUUGAGAGAUAUGAAGUCUCCAAUAAGUUCUAUAUCUGCAAGAUGGAGGAGAACAGUUCUGUCAGUGAGCAUAUACUCAAAAUGUCUGGGUAUAAUAAUCACUUGAUUCAAUUGGGAGUUAAUCUUCCAGAUGAUUGCGUCAUUGACAAAAUUCUCCAAUCACUUCCACCUAGCUACAAGAGCUUCGUGAUGAACUAUAAUAUGCAAGGGAUGAAUAAGACAAUUCCCGAGCUCUUCACAAUGCUGAAAGCUGCGGAGGUAGAAAUCAAGAAGGAGCAUCAAGUGUUGAUGGUCAACAAGACCACUAGUUUCAAGAAAAAGGGCAAAGGGAAGAAGAAGGGGAACUUCAAAAAGAACAGCAAGCAAGUUGCUACUCAGGAGAAGAUACCCAAAUCUGGACCUAAGCCUGAAACUGAGUGCUUCUAUUGCAAGCAAACUGGUCACUGGAAGCGGAACUGCCCCAAGUAUUUGGCAGAUAAGAAGGAUGGCAAGGUGAACAAAGGUAUAUAUGAUAUACAUGUUAUUGAUGUGUACCUUACUAAUGCUCGCAGUAGCACCUGGGUAUUUGAUACUGGUUCUGUUGCUAAUAUUUGCAACUUGAAACAGGGACUACGGAUUAAGCGAAGAUUGGCUAAGGACGAGGUGACGAUGCGCGUGGGAAAUGGUUCCAAAGUCGAUGUGAUCGCGGUCGGCACGCUACCUCUACAUCUACCUUCGGGAUUAGUAUUAAACCUAAAUAAUUGUUAUUUGGUGCCAGCGUUGAGCAUGAACAUUAUAUCUGGAUCUUGUUUGAUGCAAGACGGUUAUUCAUUUAAAUCAGAGAAUAAUGGUUGUUCUAUUUAUAUGAGUAAUAUCUUUUAUGGUCAUGCACCCUUGAAGAGUGGUCUAUUCUUAUUAAAUCUCGAUAGUAGUGACACACAUAUUCAUAAUGUUGAAGCCAAAAGAUGCAGAGUUGAUAAUGAUAGUGCAACUUAUUUGUGGCACUGCCAAUUAGGUCAUAUCAGUGUAAAGCGCAUGAAGAAACUCCAUACUGAUGGACUUUUGGAACCACUUGAUUAUGAAUCACUUGGUACUUGCGAACCGUGCCUUAUGAGCAAGAUGACCAAAACACCGUUCUCCGGUACUAUGGAGAGAGCAACAGAUUUGUUGGAAAUCAUACAUACAGAUGUAUGUGGUCCAAUGAAUGUUGAGGCUCGUGGCAGAUAUUGUUAUUUUCUCACCUUCACAGAUGACUUAAGCAGAUAUGGGUAUAUCUACUUAAUGAAACAUAAGUCUGAAACAUUUGAAAAGUUCAAAGAAUUUCAGAGUGAAGUUGAAAAUCAUCAUAACAAGAAAAUAAAAUUCCUACGAUCUGAUCGUGGAGGAGAAUAUUUGAGUUACGAGUUUGGUGUACAUUUGAAACAAUGCGGAAUAGUUUCGCAACUCACGCCACCCAGAACACCACAGCGUAAUGGUGUGUCCGAACGUCGUAAUCGUACUUUACUAGAUAUGGUGCGAUCUAUGAUGUCUCUUACUGAUUUAUCGCUAUCAUUUUUGGGGUUAUGCUUUAGAGACGGCCGCAUUCACGUUAAAUAGGGCACCAUCAAAAUCCGUUGAGACGACGCCUUAUGAACUGUGGUUUGGCAAGAAACCAAAGUUGUCGUUUCUGAAAGUUUGGGGCUGCGAUGCUUAUGUGAAAAAGCUUCAACCUGAUAAGCUCAAACCCAAAUCGGAGAAAUGUGUCUUCAUAGGAUAUCCAAAGGAAACUAUUGGAUACACCUUCUAUCACAGAUCCGAAGGCAAGACUUUUGUUGCUAAAUUCGUAAACUUUCUAGAGAAGGAGUUUCUCUCGAAAGAAGUGAGUGGGAGGAAAGUAGAACUUGAUGAGGUAACUGUACCUGCUCCCUUAUUGGAAAGUAGUACAUCACAGAAACCGGUUUCUGUGACACCUACACCAAUUAGUGAGGAAGCUAAUGAUGAUGAUCAUGAAACUUCAGAACAAGAUACUACUGAACCUCGUAGAUCAACCAGAGUGAGAUCCGCACCAGAGUGGUACGAUAAUCUUGUUCUGGAAGUCAUGCUACUAGAUCAUGAUGAACCUACGAACUAUGGAGAAGCGAUGGUGAGCCCAGAUUCCGCAAAAUGGCUUGAAGCCAUGAAAUCUGAGAUGGGAUCCAUGUAUGAGAACAAAGUGUGGACUUUGGUUGACUUUCCCAAAGAUCGGGAAGCAAUUGAGAAUAAAUGGAUCUUCAAGAAGAAGACUGACGCUGACGGUAAUGUACUGUCUACAAAGCUCAACUCGUCGCAAAAGGUUUUCGACAAGUUCAAGGGAUUGACUAUGAUGAGACCUUCUCACCCGUAGCGAUGCUUAAGUCUGUCCGAAUCAUGUUAGCAAUUGCCGCAUUUUAUGAUUAUGAAAUUUGGCAGAUGGAUGUCAAAACUGCAUUCCUGAAUGGAUUUCUGGAAGAAGAGUUGUAUAUGAUGCAGCCAGAAGGUUUUUUCGAUCCAAAGGGAGCUAACAAAGUGUGCAAGCUCCAGCGAUCCAUUUAUGGACUGGUGCAAGCCUCUCGGAGUUGGAAUAAACGCUUUGAUAAUGUGAUCAAAUCAUUUCGUUUUGUACAGACUUUUGGAGAAGCCUGUAUUUACAAGAAAGUAAGUGGGAGCUGUGUAGCAUUUAUGAUAUUAUAUGUAGAUGACAUAUUACUAAUCGGAAAUGAUAUAGAAUUUCUGGAUAGCAUAAAGGGAUACUUGAAUAAGAGUUUUUCAAUGAAAGACCUCGGUGAAGCUGCUUACAUAUUGGGCAUUAAGAUCUAUAGAGAUAGAUCAAGACGCUUAAUUGGACUUUCACAAAGCACAUACCUUGACAAAGUUUUGAAGAAGUUCAAAAUGGAUCAAGCAAAGAAAGGAUUCUUGCAUGUGUUACAAGGUGUGAAAUUGAGUAAGACUCAAUGCCCGACCACUGUAGAAGAUAGAGAGAAAAUGAAAGAUGUUCCCUAUGCUUCAGCCAUAGGCUCUAUCAUGUAUGCAAUGUUGAGUACCAGACCUGAUGUAUGUCUUGCUAUAAGUCUAGCAGGGAGGUACCAAAGUAAUCCAGGAGUGGAUCACUCGACAGCGGUCAAGAACAACCUGAAAUACCUGAAAAUGACUAAGGAUAUGUUUCUCAUAUAUGGAGGUGACAAAGAGCUCAUCGUAAAUGGUUACGUUGAUGCAAGCUUUGACACUGAUCCAGAUGAUUCUAAAUCGCAAACCGGAUACGUGUUUACAUUAAACGAUGGAGAUGUCAGUUGGUGCAGUUCUAAAAACAAAGCGUUGUGGCGGGAUCUACAUGUGAAGCGGAGUACAUAGCUGCUUCGCAAGCAGCAAACGAAGGAUUCUUGAUGAAGGAGUUCAUAUCCAAUCUAGGUGUCAUACCUAGUGCAUCGGGUCUAAUGAAAAUCUUUUGUGACAAUACCGGUGCAAUUGCCUUGGGAAAGGAAUCCAGAUUUCACAAGAGAACCAAGCACAUCAAGAGACGCUUCAAUUCCAUCCGGGAUCUAGUCUAGGUGGGAGACAUAGAGAUUUGCAAGAUACAUAUGGAUCUGAAUGUAGCAGACCCGUUGACUAAGCCUCUUCCACGAGCAAAACAUGAUCAACACCAAAGCUCCAUGGGUGUUAGAAUCAUUACUGUGUAAUCUAGAUUAUUUGACUCUAGUGCAAGUGGGAGACUGAAGGAAAUAUGCCCUAGAGGCAAUAAUAAAGUUAUUAUUUAUUUCCUUAUAUCAUGAUAAAAGUUUAUUAUUCAUGAUAGAAUUGUAUUAUCCGAAAACAUAAUACUUGUGUGAAUACAUAGACAAACUAAACGUCACUAGUGUGCCUCUACUUGACUAGCUCGUUAAUCGAAGAUGGUUAUGUUUCCUAACCAUAGACAUGUGUUGUAAUUUGAUUAACGGGAUCACAUCAUUAGGAGAAUGAUGUGAUUGACAUGACCCAUUCCAUUAGCUUAGCACCCGAUCGUUUAGUAUGUUGCUAUUGCUUUCUUCAUGACUUAUACAUGUUCCUAUGACUAUGAGAUUAUGUAACUCCCGUUUGUCGUAGGAACACUUUGUGUGCUACCAAACAUCACAACGUAACUGGGUGAUUAUAAAGGAGCUCUACAGGUGUCUCCAAAGGUACAUGUUGGGUUGGCGUAUUUCGAGAUUAGGAUUUGUCACUCCGAUUGUCGGAGAGGUAUCUCUGGGCCCUCUCGGUAAUGCACAUCACAUAAGCCUUGCAAGCAUUGCAACUAAUGAGUUAGUUGUGAGAUGAUGUAUUACGAAACGAGUAAAGAGACUUUCCGGUAACGAGAUUGAACUAGGUAUUCAGAUACCGACGAUCGAAUCUCGGGCAAGUAACAUACCGAUGACAAAGGGAACAAAGUAUGUUGUUAUGCGGUUUGACCGAUAAAGAUCUUCGUAGAAUAUGUGGGAGCCAAUAUGAGCAUCCAGGUUCCGCUAUUGGUUAUUGACCGGAGACAUGUCUCGGUCAUGUCUACAUUGUUCUCGAACCCAUAGGGUCCGCACGCUUAACGUUACGAUGACAGUUUCAUUAUGAGUUUAUAUAUUUUGAUGUACCGAAGUUUGUUCGGAGUCCCGGAUGUGAUCACGGACAUGACGAGGAGUCUCGAAAUGGUCGAGACAUAAAGAUUGAUAUAUUGGACGGCUAUAUUCGGACACCGGAAGUGUUCCGGAUGAUUUCGGAGAAAACCGGAGUGCAGGAGGGUUACCGGAAACCCCCCGGGAGAAGUAAUGGGCCUUAUGGGCCCUAGUGGAGAGAGAGAGGGGCGGCUAGGGUGGGCCGCGCGCCCCCUCCCCCUCUGGUCCGAAUUGGACUAGGAGAGGGAGGGCGGCUCCCCCUUUCCUUCUCCCUCUCCCCCUUCCUUUCCCCCUCCUAGUAGGAGUAGGAAAGAGGGGAGUCCUACUCCUACUAGGAGGAGGACUCCUCCUCCUUGGCGCGCCCAAGGGCCGGCCGGCCUCCCCCCUUGCUCCUUUAUAUACGGGGGCAGGGGGGCACCUCUAGACACACAAGUUGAUCCUCAUGAUCGUUUUCUUAGCCGUGUGCGGUGCCCCCCUCCACCAUACUCCUCGAUAAUAUUGUAGCGGUGCUUAGGCGAAGCCCUGCGACGGUAGAACAUCAAGAUCGUCACCACACCAUCGUGCAAAGACGGAACUCUUCCCCGACACUUUGCUGGAUCGGAGUCCGGGGAUCGUCAUCGAGGUGAACGUGUGCUAAAACUCGGAGGUGCCGUAGUUUCGGUGCUUGAUCGGUCGGGCCGUGAAGACGUACGACUACAUCAACCGCGUUGUCAUAACGCUUCCGCUGUCGGUCUACGAGGGUACGUAGACAAUACUCUCCCCUCUCGUUGCUAUGCAUCACCAUGAUCUUGUGUGUGCGUAGGAUUUUUUCUGAAAUUACUACGUUUCCCAACAACUGCAAUAACCUAUUUUUUAAAACUAGGCCACAAUAACCAUGGGCUAAUAUUUACUGUAGUGACACUGGGCCUCCUAUGGACCGUAGAAACAGUGGGCCUUCUACGGGCCGUAGAAACAAUGGGCCUUCUACGGGCCGUAUCAUCAAUGGGCCUUAUAUGGGCAGUAUGAUCGAUGGCCAAACAUGGGCCAAUAACAGGCCGCAUUAUGGUCGUAAACGGGCUAGAGUUGGAAUCGUCCGUUCAUGGGCCGACCAUAACGGUCCAUCGUUAAUAGGCCGUAUUUGAUGACGCUAUGAAAACGGCCCAACGUAUUAACGUACCACAAAUGGGCCGACUGUAACCACGGGCUGAAUUUGUCCCACAAGCAGAAAAUGACAGUAACGGGCCAUAAGUAGACGAAUGCUGGAAAUGAGCCCAAGAAUAAAUGGGCUCUGAGAAGAUCGAAAGAUAACAUGGGCUGGAAACGGCCCAACGGAAUAACGGGCCGUUAAUGGGUAUAAAGUGAUACACUGUUCAUUACGGGCCAGUUUCACCACGGGCCGUUAAUGGGUGUAAAGUGAUACACUGUUCAUUACGGGCCAGUUUCACCACGGGCCGUUAAUAGGCCAAGAGUUACAUAGGGCCUCAUAUGGGCCGAAAGACGUCAUGGGACAUACAUGGGCCAGAAGUGAAAAUAGGCUGGAAUCAUAUUGGGUGGCCCAGAUGACGCUACUGGGCCUAAUUCGGAUAGGGCAUAACGGGCCUUGGGUUAGCGGGCUGUAAAUGGGCUAUAUGCGAACAUGCCGUUAACAGGCUUUACAUGGGCCGGCCCGCCACCUUUUGACCAAGUCAAAUGGGCCGGCCUUUUCACAGGAAUGUGCCUCUGUUGGGCCGUGACACGUGUCGACGUAUCACAGGCGCCUAUCUGACCCACUGACGAGCUGACACAUGUUUCGUCCGACCAAUAAGAAUUUUACAUGUGGAAAUUUCCCAUUGGUCGGGGCUGUUAACGGGUUAUUGGAUCCAAAACCUGACCCGAUAGCUUAACGGUGUUCCGUUACGGUGGAUGCCACGUGUUGGUCACCCUUGACGAAAGCACUUCUGUGACGCGCGAUUUAUCAUCAUGGAAGUGGACACUUCCGUGAUGAUAAUUUUGGUAAUGUCAUGAAACACUUCUACGACAGCACAGGUAUGACUAUCUUCAUUCUGUCAUAAAUUUGUCAUGGAUGUACAUGCAUGACAAAAAAACGCGACCUACUGUGACAAACACGUGUCAUCACGGAAGUGUAUUUUUUUGUAGUGCAUGUAUCAACUAGGUUGUCCGUAUCUUCCAUGUUAGGCGGGUUAUUCUCAAGAGGAGUGGACUCCGCUCCUCAUUCACGAGAAAAUGGCUGGUCACCGUGAUGCCCAGUCCCAUGCUUUAUGUAAAUCAAAUCAAAAUAAUUGCAAACAAAACUCCCCCUAGGACUGUUGUUAGUUGGAGGCACUCGUUGUUUCGAUCAAGCCAUGGAUUGAUGCUUGUUGGUGGAGGGGGGGUAUAAACUUUACCAUUCUGUUUGGGAACCUCCUAUAAUGUGUGUAGCAUGGAAUAUAUCACCAUCUAUUGGUUGUUAUGUUGACAAUGAAAGCAUGCCGCUCAAAAUAUUAUUUAUCUCUGUUUUAAAAUCGAGCUCUAGCACCUCUACAAAUCCUUGCUUCCCUCUGCGAAGGGCCUAUCUAUUUACUCUUAUGUUGAGUCAUCACCCUCUUAUUAAAAAGCACCAGUUGGAGAGCACCGCUGUCAUUUGCAUUCAUUACUGUUAGUUUACAUUGAGUAUGACUUGACUGGAUCUCUUUUACCAUGAAUUACAAUGUCUAGUCAGUCCUUGAUCUUUAAAGGUGCUCUGCAUUUAUGUUUUGCGGUCUCAGAAAGGGCUAGCGAGAUAGCAUCCUGUUAUAUCAUAUCAUGAUUGUUUUGAGAAAGUGUUGUCAUCCGAGAUUUAUUAUUAUUGCUCACUAGUUGAUUAUGCCAUUGAUAUGAGUAAACAUGAGACCUAAAUGUUAUUGUGAAUGUGGUUAGUUCAUAAUGUUUGCUGAAAACUUGAAUGUUGGCUUUACAUAUUUACAACAACAAGAGAAAACAGAGUUUGUAAAAGUUUUUCUUUAUCACUUUCAGUUUGUCAACUGAAUUGCUUAAGGAUAAGCAAAGGUUUAAGCUUGGGGGAGUUGAUACGUCUCCAUCGUAUCUACUUUUCCAAACACUUUUGCCCUUAUUUUGGACUCUAACCUGCAUGAUUUGAAUGGAACUAACCCGGACUGACGCUGUUUUUAGUAGAAUUGCCAUGGUGUUAUUUAUUUGUAGAAACAAAAGUUCUCGAAAUGACCUGAAACUCCAUGGAGAUUAUUUUUGGAAAUAAUAAAAAAUACUGGCAAAGAAUCAAGGCCAGGGGCCCACACCCUAGCCACGAGGGUGGGGGCGCACCCCCUGCCUCGUGGGCCCCCUGUAGCUCCACCGACCUCAACUCCAACUCCAUAUAUUCGUGUUCAGGGAGGAAAAAUCAAAGAGAAGGAUUCAUCGCGUUUUACGAUACGGAGCCACCGCCAAGCCCUAAACUCUCUCAGGAGGGCUGAUCUGGAGUCCGUUCGGGGCUCUGGAGAGGGGAAUCCAUCGCCGUCGUCAUCAUCAACCAUCCUCCAUCACCAAUUUCAUGAUGCUCACCGCCGUGCGUGAGUAAUUCCAUCGUAGGCUUGCUGUACGGUGAUGGGUUGGAUGAGAUUUAUCAUGUAAUCGAGUUAGUUUUGUUAGGGUUUGAUCCCUAGUAUCCACUAUGUUCUGAGAUUGAUGUUGCUAUGACUUUGCUAUGCUUAAUGCUUGUCACUAUGGGACGAGUGCCAUGAUUUCAGAUCUGAACCUAUUAUGUUUUCAUGAAUAUAUGUGAGUUCUUGAUCCUAUCUUGCAAGUCUAUACUCACCUACUAUGUGUUAUGACCCGGCAACCCCGAAGUGACAAUAAUCGGGAACACUCCAGGUGAUGACCGUAGUUUGAGGAGUUCAUGUAUUCACUAUGUGUUAAUGCUUUGGUCUGGUACUCUAUUAAAAGGAGGCCUUAAUAUCCCUUAGUUUCCAAUACGACCCCGCUGUCACGGGAGGGUAGGACAAAAGAUGUCAUGCAAGUUCUUUUCCAUAAGCACGUAUGACUAUAUUCGAAAUACAUGCCUACAUUACAUUGAUGAAUUGGAGCUAGUUCUGUGUCACCCUAUGUUAUGAUUGUUACAUGAUGAACUACAUCCGGCAUAAUUCUCUAUCACCGAUCCAUUGCCUACGAGUUUUUCAUAUAUUGUUCUUCGCUUAUUUACUUUUCUGUUGCUAUUGUUAUCAUCACUACAAAAUACCAAAAAUAUUACUUUUGCUACCAUUACCUUUUACCACCGCUACCACUACUAUCAUAUUACUUUGCUACUAAAUACUUUGCUGCAGAUAUUAAGUUAUCCAGGUGUGGUUGAAUUGACAACUCAGCUGCUAAUACUUGAGAAUAUUCUUUGGCUCCCCUUGUGUCGAAUCAAUAAAUUACCCUCGAAAACUGUUGCGAUCCCCUAUACUUGUGGGUUAUCAGCCGCCAGAUGUGAGUCUCUUAAUUUUCCAUACUUUUAUCUCAUCAUCCAAAUACUAUGUUAACUCAAGUAAGCUAAUCUAUCGCAGGCUAAAUCUGAUUUCUGAAAGGCAAAAUAUGAUCAUGAAGCUGCCAAAAAGGCCAGGGCUGCCAUGAAAGCCGCCAAGAAAACCACCAAGAAGCAUAAGAAGAAACCAACUGCCUCUGACCUGCUUAAUCUAGAUGAGACUUCUGAGUCGGAGGUAGCCCUUGACUCCCUUGGCUCCUUUUUCCAAUUAUCUUAUUGACAUUGAUUACUCUCAUGAUGACACGGGGGCCAUUCAAGCAGUUGAUGAAGAGGUAACUAUCAUUUCCUCUGACUCAGAGCCCUUGCCAAGACAGAAAAUUCGAUGAAUAGUCCAAAAAGUAAGCUUUUCACACCCCUUAGCUCAUUGGGAUCCUCACUUUCUUUUGAAGCAACAGUAGCACGAGAGCGGGUGCCAGACUCGGAAUAGUGAAGGUGAAGAAUUGUCCUCCGGUUUACCGGACACUCCAAUUCCACGGAAACGCCAAAAGGUUCUUCCAAACUUAGCUCCUUUUUACCCGCUGGCGGGUCUCUUUCGCAAGCCACUCAAUUCCUCUGAUUCAAACUUCCAGGAGGUUUCUCGCUCUUCCUCUGGCGACUCAUCCUAGACCCAGCUGCCGGCUUUCAAGACUGCCCCUGGGUAACGACGACUACUUUUAUUAUGUACUUUACAUUCUUACCAUUAUACUGAUUUGUCAUAACCCGUUCAGUGGACAAGCAAAACCUAACAAAAAGGCAAAAGUGUCCAAGUCGACUGAGGGUCCUAAAGUUGCUGAACCGGAGCAGCAAGCCUCUGUACCUAAUGCCUCUGAAAAACAGCCAGAAGAACCUGCUUCUGACAUUCCACCUGAGAUGCCUGACCUCUCCGUUGAUCAAACCAACACUGGCUCGUUGAAUACUGAACCGUCAAGCUCACUUAAACCGUCAGAGACCCAUACUGAUGACGUUCUGAUCACUGGCACAGGUUUUACUGAACCGGAAAAUCCAACUAUUUUAGCCAAACACUCUGCCAAGCAAGAAGUUAUUGAAAGAUGGAAAGUGAGGUUUGCUAUCUCCCACUAUGCUCAAUUGAGCAGCAGUGAAGUAUUGUCCGGUUAUCUCAACCAAGUACACUCCAGCCGUGAUUUUGAAAUUGAGACGGUGAAACAGAUGCACCAAAAAUAUGAGGUAUGUCUUCCGGUUUUAAAUAAGUUAUGUACAUCCUGCCAGCCGCCAAGUCUACUGGUUAUGAUAAGAUUGAAUAAGCUAUGGACUUAGAAUAAUCCAUAAACAUCUGUAAUAGAAUCCAUCCAGAGCCGUCUGUCAUAAUUAGAUUUAAGCUGAAUGUGUAAACAAUUUAGCAUUGCAUCCGUAGUCCUCAAUGGCCGGCUUAAUCAGCAUGAAUGAGCCGGUACUUCUCAGUUGUAGAGGGCAGAAUUUACUUACGCGGCCCCAUGAGCCGGUUGUGGCUGUCCGUUGUGCUGGCGGGUCAUCAUGAAACAAGAAUGAGAUAUGAACAAAUAUCUACCAUUCGGACUAGAAAAAACACCACGAGCUAGCCCACGCAAGAAAGCCACGCCACGCACGCCCAGCGGCCAACACACGUGGGAGACGACGGUCAGCACACGACCUUGGCACGCAUGCCGAGUGGCGACCAGACCAAGGCGACGGUUAAGUCCUAGUUGCAGGACUACGGUAGUCGCGCACGGUCCCAUCUCAUGAAAUCCGUAGCAGGCGCCGUCCCCGCAGAACUCGUCCCUGGCAAAGUCGGACGUCGCGAUGGCUGCAUGGACGACACACUCACGCCGGAGCAUCCCAGCAGCCAGGACGGUGCAAGCUAGGGUGGCCUCGCCGGCCUUCCGGCAUAGUCCAUCUAAGAGGGUGGCUCUCGUCUGUGCCUGUCAGCGACACACACGCAACACAGACAUGAGAAAACCAUGCACACAUGCAUCAUGCAGCAGCAGCAUACGUGGGCAUGGGAACUCCUGUCCCGCGAGCUCGAGCGGCAGCAACGACCAGCUCGUGGCCGGCACGCACGACAACAACGGUGAACACAUGUGGCAGCGGGUGGCUGUUGAACAGAAGGGCCAGUGCAACUGUGCAAUGCACGACACGCUAACUAGAACAUGGCUGUGUGCGUGAGCCCGCUAGCUAGCACGCCAUGGCCGGGGGCAAGCAGGUCCGGCCAGGCCAAGAGCAUCUGCGGUGGUGCGAGCAGGGUGCAGCAGGUCCGGCGAGAUUCGCGGGUAGUCAGCUGAAGAUGGCGGGCUAACUGGUGGCGCCGUGUGGGGAGGUUACGUUGGUGUCUUGGCGGCGUCGGGUGCUCCGCAUCGGCAGGGAUCGAGACAAAGGAGAGAGAGAAAAAGGAAUUUUAUUAUUACGGUUUGUUUAGAUCAAUGAUGUUUACAUCUCAUAUUUGUACCAAGUUUUAAAAACCGAUGUAUGAUGCUUUGUGUAUUCUUUUGUUUAUCCAUCCAAAUGGCAUAUGGUGGGAGGACGAUGCUUCACAUGGUAAGUUUUUUUAAUAGUUGUGAGUGUUUUUCCGAUGUGUUUGCAAUUCGGCAUGAGAGGAGUCCCUUUAUACAUGUAGUUAUGUUGGUCUAGAUAUUUACAAAGGAUGAUGCUUCCUUAUUUGAAGAGGCUAAAUUCUUUCCCGUUGGUAAGUUUCUGCAUUCCAAUGAGUAUCUGAGAAAUAAAAAUCAAGAGUCUAUAAUGGUGGAAAGGAGGAAAAGCGGCCACAUGAAUAGAGGCUUAUUAGGUUAGGGGCAUGUGACGGUUUUUUUCUGCCGUUGCAACGCACGGGCAAGUUUGCUAGUCUCUUAUCAAAAUCUCAAAUACAUACAAAUUCAUGCGCAUCAAUCAUACACAUGAAUAUCACACAUAAAUAACAUUUGUCCAUAGCAAAAAAUAUAUGGUUUAAACAUAGAAUUUAUUUGAAGUGGACAAUUAAAAAUGUUAAAUUCCUUGGUUUUCAUUGUGGGUCCAUAUGCUCCACAAGAUUAUCAAGUUGUUGCAUGUGCACGGCAUGGGCAAAUCUCAUAGUGAUAUCAAGGCAUGCGCUCUCCCCUAUCUGGACCAUCCAUCUCACCAACGGUAUCGGCGGCGGUACUUAAUGCAAGCAUUCUUAGUGCAACCAUGCAUUUCUGCAAAGGAGAGAACGAGAGUUGUCUGCAACAAUCCCUCUUGACUCCGAAGUAGGGAUCAUGUGCAAGAACAAGGGUUUGCGCAUAUGAAAGCCUCGACGAAAAAAUACUUCAGGGAACGGGGUGAAACUAGUCCCCUUGAAGUUCAGAAUGUCCUCCACUUACCCCUCUCCAUUUCCCCCUGAAUGAUGAUCAUCAUCAUAGGCAAUGGUGGCUUGGGCAUUGUCUAUAGGGCAGCACUCCUUGAAGGUCAGAGAGUCACGAUCAAGCGCCUUGAUACGUCUCCAACGUAUCAAUAAUUUUUGAUUAUUCCAUGCUAUUAUAUUAUCCAUCUUGGAUGUUUCAUAUGCAUUUAUAUGCUAUUUUAUAUGAUUUUUGGGACUAACCUAUUAACCUAGAGCCCAGUGCCAGUUUCUAUUUUUUCCUUGUUUUUGAGUUUUACAGAAAAUGAAUACCAAAUGGAGUCCAAUUGACGUGCCAAUUUUUGAUGAUUUUUUAUGGACCAAAAGAAGCCCCCGAAGUAAAAGAGUUGGGCCAGAAGAGUCCUGAGCCAUCCACGAGGGUGGAGGGCGCGCCCUACCCCCUGGGCUCACCCCCCUAUCUCGUGGAUGACUCGAAGACCCUCCUGACGUGAGACCGAUGCCAAAAAUUCCUAUAAAUACAGAAACCCCCGAAAAGAAACCUAGAUCGGGAGUUCCUCCGCCGCAAGCCUCUAUAGCCACCGAAAACCAAUCUAGACCCAUUUCGGCACCCUGCCGGAGGGGGGAAUCCCUCUCCGAUGGCCAUCUUCAUCAUCUCGGCGCUCUCCAUGACGAGGAGGGAGUAGUUCACCCUCGGGGCUGAGGGUAUGUACCAGUAGCUAUGUGUUUGAUCUCUCUCUCUCUCUCUCGUGUUCUUGAUUCGGAACGAUCUUGACGUAUCGCGAGCUUUGUUGUUAUAGUUGGAUCUUAUGAUGGUUCGCCCCCUCGACUCUCUUGUAAUGGAUUGAGUUUUCUUUUUGAAGUUAUCUUAUCGGAUUGAGUCUUUAAGGAUUUGAGAACAAUUGGCGUAUGUCUUGCAUGUGCUUAUCUGUGGUGACAAUGGGAUAUCACGUGAUCCACUUGAUGUAUGUUUUGGUGAUCAACUUGCGAGUUCCGUGACCUCGUGAACUUAUGCAUAGGGAUCCACUUGUUGACCUCGGGCACUCUUUGAAGUUCUUUGUGUUGGUUGAAUAGAUGAAUCUGAGAUUGUGUGAUGCAUAUCGUAUAAUCAUACCCACGGAUACUUGAGGUGGCAUUGGUGUAUCUAGGUUACAUUAGGGUUUUGGUUGAUUUGUGUCUUAAUGUGUUAUCUAGUACGAACUCUAGGAUAGAUUGAAUGGAAAGAAUAGCUUCGUGUUAUUUUACUAUGGACUCUUGAAUAGAUCGAUCAGAAAGAAUAACUUUGAGGUGGUUUCGUACCCUACAAUAAUCUCUUCGUUUGUUCUCCGCUAUUAGUGACUUUGGAGUGACUCUUUGUUGCAUGUUGAGGGAUAGUUAUAUGAUCCAAUUAUGUUAUUAUUGUUGAGAGAACUUGCACUAGUGAAAGUAUGAACCCUAGGCCUUGUUUCAAUGCAUUGCAAUACCGUUUUCGCUCACUUUUAUCAUUAGUUACCUUGUUGUUUUUAUAAUUUCAGAUUAUAAAAACCUAUAUCUACCAUCCAUAUUGCACUUGUAUCAUCAUCUCUUCGCCGAACUAGUGCACCUAUACAAUUUACCAUUGUAUUGGGUGUGUUGGGGACACAAGAGUCUCUUUGUUAUUUGGUUGCAGGGUUGUUUGAGAGAUACCAUCUUCAUCCUACGCCUCCCACGGAUUGAUAAACCUUAGGUUAUCCACUUGAGGGAAAUUUUCUACUGUCCUACAAACCUUUACACUUGGAGGCCCAACAACGUCUAUAAGAAGAAGGUUGUGUAGUAGACAUCAAACGCUUUUCUGGCGUCGUUGCCAGGGAGGUUAGCACUUGAAGGUAUAUCUUUAGAUCUUGCAAUCGAAUCUUUUAGUUUCUUGUUUAUCACUAGUCUAGUCUAUAAAAGAAAACUACAAAAAAAUGGAAUUGAGGUUGCCUCAUAUGCUUCAUCUUUUUAAUGUCUUUCGCAAAAAUAAGGAUUCCGAUAAUUGUGCCAAAGUGUUAGAAGAAGUAUGCAUUAAAAUGUUUGGCACUAAAUAGUUGAAUGAUGAGCAUGAUUGCAAUGUUGUUAGUACAAAUUCUUUGAAUAUUCAUGAUGCUAAUGAUAUGCAAAGCCACAAGUUUGGGGAUGCUAUGUUUGAUGAAGAUGAUAUUUUUUGUCCCCCAAGUUUUGAUGAGCAAAUUUAUUAUGAUGAAAGCAUCCCUCCUAUCUAUGAUGAUCAUUGUGAUGACACGUAUGCUAUAAAGAAUAAUGAUAUCCAUGAAACUUGUCAUCAUGAUUUUAACUUUCAUUUGGAUUAUGCCUCACAUGAUAGUUAUUUUGUUGAGUUUGCUCCCACUACUAUUCAUGAGAAGAAAUUUGCUUAUGUGGAGGGUAAUAAAAGUUAUAUGCUUGUAGAUCAUGAAAAGAAUUCUUUAUGUGAUGGUUAUAUUGUUGAAUUCAUUCAUGAUUCUACUGAAAAAUUAUUAUGAGGAAGGAAUAUAUGCUCGUAGGAAUUGCAAUAAUAUCAAGUUUCCUCUCUAUGUGCUUAAAAUCUUGAAGUUAUGCUUGUUUCACCUUCCUAUGCAAGUUGUUUCUUGUUCCCACAAAUUGUUUGAUCACAAAAUACCUAUGCAUAGGAAGUGGGUUAGGCUUAAAUAUGCUAGUUAUAUUCUUCAUGAUGCUUCCAUUAUGUUUCAAUUCGUAUCUUUUAUAUGAGCAUCAUUGAAAUCAUCAUGCCUAGCUAGAAAAGCGCUUGUUGGGAGACAACCCACUAUUUAUCCCUACUAUUUUUGUGUGUUCACAUGAUUAUGCUAAUGUAGUAAUCAUGUUUUAUAGCUUUUGUUUCAAUAAAGUGUCAAGUAAGACCUUUGGGAUGGCUUACGGUGAUAGUUGAUUUGAUCUUGCUGAAAAACAGAAACUUUUGCGCCCAGGAGAUUAGUUUUAAUUUUUAACAGAAGUGCGAUAAAAUACUGGUUAUUUUUCAGAGGAUUUAUAAAUAAAUUGUCUAGGACUUCCUAAUUUCUCAGUAUUUUUGGAGUUACAGAAGUAUUCGAGAGUUACAGAUAACUACACACUGUUCUGUUUUUGACAGAUUCUGUUUUUGAUACAUAGUUUGCUUGUUUUCUAGUUUCUAUGGCUUAUAUUGCUUAAUAUAAAUUGUAGAAAUGGUAUGGUACAGUAGGCAUCAUGUGGGAAAAAUUAUGAAUCUUGUCUUGACAGUACCUAAGUGAUGAUUUGCUUUCUUAUACUAACGGAACUUACGAGUUUUCUGUUAAGUUUUGUGUUGUGAAGUUUUAGGUAAAGUUUUGAUGGACUACAGAAUAAGGAGUGGCAAGAGCCUAAGCUUGGGGAUGCCCAAGGCACCCUCAAGGUAAUAUUCAAGGACAACCAAGAGCCUAAGCUUAGGGAUGCCCCGGAUGGCAUCCCCUCUUUCGUCUUCGUUCAUCGGUAACCUUACUUGGAGCUAUAUUUUUAUUCACCACAUGAUAUGUGUUUUGCUUGGAGCGUCAUUUUAUUUUAUUAGGAUUUGCUUGCUGUUAUUUAGAGUAAUAUUUUGCAUAUUUUACUUCAAUAAAAAGGUCAAAUAUAGCCUUUACCAUGCUUAUUUUGCAGGUCCAUAUGUUGUUGUUUUAAAAACAUAAAGUUUGUUGUUAUGUUUUGAAUAUUUGUGAAUAGUCAGAACAUGAUAAAAUCUUGAUUAUUUUACACAAUUAGCAAAAACAAAUUAUCUACAGUGUGGUAAUUUUUCAGAAUUUUUGGAGUUAGGUAAGUAUGAUUCCUCUUGCAUUCCUUACAGACUAUCUUGUUUAGACAGAUUGCUCUUAUGUUUGCAUUGUUUGCAUAUGUUUGCUUAUUUAAUGAUUCUAUUUAAGGAUAGGACUCUUAAAUAUGCAGAGGCAUUUAGUAGGCAAUGUUAAAUAAUUAUUUUAGUUGUUUGCUACAGUAGAGAAUGAUAAGAUUUAGCAUGGAUUUAUACUAACUUAUCUCAUGAGUUCUUGUUUAGCUUUGUGUGGAUGAAGUUUUUAAGAUUUAGGAAAACCGCAAUAUGAAAGGAAUUAAGGUGACAAUGGGAUAUCACAUGAUCCACUUGAUGUAUGUUUUGGUGAUCAACUUGCGAGUUCCGUGACCUCGUGAACUUAUGCAUAGGGGUUGGCACACGUUUUCGUCUUGACUCUCCGCUAGAAACUUUGGGGCACUCUUUGAAGUUCUUUGUGUUGGUUGAAUAGAUGAAUCUGAGAUUGUCUGAUGCAUAUCGUAUAAUCAUACCCACGGAUACUUGAGGUGACAUUGGAGUAUCUAGGUGACAUUAGGGUUUUGGUUGAUUUAUGUCUUAAGGUGUUAUUCUAGUACGAACUCUAGGAUAGAUUGAACGGAAAGAAUAGCUUCGUGUUAUUUUACUACGGACUCUUGAAUAGAUCGAUCAGAAAGAAUAACUUUGAGGUGGUUUCGUACCCUACAAUAAUCUCUUCGUUUGUUCUCCGUUAUUAGUGACUUUUGAGUGACUCUUUGUUGUAUGUUGAGGGAUAGUUAUAUGAUCCAAUUAUGUUAUUAUUGUUGAGAGAAUUUGCACUAGUGAAAGUAUGAACCCUAGGCCUUGUUUCAACGCGUUGCAAUACCGUUUUCGCUCACUUUUAUCAUUAGUUACCUUACUAUUUUUAUAAUUUCAGAUUAUAAAAACCUAUAUCUACCAUCCAUAUUGCACUUGUAUCACCAUCUCUUCGCCGAACUAGUGCACAUAUACAAUUUACCAUUUUAUUGGGUGUGUUGGGGACACAAGAGACUCUUUGUUAUUUGGUUGCAGGGUUGUUUGAGAGAGACCAUCUUCAUCCUACGCCUCCCACGGAUUGAUAAACCUUAGGUCAUCCACUUGAGGGAAAUUUGCUACUGUCCAACAAACCUCUGCACUUGGAGGCCCAACAACGUUUACACGAAGAAGGUUGUGUAGUAGACAUCACAGCUUCAUAGUGGCCGCCAGUUCCAAAACUUCCAAGGUGACUGUGAGUUCCUAGCUGAGAUGGAAACCAUUGGGAAGGUGAAGCAUCCAAACCUUGUUCCCCUACUUGUCUACUGUGUUUGGCGAUGAGCGGUUCCUGAUCUACGAGUACAUGGAGAAUGGGGGUCUUCAAGGGAAAGUAGUGUCUGCACUCAUCUUUGGUGCACUCACGGUGCACCCACGUAAAAAAACAUAGCAGCACAUUUCAAAAAAUUCUGAAACUUUGUGGGAAUGAUCAUCAACAAAUGUUAUGGGUGAUUUUGUCUUUUUUGUAUAGAGCUUCUUGAAUGUUAUUUGACCACCAAACUUUGCAAGUGCCCAUAACAUUUGUUGAUGAUCAUUCACACAAAGUUUCCGAAUUUUUUGAAAUGUUUUGCUAUGUUUUCUUGCAUGGGUGCACCGAGGGUGUAGAAAAACCAGUCUCGGGCCUUGAAAUAUGGUUGAGGAACCUAGCAGGCGCACUUGAAGCGCUUGGAUGGCCAGACCGUCUCAAGAUCUGCCUGCCUCGGCUCUACCCAUGGUCUUGCUUUCCUCCAUGAGGCUGUGUUCGGUUGACAUGGUUUUGAAGGAGGUUUGGCAGGGAUUGAAGGGGAUUAAAUCUCAUACAAGUCAAAUUCCGCCCAAAUCCCCUCCAAUCCCCUUGGGACAGGGUGUAACCAAACAAAGCCUGGAGGAUUUGUGCCUCAUCGGGACAUGAAAUCAAGCAACAUUCUGUUGGAUGAGAAUUUCGAGCCGUGGUCUCUGACUUGGGAGUUUGGCCUCGCAAGGAUAAUCGGUGCAUGUGAGACUCAUGUCAGCACUGACAUUGCCGGUACAUUUGGAUACACCCCCCUAGAGUACGGCCAGAUGAUGAAGUGCAGCACACGGUGUCCUCAUGUUGGAGCUGCUUACAGGACGACCACCCACAGGGCAGGAAAAAGUCCAUUUUAAACCCUGAAAUCGUAGAGGUCGGGCGAAAUGAACCCUUGUGUCGAAAUCCCGGUCGAUUGCACCCUAAACUAUGCAAUCCCGCUCUAAAUCGUACCCUGGGUCGUUUGAGGCAUAAAAACGCUGAUGUGGCAAAGGUCAAACGGGAUUCUUCUGAUUGGUGGGCCAAAGAACGGCAAUGUUACCCACGGCCGGUCGAUUGCACCCUGAACUACGCAAUCCCGGUCUAAAUCAAACCCUGGAUCGUUUGAGGCAUAAAAAUGCUGAUGUGGCAAAGGUGAAACGGGAUUCUUCUGGCUGGUGGCCCAAAGAACGGCAACGUUGCCCACGGUGCGCACCCGUCGUUUGCGCUGGGCGGUCCAUUUUUUCCUAUUACACUGCAAAGAAAAUAUGCUUGCAAGAUAAUUCGAAUGCACGACCUCCUCUUUUGGUGCAAACUACACUGACCAACCAGGCCACCUCUCCUCUUGCGACUACUUUAUUUCUUUUUCUUAUUUUCUUUUUCUUUUUUUGUUUGUGGAAGCUCCUUAGCUAGAUGAUUCCCAUACAAUUUUUCCUUUUUCUUUUUUAUCUAAUGUGUGAACCUUUUUUCAGUUAUUAUUUUUAAAUUUGUUAUUAAGUUUCUUACAAAACUCGUGAAAAUUUUCAAAUCCACAAACUAUUCUGGAUUUUUUCCAUAAUCUAUGUAUUUGUUUUCGACGCAGACUUUUCCAAAUCUGUGAAUCGUUCAAAAUUGAUGAUUUUUUUCCAAAAACAUUCUGAUUAUUAAAAAAACGUGAUUUUUUCAAAUAUGUGAACUAACAGAAGGUUAAAUACGUCUGUUGUCCUAUUAGUUCAUAAUUAAGUUAAGUCGAUCUGGUGGUUAGCUGCUACAGUUGUUGACGAACCGGUCGGAGUUUGAAUCUCCGUAGUUGCAUAUUUAGUUGUGCCUUUUUUUUCUUUUGCUGAGCCUUGCGGAGUGGUCAAAGUAAACGUUAAAAACAAUCCAGGCCAUCCUUUGCAAUCCCUGUUUGAAAAACGAUCUUAGGGUUCGAUUUAGACCGGAAUUGUGUAGUUCAGGAUGCGAUCGACUGGACUUCGACAUGGGGGUUUAUUUCGUCCAACCUCUAAGCUCAAGGUUCAAAAUGAACUUUUUUAGUUGUGCCCUUUUUCUUUUGCUGAGCCUCGCGGAGUGGUCAAAGUAAACGUUAAAAACAAUCCAGGCCAUCCUUUGCAAUCCCUGUUNNNNNNNNNNNNNNNNNNNNNNNNNNNNNNNNNNNNNNNNNNNNNNNNNNNNNNNNNNNNNNNNNNNNNNNNNNNNNNNNNNNNNNNNNNNNNNNNNNNNNNNNNNNNNNNNNNNNNNNNNNNNNNNNNNNNNNNNNNNNNNNNNNNNNNNNNNNNNNNNNNNNNNNNNNNNNNNNNNNNNNNNNNNNNNNNNNNNNNNNNNNNNNNNNNNNNNNNNNNNNNNNNNNNNNNNNNNNNNNNNNNNNNNNNNNNNNNNNNNNNNNNNNNNNNNNNNNNNNNNNNNNNNNNNNNNNNNNNNNNNNNNNNNNNNNNNNNNNNNNNNUGCAAUCCCUGGUUGGAAAAUGACCUUAGGGUUCGAUUUAGACCUGGAUUGUGUAGUUCAGGGUGCGAUCGACUGGGACUUCGACAUGGGGGUUUAUUUCGUCCAACCUCUACGAGCUCAAGGUUUAAAAUGAAUUUUUUUAGUUGUGCCUUUUUUUUCUCUUUUGCUGAGCCUCGCGGAGUGGUCAAAGUAAACGUUAAAAACAAUCCAGGCCAUCCUUUGCAAUCCAUGUUUGGAAAACGACCUCAGGGUUCGAUUUAGACCGGGAUUGUAUAGUUCAGAGUGCGAUCGACUAGGACUUUGACAUGGGGGUUUAUUUCGUCCAACCUCUACGAGCUCAAGGUUUAAAAUGAAUUUUUUCCACAGGGCAAAAAGAUGUGGGUCGUGUGAGUAGGCAGCCGUAGAGUAACCUCGCUGGAGAUUGUAAUGAGAGAAACUGGUGUUGCUCAUGUUCAUGCUGUAGUUGGGAUAAAUGCUUGUAUCUUGCCGAAAGUUUACUUCUUUCUUUGUUUAUGUAUGUACGUAUGUAUGUAUCUGAAAUAAUUGAUAUUUUUCUAAGCUCACCAAUUUUGUCUUUUGUUGCCAGAUUCAGCUCUUCCAAUCUGACGACAGCCACCUGUUUUUACUGCUGCUUCUGGUUUGACUGACGUAUUUUUCUGUAUCGUGGUGCUCCAUAGAAGUCUCAGCACCAAGCUUACCUGUUUCUUUCGGGUUCAUGUGGCCAUACCAUACUGACAGUGUUAGUAUUUAGUAUUGUAGUGUGUAGUGUCAGGCCAGCUGAAUCUUGAAAAGAAAUACCCCGCAAAAAAAAGAAUCUUGAGAAGAAAUGACGGGGCGCAGGAAUGAGCAGUUGAGGAUCCAGCUACUGUUUACAUAAAGUUUCAAGAGGCAUCUAGUUUCAGUACUUUUAAGCUGGCUGCACUUUCUAGAGCUUAACAAUCUGCUCUUAUGUGGUACCACCUCCGUACACUAAUAUAAGAUGCUUUUGCAGUUCAAUUUGAACGGCAAAAACGUCUUGCAUUAGGUUACAGAGUGUUGAGUGUACGUUGUAUACUGCAUAUAUAUAUAGGACUUAGUUCUGUAUUUAUAUCAUUGUAUCUCUCUCCUUGUAUAUUUAUAUAUCUUGAAAGACAAGUAGAGGCCGAUUCACCCUGUACCUAUAUAUGUGCACCAUGCACACAACCAAUAAUUAUCGAUUCGUACAAUCUCAUUCUUCCUAACUAACAUGGUAUCAGUUUAGCACGCCGAUCCUAUUGCCACCUUCCGCACCAGCCGCCGCCGCCGCCGACUCUUUUGCGUCGCCGCCGCCGCUGUACACCGCCGCCGCCGCGCCCCUUCCCCUCGCAGCCGCCGCUCUCCUCUCUGCCGCCGCUGCCUCCCUCCCCCAGUCGCCGCCGCGCCCUAAAACCCUAACCCUAACCCGCGCCGCCGCCACUAGCCUACCCACCCAAGCCGCCGCAACCCUCCCUUGUCGCUGCUCCCAUGGCGUCUCCCCUCUCCAGCAACUCCAACCCGUUCGCCGGACUUGUGCCUGACGCCACCGUCGUCCGUGAUCUCGACAUCCACACCCGCGUUCCCAUCAAGCUCGACCAAUCCACCUCCUCGUACUACGCGUGGAAGACCUACUUCAACCUCGUCUUUCGCGAGUACCACCUCGUCGAGCACGUCGACGGGACCGUGGAUGGCGAUCUCAUGGCGGACGAUCCGGACUGGGCGGUCAUAGAGGCCUCCCUCAUCCGGUGGUUCUACCUCACGGUCUUCCCGGACAUCUUCCACACGGUCGUCUCGGAGGAUGACGAUGCGUGUGCCAUGUGGACCAAGAUCAACAAUCUCUUCACCGACAAUAAGUUUCAACGUCUUGUGUUUUUGCAGCAAGAAUUUUUCGGGUGCCACCAAGAUUAUUCCUCCAUCGACGACUACUGCAUGCGUCUGAAGCGCCUCGCCAACGAGCUCCGCGACAUCGGCGCCAAGGUGUCAGACGAGCUCAUGCUUAACACCCUCACCGUCGGCCUCAACGAGGAUUUCGGCAACGUGGCCUCGAACCUCUCCCUGCUGCUGAACCCGACCUUCCAGUCCGUCGCCGCGUAUCUACGCUUGGAGGAACGCCGGAUGAAGAAGGUCAAGGCCCGUGUUCAUCACACCGCCCUCGCCAUCGGGACAUCUCGCGGGCCGUCGCAGCCCGCACCGCCCCAACCACGUCCGCCGGCGCCACCGGGGUACUUUCCCCUCCCGCCCGCUCCACCCGUACCUCCCGCUCCUUCGCAACAGCAGCAAGGCGGGGGCGGCGGUCGCCGCAACCGGCGUCGUGGGGGCGGGGGUGCAGGUCGCCCCCACCAGCAGCAGCAACAGCCGGGGUAUGGGGGGCUCCACGCCACCAUCAGCCCUCCCCGCCCUGGGCCGUCGGCCCUAACCCGUGGACCGGCGUGGUCCAUGCUUACCACAUGCCGGUCCCACGGGCUCCGGGCAUCCUCGGGCCGCACCCGGCCGGGCCUCAGGCGCACCUCGCCGCCGCACCUCACCAGGCGGGUGGGGGUGGCUACGCACCGGGCGGCUAUGCCCCGGGUGGCUACGCGCCCCCUCCGGUGCCUGCCUCCUUCGGCUAUGCACCGCCGCCCGCACCGGCUCAGCUUCCUCCGGCCCCUUGGGAUCCCGCACUGCUCGCUGCGCUACACUCGGCGCCGUCUCCCUCCAACUACGGAGGUGGCGGUGAUUGGUACAUGGACACGGGGGCUACCGCCCACAUGAAGUCGUACCCCUGUAACCUUGCCUCUUCCUUCCCGGUCACCACCUUGAACCGCAUCACCUUUGGUGAUGGUUCCUCUGUACCCAUUACUCAGGUCGGUCACAGUUUCUUUCCGUCUAAUUCUCUGCCUAUUAACAUGACUAAUGUUCUUGUCUCAUCUCACCUAGUUAAAAACAUUGUCUCCAUUCGUCGUCUUGCACGUGACAAUCCUCUCACUGUUGAAUUUGAUGGUCUUGGUUUCUCUGUGAAGGACGCCCGUACAUGGAUGGUGCUCCACCGAUGUGACAGCCCCGACGACUUGUACCCGGUGCAUUCCGCCUCCACCGCCACCGCCACCGCCUCUCCAGCCGCCCUCUCCGUCGGUGUCGACCUUUGGCAUGCACGCUUGGGUCACCCCAACUCCACCGUCCUUCGCCAAAUUCUCAAGAGUUUUUCUUUUUCAUGUAAUAAAUUCGACGAGCACACUUGUCAUGCUUGCCGUCUCGGUAAACAUGUUCGUCGACCGUUUAGCGAGUCAAACGCUAUUUCUUCUUUUCUGUUUCAGUUAAUCCACAGUGAUGUUUGGACAUCUCCCGUUGCGAGCAACAUGGGCUUCUUAUAUUAUCUUGUUUUACUUUAUGAUUACUCUCAUUUUGCGUGGACGUUUCCGCUCUGUCGCAAGUCCGAUGUUCUCGCCACUCUCACGGCCUUUUACUCCCACAUCGCCAACCAGUUCGGGCGCCCUAUUCUUGCCCUCUAGACUGACAACAGAAAAGAGUUUGACAAUGCUGCCACCCGUCACCUUCUCGCAUCUCACGGCACUACCUUUCGUCUCACAUGCCCGUACACAUCCCGGCAGAACGGCCGCGCCGAGCGGAUCCUCCGCACUCUUAACGACUGCGUCCGCACGUUGUUGAUUCACUCCAACAUGCCCCCUCGGUUCUGGCCCGAUGCACUCGCCACCGCCUGAUGGCCCACAAGUAUAGGGGAUCUAUCAUAGUCCUUUCGAUAAGUAAGAGUGUCGAACCCAACGAGGAGCAGAAGGAAAUGAUAAGCGGUUUCCAGCAAGGUAUUCUCUGCAAGUACUGAAAUAAGUGGUAACAGAUAGUUUUGUGAUAGGAUAAUUUGUAACGAGCAACAAGUAACAAAAGUAAAUAAAGUGCAGCAAGGUGGCCCAAUCCUUUUGUAGCAAAGGACAAGCCUGGACAAACUCUUAUAUAGAGAAAAGCGCUCCCGAGGACACAUGGGAAUAUCGUCAAGCUAGUUUUCAUCACGCUCAUAUGAUUCGCGUUUGGUACUUUGAUAAUUUGGUAUGUGGGUGGACCGGUGCUUGGGUACUGCCCUUACUUGGACAAGCAUCCCACUUAUGAUUAACCUCUAUUGCAAGCAUCCGCAACUACAACAAAAGUAUUAAGGUAAACCUAACCAUAGCAUGAAACAUAUGGAUCCAAAUCAGCCCCUUACGAAGCAACGCAUAAACUAGGGUUUAAGCUUCUGUCACUCUAGCAACCCAUCAUCUACUUAUUACUUCCCAAUGCCUUCCUCUAGGCCCAAACAAUGGUGAAGUGUCAUGUAGUCGACAUUCACAUAACACCACUAGAGGAGAGACAAUAUACAUCUCAUCAAAAUAUCGAGCGAAUACCAAAUUCACAUGACUACUAAUAGCAAGACUUCUCCCAUGUCCUCAGGAACAAAAGUAACUACUCACAAAGCAUAAACAUGUUCAUAAUCAGAGAGGUAUUAAUAUGCAUAUAGGAUCUGAACAUAUGAUCUUCCACCAAUUAAACCAAUUGGCAUCAACUACAAGGAGUAAUUAACACUACUAGCAACCUACUAGCACCAAUCCCGAACUUGGAGACAAGAAUUGGAUACAAGAGAUGAACUGGGGUUUUGAGAGGAGAUGGUGCUGAUGAAGAUGUUGAUGGAGAUUGCCCUCUCCCGAUGAGAGGAGCAUUGGUGAUGACGAUGGCGAUGAUUUCCCCCUCCGGGAGUUAAGUUUCCCUGGCAGAACAGCUCUGCCAGAGCCCUAGAUUGGUUCCGCCAAGGUUCCGCCUCGUAGCGGCGGAGUUUCGUCCGAGAAGAAGGCUUAUGAUUUUUUCCCAUCGAAAGACUUCAUAUAGCAGAAGAUGGCCACCAGAGGGCCAACAGGGGGCCCACGAGGUAGGGGGCGCGCCCAGGGGGUAGGGCGCGCCCCCACCCUCGUGGGCAGGGUGUGGCCCCCCUGGUGAAUUUCUUCCACUGACUAUUUUUUAUAUAUUCUGAAAACGUCUUCCGUGAAGUUUCAGGACUUUUGGAGCUGUGCAGAAUAGAUCUCUAAUAUUUGCUCCUUUUCCAGCCUAGAAUCCCAACUGCCGGCAUUCUCCCUCUUUAUGUAAACAUUGUAAAAUAAGAGAGAAUAGGCAUAAGUAUUGUGACAUAAUGUGUAAUAACAGCCCAUAAUGCAAUAAAUAUCGAUAUAAAAGCAUGAUGCAAAAUGGACGUAUCAACUCCCCCAAGCUUAGACCUCGCUUGUCCUCAAGCGAAAAGUCAAAAUCAAAAAAUAUGUCCACAUGUUUAGAGAUAGAGGUGUCGAUAAAAAUAAAAUACGAACAUGAGGGCAUCAUGAUCAUUCUUAGAACACCAACUUAUAUAAUUCUUGCCAUAUGAUUUCUUAUGCCAGAGUAAUAAUUCAAUCACAAUUUCAAGUAUGAAUCGUAAACUUCAUUGACAACUAACAAACUAUAAUCUCAGUCAUUGGAGCAAUUGCAAUUUAUCAUAACAUGAAAGAGUCAACAUAUAAGAGUUUUUCAGCAAGUCCACAUACUCAACUAUCAUAUAGUCUUUCACAAUUGUUGACACUCACACACUACUUAUGGGUAUGGAGUUUUAAUCAGACAUAGAGAAAGAUAGGGGCUUAUAGUUUUGCCUCCCAAAGUUUUACCUCAAGAGUAAUGUCAAUGGUAAUAGUUCAUGAAAACUCACAUCCAAUUAGCCAUAUAUACCAGGAUCUUUCCAACAUACUGUGCUUGUCAAAGGAUAAAAUAUAAAAAGGAAAGGUGAAGAUCACCAUGACUCUUAUGCAGAGUAGGAGAUAAAAGUAAAAGAUAAGCCCUUCGCAGAGGGAAGCAAAGGUUGUCAUGCGCUUUUAUAGUUGGAUGCACAAAAUCUUAAUGCGAAAGAACGUCACUUUAUAUUGCCACUUGUAAUAUGGACCUUUAUUAUGCAGUCUGUCACUUUUAUUUCUUCCAUAUCACACGAUCAUAUAAAGCUUAUUUUCUCCCACACUAAUAAGUCAUACAUAUUUAGAGAGCAAUUUUUAUUGCUUUGCACCGAUGACAACUUACUUGGAGGAUCUUACUCAAUCCAUAGGUAGGUAUGGUGGACUGUCAUGGCAAAACUGGUUUAAGGGUAUUUGGAAGCACAAGUAGUAUCUCGACUCGGUGCGAUGAAUUUGGCUAGCAUGAGAGGGAAAGGCAAGCUCAACCAUGUUGGAUGAUUCAUGACAAUAUAAUUUAUCUCAGAUGUAAGAAAACAUAACCCAUUACGUUGUCUUCCUUGUCCAACGUCAAAUCUUUAGCAUGUCAUAUUUUAAUGAGUGCUCACAAUCAUAAAAGAUAUCCAAGAUAGUAUAUCUAUAUGUGAAGACCUCUCUUUCUUUAUUACUUCCUAUUAAUUGCAACGAUGACCAAAACUAUGUUUGUCAACCCUCAACAACUUUUACUCAUCAUACUUUUUCUAUGUGAGCUCAUUACUCUCCAUGAGAUCCAUAUGAUCUCUUUGUUUCUUUUUAUUUCCUUCUCUUUUUAUUUUAUUUACUUAAGAUCAUGGCAAAAGAAUCAAGCCCUUGACUCAACACUAAUCUUUAUUAUAUAGCUCACGGACUCGAUUACAUAGAAGAAUUAUAAAGCGAAACUCAUGACUAGAUCAAACUAAGAACUUUUAUUCUACUAGAUCAACAUAUUACCAAAAGGAUCGAACUAAGAAAACUAGUAAAGAUAAAAGUGAUGGUGAUACGAUACCGGGGCACUCCCCAAAGCUUGGCAGUUGCCAAGGGGGGUGCCCAUACCAGAUACUCAAGUCUUCUUUGUUGGUGGAGACGGUGGUGAUUUUGUUGAUGGUGUAGGCUUGUCGUCCUUCUUCCAAGGCAUAGGCUCACCAUCAUAGAAGGAUGACCGAGUCUCCUGGAACCUCAAAUCUGCAGCCAAACUCAUCCUCUUGAAUCUAUAUUCAUACUCACAGUUUUGAUUUUGCAGGUCAUAGAUCUGGGCUUGGAGGUGCUCGUUUCUCUCAUGAAGCUUGAAGAUCGCCUCCCCAAUGUCCUUGACGUCCAGCUUGUGGUUGUUGGUGAACUCCGUGAUCAUGAUGUGAUUGGAAUCGAGUCCACGCUCCACCAUCUCCUAACACUUGAAAACUUCUUGCUCCAAUGCCUCGAGCCUUGCCUCCAUGCUUCCGAUCUUCCUUGGUCCCUCAGCAUCGCGGAUGUGCAACAACCCCUCACGCAUCUCAAUGGUUUGAGGGUGUUGCAGCACUUCUGUGAGUUAGGGGUCGAUGACCUUCUCGAAGAACUGGACCUUGGGGGCGCUUGAAGACGACAUGACAACCUGGAUCUAUUAGAAAAACAACUCGAAACGAAAACAAGAGAUUUUUGCAUGAUACGGGAGUCAAAACCUUCGGGAGAUUAUAUAAUGAAUUUUUACCGACCAAAAUACGUGUCGUGUAUGAAAACGGAGUCCGGAGAGCCCACGAGGUAGGGGGCGCGCCCAGUAGGGUAGGGCGCACCCUCCACCCUCGUGGAGCCCUCGUGUUCUUCCCAGACUGCUACUUAUUUUUCUAAAUAUUCCAAAACAGAGAAAUAUUGCCUUAAAAACUGUUUUGGAGUCGGUUUACUUACCGUACCACAUACCUAUUCCUUUUCGGAGUCUGAAACGUUCCGGAAAGUGCCCCUUAAGAAUUCCUCCGGGGUUACGGUUUCAAUAAUAUUGGUUUCAACAUUUAUGGGAUUACCUGAGAUAUAAUGUUUGAUUCUUUUACCGUUCACCACCUUCGGAUUUGUGCCUUCGAAGUUGUUGAUUUUUAUGGCACCGGAACGAUAGGCCUCCUCGAUAACGUAAGGACCUUCCCAUUUAGAGAGAAGUUUUCCUGCAAAAAAUCUUAAACGAGAGUUGUAUAGCAAUACAUAAUCACCUACAUUAAACUCACGCUUUUGUAUCCUUUUGUCAUGCCAUCUUUUAACUUUUUCUUUAAACAACUUGGCAUUUUCAUAGGCUUGGGUUCUCCAUUCAUCAAGUGAGCUAAUAUCAAAUAACCUCUUCUCACCGGCAAGUUUGAAAUCAUAAUUGAGUUCUUUAAUAGCCCAAUAUGCCUUGUGUUCUAGUUCGAGAGGUAAGUGGCAUGCUUUUCCAUAAACCAUUUUAUACGGAGACAUACCCAUAGGAUUUUUAUAUGCAGUUCUAUAGGCCCAUAAUGCAUCAUCAAGUUUCUUGGACCAAUUUUUCUAGAUCUAUUAACAGUCUUUUGCAAAAUUAAUUUGAGCUCUCUAUUACUCAAUUCUACUUGACCACUAGACUAAGGAUGAUAAGGAGAUGCAAUUCUAUGAUUAACAUCAUAUUUAGUAAGCAUUUUACGGAAAGCACCAUGAAUAAAAUGUGAACCACCAUCAGUCAUUAAAUAUCUAGGGACUCCAAAUCUUGGAAAAAUAACUUCUUUAAGCAUUUUAAUAGAAGUUUUAUGAUCAGCACUACUAGUUGGAAUAGCUUCUACCCACUUAGUAACGUAAUCAACAGCAACUAAAAUAUGUGUAUAUCCAUUAGAGGAAGGAAAGGGUCCCAUAUAGUCAAAGCCCCAAACAUCAAAUGGUUCAAUAACGAGUGAAUAGUUCAUAGGCAUUUCUUGACGUCUACUAAUAUUACCAAUGCUUUGACAUUCAUCACAAGAUAAGACAAACUUACGGGCAUCCUUGAAGAGAGUAGGCCAAUGAAAACCAGAUUGCAAUACCUUAUGUGCAGUUCUAUCUCCAGCAUGGUGUCCUCCAUAAGCUUCGGAGUGACACUUGCGUAGGAUCUGUUCCUGUUCAUGCUCAGGUACACAACGUCUAAUAACACCAUCUACUCCUUCUUUAUAAAGAUGUGGAUCAUCCCAAAAGUAAUGCCUCAUAUCAUAGAAGAAUAUUUUCUUUUGCUGGUAUGUGAAACUAGGUGGUAUAAACUUAGCAACAAUGUAAUUAGCAUAAUCAGCAUACCAUCGAGCAGUAUGAGAAGCAUUUAUGACAUUUGAUGGCUCAUCGGGAAAGCUAUCAUCAAUAGGAAGUGGGUCAUCAAGCACAUUUUCUAACCUAGACAAGUUGUCUGCAACGGGGUUCUCAACUCCCUUUCUAUCAACAAUAUGUAAGUCAAAUUCUUGUAGUAAGAGAACCCAUCUAAUAAGUCUAGGUUUAGCAUCUUUCUUUUCCAUGAGAUAUUUAAUAGCAGCAUGAUCAGUGUGAAUAGUUACUUUAGAAUCAACAAUAUAAGGUCUGAACUUAUCACAAGCAAAUACAACUGCUAAGAAUUCUUUUUCAGUACUAGCAUAAUUUCUUUGAGCAUUGUCUAGGGUUUUACUAGCAUAUUGAAUAACAUUUAAUUUCUUAUCAACUCUUUGUCCUAGAACAACACCUACAGCAUAAUCACUAGCAUCACACAUAAUUUCAAAGGGUAAAUUCCAAUCAGGUGGCUGAACAAUAGGUGCAGAGAUCAAUGCUUUCUUAAGUAUUUCAAAUGCUUCUACACAAUCAUCAUCAAAGACAAAUGGUAUAUCUUUUUGUAAUAAAUUAGUCAGAGGCCGAGAAAUUUUUGAAAAGUCCUUAAUGAACCUCCUAUAAAAUCCGGCAUGACCAAGGAAACUUCUAAUACCUUUGAUGUCCUUGGGACAUGGCAUCUUUUCAAUAGCAUCAACCUUGGCUUUAUCAACUUCAAUACCUCUUUCAGAAACUUUGUGCCCCAAGACAAUACCUUCAUUAACCAUAAAGUGGCACUUUUCCCAAUUCAAGAUAAGAUUAUUUUCUUCACAUCUCUGCAAAACUCGAUCAAGGUUGCUCAAGCAAUCAUCAAAAGAAGAUCCAUAGACGGAGAAAUCAUCCAUGAAAACCUCACAAAUCUUUUCACAAAAGUCAGAUAAUAUAGCCAUCAUGCAUCUUUGAAAGGUAGCAGGUGCAUUACAUAAACCAAAAGGCAUACGUCUAUAAGCAAAAGUACCAAAAGGGCAUGUAAAAGUAAUCUUUGAUUGAUCUUUGGCUGACAUAGGUAUUUGAGAGAAACCAGAAUAACCAUCUAGAAAGCAAAAAUGUGUAUGUUUGGAUAAUCUUUCUAGCAUUUGAUCGAUAAAAGGUAAGGGGUAAUGAUCCUUUUUAGUUGCCUUAUUUAAUUUGCGGAAAUCAAUUACCAUCUUAUAACCUGUAAUAAUUCUUUGAGGGAUCAAUUCAUCUUUAUCAUUAGGAACAACAGUAAUACCUCCCUUCUUAGGGACACAAUGGACAGGACUUACCCACUGACUAUCAGCAAUGGGAUAGAUUAUACCUGCCUCAAGGAGCUUUAGUAUUUCCUUUCUUACCACUUCUUUCAUUUUAGGGUUCAGCCAUCAUUGAUGAUCACGAACUGGUUUAGCAUCUUCUUCCAAAUUAAUUUUAUGUUGACAUAGAGUGGGACUAAUGCCCUUAAGAUCAUCAAGAGUAUACCCAAUAGCAGCAUGAUGCUUCUUCAAAGUUUUCAAUAAUCUCUCUUCCUCAUGCUCUGAAAGUUUAGCACUAAUAAUAACAGGAUAUAUCUUUUUCUCAUCAAGAUAAGCAUAUUUAAGAGUAUCAGGUAAUGGUUUAAGCUCAAACACGGGAUCACCCUUGGGUGGAGGAGGAUCCCCUAAGAUUUCAACAAGUAAAUUGUUUUUCAGAAUAUGUUCCUGUUUAAAGAAUACUUCAUCUAUCUCCCUUCUUUCAUUCAUAAACAUGUCAUUUUCAUGGUCUAGCAAAUAUUGUUCUAAAGGAUCACUAGGAGGUACGGCAAUAGAAGCAAGACCAAUAAUUUCAUCCUUACUGGGUAAUUCUUCUUCACGGUGUUGUCUACUAAAUUUAGAAAAAUUAAAUUCAUGAGUCAUAUCAUCUAAACCGACAGUAACAACAUCCCUUUUGCAAUCUAUGGUAUCAGUAGCAGUGUUUAAGAAGGGUCUACCAAAUAUAAUGGGACAAAAGCUAUCUUGUGGGGAACCAAGAACAAGAAAAUCAGCAGGAUAUUUAGUUUUCCCACACAAGACUUCAACAUCUCUAACAAUUCUCAUUGGUGAAAUAGUAUCUCUAUUGGCAAGUUUAAUUGUGACAUCAAUAUCUUCUAACUCAACAGGUGCAAUAUCAUGCAUAAUUUCUCUAUAAAGGCUAAUAGGUAUUGCACUAGCACUGGCACCCAUAUCACAUAAGCCAUGAUAACAAUGAUCUCCUAUUUUAACAGAAAUAACAUGCAUGCCUACCACAGGUCUAGGUUUAUAUUUAGCACAAGAUUUAGCAAUUCUAGCAGUUUCAUCACAGAAAUAAAUAACAUGCCCAUCAAUAUUAUCAGACAAGAGAUCUUUAACAAUAGCAAUAUUAGGUUCAACUUUAACUUGCUCAGGAGGUGUAUAUGUUUUAAUAUUGCUUUUACGAACCACGGUUGAAGCUUUAGCAUGAUCCUUUAUCCUAAUAGGGAAAGGUGGUUUCUCAACAUACGUAGUAGGAACAAUAGGAUCAUUAUAACUAACAAUCUUUUCUUCAACUUUAAUAGGUGCAGCUACUUUUACUUCUAUGGGAGGAUGAUAUUUAAACCACUUCUCCUUGGGGAGAUCAACAUAAGUAGAAAAAGAUUCACAAAAAGAAGCUACUAUCUUAGAGUCAAGUCCAUAUUUAGUGCUAAAUUUACGGAAAACAUCGGUAUCCAUAAAAGAUUUAACACAAUCAAAACUAGGUGUCAUACCUGACUCCUUACCUUUGUCGAGGUCCCAAUCUUCAGAGUUGCGUUUAAUCUUUCCAAUAAAUCCCAUUUGAAUUCAAUAGUCUUCAUCAUAAAAGAGCCAGCACAAGAAGUAUCAAGCAUGGUGCGAUUGCUUUCAGAAAGCCGAGCAUAAAAUUUUUGAAUAAUCAUUUCUCUUGAGAGAUCAUGAUUGGGGCAUGAAUAUAACAUUGAUUUAAGCCUCCCCCAAGCUUGAGCGAUGCUUUCUCCUUCGCGAGGCCAAAAAUUAUAUAUAUAAUUGCGAUCACGAUGAACAAGAUGCAUAGGAUAAAACUUCUGAUGAAAUUCCAAUUUCAAUCGUUUGUAAUUCCAAGACCCCAUAUCAUCGCAUAGCCUAUACCAUGUUGAUGCAUCUCCCUUCAAAGAUAAAGGGAAGACCUUCUUCUUAACAACAUCUCCGGGUAUACCUGCAAGCUUAAAUAAUCCACAAACUUCAUCUACAUAUAUUAGAUGCUCAUUGUUGGGGAACGUUGCAGAAAACAAAAAAAUUUCCUACGGUUUCACCAAGAUCCAUCUAUGAGUUCAUCUAGCAACGAGUGAUCGGAUUGCAUCUACAUACCUUUGUAGAUCACGCGCGGAAGCGUUCAAAGAACGGGGAUGAGGGAGUCGUACUCGACUUGAUCCAAAUCACCGGAGAUCCUAGCGCCGAACGGACGGCACCUCCGUGUUCAACACACGUACGGUCAGUGUGACGUCUCCUCCUUCUUGAUCCAGCAAGGGGGGAGGAGAGGUUGAUGAAGAUCCAGCAGCACGACGGCGUGGUGGUGGAUGCGGGAGUCACCGCAGCAGGGCUUCGCCGUUCUACUACGAGAGGGAGAGGUGUAGCAGGGGAGAGGGAGGCGCCAAGAGUCAAGGGUGCGGCUGCCCCUCCCUCCCCCCCUUUAUAUAGGCUCCACAAGGGGGGGCGCCGACCCUAGGAGAUGGGAUCUCCUAGGGGGGCGGCGGCCAAGGGUGGAGUGGCCCCCAAGGCAAGUGGGGCGCCCCCCACCCUAGGGUUUCCAACCCUAGGCGCAGGGGGUGGGCCAAGGGGGGCGCACCAGCCCACUAUGGGCUGGUUCCCCUCCCCACUUCAGCCCAUGGGGCCCUUCGGGAUGGGUGGUCCCACCCGGUGGACCCCCGGGACCCAUCCGGUGGUCCCGGUACAAUACCGGUGACCCCCGAAACUCUCCCGAUGGCCGAAACUGCAAUUCCUAUAUAUAAUUCUUCACCUCCGGACCAUUCCGAAACUCCUCGUGACGUCCGGGAUCUCAUCCGGGACUCCGAACAACUUUUGGGUUACUGCAUAUUCAUAUCUCUACAACCCUAGCGUCACCAAACCUUAAUUGUGUAGACCCUGCGGGUUCGGGAGACAUGUAGACAUGACCGAGAUGGAUCUCCGGUCAAUAACCAACAGCGGGAUCUGGACACCCAUGUUGGCUCCCACAUGCUCCUCGAUGAUCUCAUCGGAUGAACCACGAUGUCGAGGAUUCAAGCAACCCCGUAUACAAUUCCCUUUGUCAAUCGGUACGUUACUUGCCCGAGAUUCGAUCGUCAAUACCUCGUUCAAUCUCGUUACCGGCAAGUCACUUUACUCGUACCGUAAUGCAUGAUCCUGUUACCAGACACUUGGUCACUUUGAGCUCAUUAUGAUGAUGCAUUACCGAGUGGGCCCAGAGAUACCUCUCUGUCAUACGGAGUGACAAAUCCCAGUCUUGAUCCGCGUCAACCCAACAGACACUUUCGGAGAUACCCGUAGUAUACCUUUAUAGUCACCCAGUUACGUUGUGACGUUUGGCAUACCCAAAGCACUCCUACGGUAUCCGGGAGUUACACGAUCUCAUGGUCUAAGGAAAAGAUACUUGACAUUGGAAAACUCUAGCAAACGAACUAUACGAUCUUGUGCUAUGUUUAGGAUUGGGUCUUGUCCAUCACAUCAUUCUCCUAAUGAUGUGAUCUCGUUAUCAAUGACAUCCAAUGUCCAUAGUCAGGAAACCAUGACUAUCUAUUGAUCAACGAGCUAGUCAGCUAGAGGCUUACUAGGGACAUGUUGGUGUCUAUGUAUUCACACAUGUAUUACGAUUUCUGGAUAACACAAUUAUAGCAUGAAUAAAAGACAAUUAUCAUGAACAAGGAAAUAUAAUAAUAAUCCUUUUAUUAUUGCCUCUAGGGCAUAUUUCCAACAGUCUCCCACUUGCACUAGAGUCAAUAAUCUAGUUACAUUGUGAUGAAUCAAACACCCAUGGAAUUCUGGUGUUGAUCAUGUUUUGCUCUAGGGAGAGGUUUAGUCAACGGAUCUCCUACAUUCAGGUCCGUAUGUACUUUACAAAUAUCUAUGUCUCCAUCUUGAACAUUUUCACGAAUGGAGUUGAAGAGACGCUUGAUGUGCCUGGUCUUCUUGUGAAACCUGGGCUCCUUGGCAAGUGCAAUAGCUCCAGUGUUGUCAUAGAAGAGCUUGAUCGGCCCCGAUGCAUUGGGUAUGACUCCUAGGUCGGUGAUGAACUCCUUCACCCAGAUUGCUUCAUGUGCUGCCUCCGAGGCUGCCAUGUACUCCGCUUCACAUGUAGAUCCCACCAUGACGCUCUGCUUGCAACUGCACUAGCUUACUGCCCCACCAUUCAAAAUAUACACGUAUCCAGUUUGUGACUUAGAGUCAUCCAGAUCUGUGUCGAAGCUAGCAUCGACGUAACCCUUUACGACGAGCUCUUUGUCACCUCCAUAAACGAGAAACAUUUCCUUAGUCCUUUUCAGGUACUUCAGGAUAUUCUUGACCGCUGUCCAGUGUUCCUUGCCGGGAUUACUUUGGUACCUACCUACCAAACUUACGGCAAGGUUUACAUCAGGUCUGGUACACAGCAUGGCAUACAUAAUAGACCCUAUGGCUGAGGCAAAGGGGAUGACACUCAUCUCUUCUAUAUCUUCUGCCGUGGUCGGACAUUGAGCUGAGCUCAAUUUCACACCUUGCAACACAGGCAAGAACCCCUUCUUAGACUGAUCCAUAUUGAACUUCUUCAAUAUCUUAUCAAGGUAUGUGCUUUGUGAAAGACCUAUGAGGCGUCUUGAUCUAUCUCUAUAGAUCUUGAUGCCUAAUAUAUAAGCAGCUUCUCCAAGGUCCUUCAUUGAAAAACUCUUAUUCAAGUAGGCCUUAAUGCUGUCCAAAAGUUCUAUAUCAUUUCCCAUCAAAAGUAUGUCAUCUACAUAUAAUAUGAGAAAUGCUACAGAGCUCCCACUCACUUUCUUGUAAACGCAGGCUUCUCCAUAAGUCUGCAUAAACCCAAACGCUUUGAUCAUCUCAUCAAAGCGAAUGUUCCAACUCCGAGACGCUUGCACCAGCCCAUAAAUCGAGCGUUGGAGCUUGCACACCUUGUUAGCAUUCUUAGGAUCGACAAAACCUUCCGGCUGCAUCAUAUACAAUUCUUCCUUAAGGAAUGCCAUUUUGACGUCCAUUUGCCAUAUCUCAUAAUCAUAGAAUGCGGCAAUUGCUAACAUGAUUCGGACGGACUUCAGCUUCGCUACGGGAGAGAAAGUCUCAUCGUAGUCAACCCCUUGAACUUGCCGAUAACCCUUAGUGACAAGUCGAGCUUUAUAGAUGGUAACAUUACCAUCCGCGUCCGUCUUCUUCUUAAAGAUCCAUUUGUUUUCUAUCGCUCACCGAUCAUCGGGCAAAUCUGUCAAAGUCCAUACUUUGUUUUCAUACAUGGAUCCUAUCUCGGAUUGCAUGGCUUCAAGCCAUUUGUUGGAAUCUGGGCCCGCCAUCGCUUCUUCAUAGUUCGAAGGUUCACCAUUGUCUAACAACAUGAUUUCCAAGACAGGGUUACCGUACCACUCUGGUGCGGAACGUGUCCUUGUGGACCUACGAAGUUCAGUAGCAACUUGAUCUGAAGUUUCAUGAUCAUCAUCAUUAACUUCCUCUCUAGUCGGUGUAGGCACCUCAGGAACAUUUUCUUGAGUUGCACCACUUUCCGGUUCAAGAGGUAAUACUUCAUCAAGUUCUACUUUCCUCCCACUUACUUCUUUCGAGAGAAACUCUUUCUCUAGAAAGGAUCCAUUCUUGGCAACAAAGAUCUUGCCUUCGGAUCUGAGGUAGAAGGUAUACCCAAUAGUUUCUUUAGGGUAUCCUAUGAAGACGCAUUUUUCCGACUUGGGUUCGAGCUUUUCAGGUUGAAGUUUCUUGACAUAAGCAUCGCAUCCCCAAACUUUUAGAAACGACAGCUUAGGUUUCUUCCCAAACCAUAAUUCAUACGGUGUCGUCACAACAGAUUUCGACGGAGCCCUAUUUAAAGUGAAUGUGGCAGUCUCUAAAGCAUAGCCCCAAAAUGAUAGCGGUAAAUCGGUAAGAGACAUCAUAGAUCGCACCAUAUCUAAUAGAGUGCGAUUACGACGUUCGGACACACCAUUACGCUGAGGUGUUCCAGGCGGCGUGAGUUGUGAAACUAUUCCACAUUUUCUUAAGUGUGUGCCAAAUUCGUGACUCAAGUAUUCUCCUCCACGAUCUGAUCGCAGGAACUUGAUUUUCCUGUCACGUUGAUUUUCAACCUCACUCUGAAAUUCCUUGAACCUUUCAAAGGUCUCAGACUUGUGUUUCAUUAAGCAGACAUACCCAUAUCUACUCAAGUCAUCAGUGAGGGUGAGAACAUAACGAUAACCACCGCGAGCCUCAACACUCAUUGGACCGCACACAUCAGUAUGUAUGAUUUCCAAUAAGUUGGUUGCUCGCUCCAUUGUUCCUGAGAACGGAGUCUUGGUCAUUUUACCCAUGAGGCAUGGUUCGCACGUGUCAAAUGAUUCGUAAUCAAGAGACUCUAAAAGUCCAUCUGCAUGGAGCUUCUUCAUGCGUUUGACACCUAUGUGACCAAGGCGGCAGUGCCACAAGUAUGUGGGACUAUCAUUAUCAACCUUACAUCUUUUGGUACUCACACUAUGAAUAUGUGUAGCAUUACGCUCGAGAUUCAUUAAGAAUAAACCAUUCACCAUCGGAGCAUGACCAUAAAACAUAUCUCUCAUAUAAAUAGAACAACCAUUAUUCUCGGAUUUAAAUGAGUAGCCAUCUCGUAUUAAACGAGAUCCUGAUACAAUGUUCAUGCUCAAACUUGGCACUAAAUAACAAUUAUUUAGGUUCAAAACUAAUCCCGUAGGUAAAUGUAGAGGUAGCGUGCCGACGGCGAUCACAUCGACCUUGGAACCAUUCCCGACGCGCAUCGUCACCUCGUCCUUCGCCAGUCUCCGCUUAUUCCGCAGCUCCUGCUUUGAGUUACAAAUGUGAGCAACUGCACCGGUAUCAAAUACCCAGGAGCUACUACGAGUACUGGUAAGGUACACAUCAAUUACAUGUAUAUCACAUAUACCUUUCGUUUUGCUGGCCUUCUUGUCUGCUAAGUAUUUGGGGCAGUUCCGCUUCCAGUGACCACUUUCCUUGCAAUAAAAGCACUCAGUCUCGGGCUUGGGUCCAUUCUUUGGCUUCUUCCCGACAACUUGCUUGCCGGGCGCGGAAACUCCCUUGCCGUCCUUCUUGAAGUUCUUCUUACUCUUGCCUUUCUUGAACUUAGUGGUUUUAUUCACCAUCAGCACUUGAUGUUCCUUUUUGACUUCUAUCUCUGCUGAUUUCAGCAUUGCAAAUACUUCAGGAAUGGUCUUUUCCAUCCCCUGCAUAUUGAAGUUCAUCACAAAGCUCUUGUAGCUCGGUGGAAGCGACUGAAGGAUUCUGUCAAUGACCGCGUCAUCCGGGAGAUUAACUCCCAGCUGAGUCAAGCGGUUAUGUAACCCAGACAUAGUGAGUAUGUGCUCACUGACAGAACUGUUUUCCUCCAUCUUACAGCUGAAGAACUUGUCGGAGACUUCAUAUCUCUCGACCCGGGCAUGAGCUUGAAAAACUAUUUUCAGCUCUUCGAACAUCGCAUAUGCUCCGUGUCUCUCAAAACACUUUUGGAGCCCCGGCUCUAAGCUGUAAAGCAUGCCGCACUGAACGAGGGAGUAAUCAUUGGUACGUGUCUGCCAAGCGUUCAUAACGUCUUGUUCUGCAGGGAGAACAUGUGCUUCACCUAGCGGUGCUUGUAGGACAUAAUCUUUCUUGGCAGCUAUGAGGAUGAUCCUCAGGUUCCGGACCCAGUUCGUGUAGUUGUUGCCAUCGUCUUUCAGCUUGGUUUUCUCUAGGACCGCGUUGAAGUUGAGGACAACGUUGGCCAUUUGAUCUACAAUACAUGUUGUAAAGAUUUUAGACUAAGUUCAUGAUAAUUAAGUUCAUCUAAUCAAAUUAUUCAAUGAACUCCCACUUAGAUAGACAUCCCUCCAGUCAUCUAAGUAUAACAUGAUCCGAGUUAACUAGGUCGUGUCCGAUCAUCACGUGAGAUGGACUAGUCAACAUCGGUGAACAUCUUCAUGUUGAUCGUAUCUUCUAUACGACUCAUGCUCGACCUUUCGGUCUUCUGUGUUCCGAGGCCAUGUCUGUACAUGCUAGGCUCGUCAAGUCAACCUAAGUGUUUGCAUGUGUAAAUCUGUCUUACACCCGUUGUAUGUGAACGUUGGAAUCUAUCACACCCGAUCAUCACGUGGUGCUUCGAAACAACGAAUUGUCGCAACGGUGCACAGUUAGGGGGAACACUUUCUUGAAAUUAUUAUGAGGGAUCAUCUUAUUUACUACCGUCGUUCUAAGUAAACAAGAUGCAAAAACAUGAUAAACAUCACAUGCAAUCAAAUAAUAAUAAUAGUGACAUGAUAUGGCCAAUAUCACAUAGCUCCUUUGAUCUCCAUCUUGGGGCUCCAUGAUCAUCUUGUCACCGACAUGACACCAUGAUCUCCAUCAUCGUGUCUCCAUGAAGUUGCUCGCCAACUAUUACUUCUACUACUAUGGCUAACACGUUUAGCAAUAAAGUAAAGUAAUUUACAUGGCGUUUCUCAAUGACACGCAGGCCAUACAAAAAAUAAAGACAACUCCUAUGGCUCCUGCCGGUUGUCAUACUCAUCGACAUGCAAGUCGUGAUUCCUAUUACAAGAACAUGAUCUCAUACAUCACAUAUAUAUCAUUCAUCAUUCAUCACAACUUUGGCCAUAUCACAUCACAGAACACUUGCUGCAAAAACAAGUUAGACGUCCUCUAAUUGUUGUUGCAAGUUUUACAUGGCUGCAAGAGGGUUCUAGCAAGAACGUUUUCUUACCUAUGUUAAAGCCACAACGUGAUUUGUCAACUUCUAUUUACCCUUCAUAAGGACCCUUUUCAUCAAAUCCGCUCCAACUAAAGUGGGAGAGACAGACACCCGCCAGCCACCUUAUGCAACUAGUGCAUGUCAGUCGGUGGAACCGGUCUCACGUAAGCGUACGUGUAAGGUUGGUCCGGGCCGCUUCAUCCCACAAUACCGUUGAAGCAAAAUAAGACUAGUAGCGGCAAGAAAGUUGACAACAUCUACGCCCACAACAAAUUGUGUUCUACUCGUGCAAAAGGAACUACGCAUAGACCUAGCUCAUGAUGCCACUGUUGGGGAACGUUGCAGAAAACAAAAAAAUUUCCUACGGUUUCACCAAGAUCCAUCUAUGAGUUCAUCUAGCAACGAGUGAUCGGAUUGCAUCUACAUACCUUUGUAGAUCACGCGCGGAAGCGUUCAAAGAACGGGGAUGAGGGAGUCGUACUCGACGUGAUCCAAAUCACUGGAGAUCCUAGCGCCGAACGGACGGCACCUCCGUGUUCAACACACGUACGGUCAGCGUGACGUCUCCUCCUUCUUGAUCCAGCAAGGGGGGAGGAGAGGUUGAUGAAGAUCCAGCAGCACGACGGCGUGGUGGUGGAUGCAGGAGUCACCAUAGCAGGGCUUCGCCGUUCUACUACGAGAGGGAGAGGUGUAGCAAGGGAGAGGGAGGCGCCAAGAGUCAAGGGUGCGGCUGCCCCUCCCUCCCUGUAGGAUCUAGAAGUAGAUGUGUCUAGAGGGGGGGUGAUUAGACACUUAAUACUAAAGUUGCAAUUUUUAAGCUUUUUCGGUUUAAGUGGAGUUUAGGCACAAUUUCAACACACGCAAUACAUAUCAAGCAAGCAUGCAAAGAGUAUAUGAGCAGCGGGAUGUAAAGCAUGCAACUUGCAAGGAUGUAAAGGGAAGGGUUUGGAGAGAUCAAACGCAAUGGGAGACACGGAUGUUUUUCCCGUGGUUCGGAUAGGUGGUGCUAUCCUACAUCCACGUUGAUGGAGACUUCAACCCACAAAGGGUAACGGUUGCACGAGUCCACACAGGGCUCCACCCAUGAAGGGUAACGGUUGCAUGAGUCCACACAUGGCUCCACCCACGAAGGGUCCACGAAGAAGCAACCACCCACAAAGGGUCCACGAAGAAGCAACCUUGUCUAUCCCACCAUGGCCAUCGCCCACACAGGACUUGCCUCACUAGCGGUAGAUCUUCACGAAGUAGGCGAUCUCCUUGCCCUUACAAACUCCUUGGUUCAACUCCACAAUCUUGUCGGAGGCUCCCAAGUGACACCUAGCCAAUCUAGGAGACACCACUCUGCAAGAAGUAACAAAUGGUGUGUAGGUAAUGAACUCCUUGCUCUUGUGCUUCAAAUGAUAGUCUCUCCAACACUCAACUCUCUCUCUCAUAGGAUUUGGAUUUUGUGGAAAGAAGAUUUGAGUGGAAAGCAACUUGGAGAGGCUAGAGAUCAAGAUUCAUAUGGUAGGAAUGGAAUUUCUUGGUCUCAACACAUGAGUAGGUGGUUCUCUCUCAGAACAUAUGAGUUGGAAUGGUGUAUGUGUUCUGAUGACUCUCUCUUCGAAUGAAGAGGGGGUGGAGGGGUAUAUAUAACCUCCACACAAAAUCCAACCGUUACACAGUUUUCCAAUCCCGGUGGGACCGAAUCACAAACUCGGUCGGACCGAAAAGGUAAACCUAGUGACCGUUAGAGAUUUCGGUGGGACUGACUGGAUCAACUCGGUGGGACCGAUGUGCUAGGGUUAGGGUAAAUCCAAAACUCGGUUUGACCGAUUACUCAAACUCGGUGGGACCGAUUUGGGUAAUAAGUGAAACUGAGAUUUGGCCAAGCAAACUCGGUGGAACCGAUUGCAUAUCUCAGUGGGACCGAGAAUAUUGCAAUGGGUAACAGAGAGUUUGCAAGCCCAUCUCGGUGAGACCGAGAUCUCAUCGGUGAGACCGAACUGAUUAGGGUUUGGCAGUGGCUUAUGACAAGUGAAACUCAGUGGCGCCGGAUAGGAGGAAUCGGUAGGACCGAGUUUGGCUUAGGGUUUAGGUCAAAUGUGGAUAUGGGAAAGUAGUUGAGGGUUUUUGGAGCAUAUCACUAAGCACAUGAAGCAAGAGGCUCAUUAAGCAACACCUCAUCCCUCCUUGAUAGUAUUGGCUUUUCCUAAAGACUCAAUGUGAUCUUGGAUCACUAAAAUGUAAAAUGAGGAGUCUCGAUCUUGAAGCUUUAGCCAAUUCCUUGUCCUUAGCAUCUUGAAGGAGUUCAACCUUUAGUCCAUGCCACUCCAUUGUUGAACUUAUCUGAAACAUGCUAGAUCGAAAUGUUAGUCCAACAAGAGAUAUGUUGUCAUCAAUUAUCAAAACGACCUAGGGAGCACUUGUGCUUUCACUCCCCCCUUUAUAUAGGCUCCCCAAGGGGGGGCGCCGGCCCUAGGAGAUGGGAUCUCCUAGGGGGGCGGCGGCCAAGGGUGGAGUGGCUCCCAAGGCAAGUGGGCCCCCCCACCCUAGGGUUUCCAACCCUAGGCGCAGGGGGUGGGCCAAGGGGGGCGCACCAGCCCACUAUGGGCUGGUUCCCCUCCCCACUUCAGCCCAUGGGGCCCUCCGGGAUGGGUGGUCCCACCCGGUGGACCCCCGGGACCCAUCCGGUGGUCCCAGUACAAUACCAGUGACCCCCGAAACUCUCCCGAUGGCUGAAACUGCAGUUCCUAUAUAUAAUUCUUCACCUCCGGACCAUUCCGGAACUCCUCGUGACGUCCGGGAUCUCAUCCGGGACUCCGAACAACUUUCGGGUUACUGCAUAUUCAUAUCUCUACAACCCUAGCGUCACCAAACCUUAAUUGUGUAGACCCUGCGGGUUCGGGAGACAUGUAGACAUGACCGAGAUGGCUCUCCGGUCAAUAACCAACAGCGGGAUCUGGAUACCCAUGUUGGCUCCCACAUGCUCCUCGAUGAUCUCAUCGGAUGAACCACGAUGUCGAUGAUUCAAGCAACCCCGUAUACAAUUCCCUUUGUCAAUCGGUACGUUACUUGCCCGAGAUUCGAUCGUCGGUUUCCCAAUACCUCGUUCAAUCUCGUUACUGGCAAGUCACUUUACUCGUACCGUAAUGCAUGAUCCCGUUACCAGACACUUGGUCACUUUGAGCUCAUUAUGAUGAUGCAUUACCGAGUGGGCCCAGAGAUACCUCUCCGUCAUACGGAGUGACAAAUCCCAGUCUUGAUCCGCGUCAACCCAACAGACACUUUUGGAGAUACCCGUAGUAUACCUUUAUAGUCAUCCAGUUACGUUGUGACGUUUGGUAUAACCAAAGCACUCCUACGGUAUCCGGGAGUUACACGAUCUCAUGGUCUGAGGAAAAGAUACUUGACAUUGGAAAAACUCUAGCAAACGAACUAUACGAUCUUGUGCUAUGUUUAGGAUUGGGUCUUGUCCAUCACAUCAUUCUCCUAAUGAUGUGAUCUCGUUAUCAAUGACAUCCAAUGUCCAUAGUCAGGAAACCAUGACUAUCUAUUGAUCAACGAGCUAGUCAACUAGAGGCUUACUAGGGACAUGUUGGUGUCUAUGUAUUCACACAUGUAUUACGAUUUCCGGAUAACACAAUUAUAGCAUGAAUAAAAGAUAAUUAUCAUGAACAAGGAAAUAUAAUAAUAAUCCUCUUACUAUUGCCUCUAGGGCAUAUUUCCAACACUCAUCAGGAUGUUUUGUUCCAUCUCCUAAAAAGGGAUUAGCUAGCAGUUUUUCUAUCAUACCCGAAGGAAUUUCAAAGCAGACAUUUUCAUUUUCAUCUACAUUUUUAGUAGGUUGAGUAGGUUGAGGAGCAACUCUUUGCUCUACUGGUCGGGGUGAAGAUACCCCAAACAAGCCCCUCACACGAUUACUUUCCAUAGUAACAAGUGACAGUAAAUUUCAGCACACUAUAUAAAUUUUCCUUACCAAAUUCCACCUACCAAAGGCGCUUCACUCCCCGGCAACGGCGCCAGAAAAGAGUCUUGAUGACCCACAAGUAUAGGGGAUCUAUCGUAGUCCUUUCGAUAAGUAAGAGUGUCGAACCCAAUGAGGAGCAGAAGGAAAUGAUAAGCGGUUUCCAGCAAGGUAUUCUCUGCAAGUACUGAAAUAAGUGGUAACAGAUAGUUUUGUGAUAGAAUAAUUUGUAACGAGCAACAAGUAACAAAAGUAAAUAAAGUGCAGCAAGGUGGCCCAAUCCUUUUUGUAGCAAAGGACAAGCCUGGACAAACUCUUAUAUAGAGAAAAGCGCUCCCGAGGACACAUGGGAAUAUCGUCAAGCUAGUUUUCAUCAUGCUCAUAUGAUUCGCGUUCAGUACUUUGAUAAUUUGGUAUGUGGGUGGGCCGGUGCUUGGGUACUGCCCUUACUUGGAAAAGCAUCCCACUUAUGAUUAACCUUUAUUGCAAGCAUCCGCAACUACAACAACAGUAUUAAGGUAAACCUAACCAUAGCAUGAAACAUAUGGACCCAAAUCAGCCCCUUACGAAGCAACGCAUAAACUAGGGUUUAAGCUUCUGUCACUCUAGCAACCCAUCAUCUACUUAUUACUUCCCAAUGCCUUCCUCUAGGCCCAAACAAUGGUGAAGUGUCAUGUAGUCGACGUUCACAUAACACCACUAGAGGAGAGACAACAUACAUCUCAUCAAAAUAUCGAACGAAUACCAAAUUCACAUGACUACUAAUAGCAAGACUUCUCCCAUGUCCUCAGGAAAAAAAGUAACUACUCACAAAUCAUAAACAUGUUCAUAAUCAGAGGGGUAUUAAUAUGCAUAUGGGAUCUGAACAUAUGAUCUUCCACCAAUUAAACCAACUAGCAUCAACUACAAGGAGUAAUUAACACUACUAGCAACCUACUAGCACCAAUCCCGUACUUGGAGACAGGAAUUGGAUACAAGAGAUGAACUAGGGUUUUGAGAGGAGAUGGUGCUGAUGAAGAUGUUGAUGGAGAUUGCCCUCUCCUGAUGAGAGGAGCGUUGGUGAUGACGAUGGCGAUGAAUUCCCCCUCCGGAAGACAAGUUUCCCCGGCAGAACAGCUCCGCCAGAGCCCUAAAUUAGUUCCGCCAAGGUUCCGCCUCGUGGCGGCGGAGUUUCGUCCAAGAACAAGGCUUAUGAUUUUUUCCCAUCGAAAGACUUCAUAUAGCAGAAGAUGGCCACCGGAGGGCCACCAGGGGGCCCACGAGGUAGGGGGCGCGCCCAGGGGGGUAGGGCGCGCCCCCCACCCUCGUGGGCAGGGUGUGGCCCCCCUGGUGAAUUUUUUCCGCUGAGUAUUUUAUAUAUAUUAUGAAAACGUCUUCCGUGAAGUUUCAGGACUUUUGGAGCUGUGCAGAAUAGGUCUCUAAUAUUUGCUCCUUUUCCAGCCCAGAAUCUCAGCUCCGGCGUUCUCCCUCUUUAUGUAAACCUUGUAAAAUAAGAGAGAAUAGGCAUAAGUACUGUGACAUAAUGUGUAAUAACAGCCCAUAAUGAAAUAAAUAUCGAUAUAAAAGCAUGAUGCAAAAUGGACGUAUCACCGCCACUCUCCUAGUUAACAUUAGGCCUUGUCGUCCUCGCUGGAACUACACCCCACACCAACUUCUCUUCAGUUCCCCUCCAUCCUACGAUGGUCUCCGCAUCUUCAGUUGUUUGUGUUAUCCUAGCACCGCAUCCACUACACCACACAAACUCGCUCCUCGCUCUGUAGCUUACAUAUUCCUAGGCUACCCCCCUAGCACCAAAGGUUACUGGUGCUACGACCCCGUGUCCUACCGUGUGUAUACCUCCCGACACGUGUACUUUGAUGAGCGGGUUUUUCCCUUUUACCAGGUACCGCCUUUUGCAGAGGACUCGGCGCCCCAUGAUGGUGUCUCGGAUGCGGACCCGGUGUAGCCCCCGGCGCGGCCCCUCCUGGCCCCGGCGCGGCUCCCGCUGGCUCCUCCCGGUGCGGCCUCAGCGUGCCCUCCCGCGGCUGGUCCCUCUGUUGCAACCCCCGCUGUGGGUCCCUCCGCCGCGGCCUCGGCCCCGACACGGCCAUGCAUGGCCCUGAGUGGCCCUUCGGCUCCCACUCGGCCGAGUGGCACGGCUGGCGCCGCCCCGGCCGGCUCCACCACCCCAGUUGGCCCCGCUGCUUCGGCCGGCCCUGGUCCCGCUGCGACGCCGGGAGAGGCGGACUCUUCAUCACCUCCGUCCAUCGCUCCUACCACAGCCGACCCGCCUUCCGCUGGCAUGGUGACGCGGUCCCGUGUCGGCAUCUACCGCCCUAGCACGCGUUACGGUGCCGAUGAGUACGUGUGCGCGGUGUCGACAUCAUCCUCUCCACCGUCGCCCAUCCCCUCGUCUGCACGCGCCGCCCUUCGUGAUCCACAUUGUCUUGCCGCGAUGCGCGAGAAGUUUGAUGCGUUGCAGUGCAACCGCACGUAGCAUCUUGUGUCGCAACCCCUCACGCCAACGUCAUCAGUGGAAAAUGGGUGUUUCGUCACAAGACCAACCCUGACGGUUCUCUCGAGCGCUACAAGGCUCGUUGGGUGGUGCGCGGUUUCCGCCAGCGCGCCGGCGCGGACUUCACCGACACCUUCGCCCCGAUCGUUAAACCAGGCACGAUUCUUACGGUGCUUUAGCUGGCGGUUUCCCGUGGCUGGCCAGUGCAUCAGUUGGAUGUCUCCAACGCGUUUCUGCACGGCCACCUCACGGAACGGGUCUUCUGCGAGCAGCCGACUGGCUUCGUCGACGCCGAGCAUCCCGACCACGUCUGCCUGCUCUCUUGGUCCCUUUAUGGACUGAAGCAGGCCCCCAGGGCGUGGUACCAGCGUAUGGCCGUGUCCCUACAGCAGCUUGGGUUUCACACAAUCCGCUCCGACGCGUCUCUGUUCGUCUAUCAUCAGGGCACUGCCACUGCAUACCUGCUGCUCUAUGUGGACGACAUUAUCCUGACGGCAUCCUCGCCUGGGCUUCUUCAGCAGCUCACGGCUCGUCUUCGCGAUGAGUUUGCCCUCAAGGAUCUUGGAGCACUGCACUACUUCCUUGGCAUUGAGAUCGUUCGCCGUGCCGAUGGGUUCUUUCUGCAUCAGCAGAAGUACGCUCAUGAGCUUCUCGAGCGCGCAGGUAUGCUUAAUUGCAAAACCGCGUCCACGCCUGUUGACACCAAGGCGAAGGUUUCUACUUUGGAGGGUUCCCCUGCGCCGGAUGCGGCGUUCUACCGCUCCAUCGUCGGCGCUCUGCAGUAUCUCACCCUCACUCGGCCUGACUUGUAGUAUGCAGUCCAGCAGGUGUACCUUCACAUGCACUCCCCACGUGACUCUCAUUGGACUCUGGUGAAGCGUAUUCUUUGGUAUAUAUGCGACACUAUGACCAUGGGACUCACCCUGACGGCUUCCUCCUCCAUCGACAUGGUCGCCUACUCCGACGCUGAUUGGGCUGGCUGCCCGGACACGCGUCGCUCUACGUCAGGAUAUUGUGUCUACCUCGGGCUGUCGCUGAUAUCGUGGUCGUCCAAGCGGCAGCCCACGGUCUCUCGCUCGAGUGCCGAGGCGGAGUAUCGGGCAGUGGCUAACGCCGUUGCUGAGUGCUCUUCGCUCCGUCAGCUUCUUCAGGAGUUGCUUUGUGUGGUCCCCAAGGCCACGAUUGUCUACUGUAACAACGUCUCCGUCGUCUACCUCUCCGCCAACCCCGUCCACCAUCGUCGUACGAAGCAUAUUGAGCUCGACAUUCACUUCGUUUGCGAGCAGGUAGCUCUCGGGAAGGUUCGUGUUCUGCAUGUUCCUACCACUCAGCAGUUUGCCGAUGUUAUGACUAAGGGACUACCGACCCCAGUCUUCGAGGAGUUUCGGUUCAGUCUCUAUGUCUCCGGCGACGCUUCGACUGCGGGGGGUGUUGAGCGUACGUUGUACACUGCAUAUGUAUAGGACUUGGGUGUGUAUUUAUACCGUUNNNNNNNNNNNNNNNNNNNNNNNNNNNNNNNNNNNNNNNNNNNNNNNNNNNNNNNNNNNNNNNNNNNNNNNNNNNNNNNNNNNNNNNNNNNNNNNNNNNNNNNNNNNNNNNNNNNNNNNNNNNNNNNNNNNNNNNNNNNNNNNNNNNNNNNNNNNNNNNNNNNNNNNNNNNNNNNNNNNNNNNNUGGGAGACAAGUAGAGGCCGAUCCACCCUGUACCUAUAUAUGUGCACCAUGCUCACAAUCAAUAAUUAUCGAUUCGUGCAAUCUCAUUCUUCCUAACUAACACAGAGGGAGUACAUCAGAAAUACAAGGAGAAAGAUGCCCCGCCUCACACUGGAGCCUGGAGGAACCAUGCUCAGGCACAAGCAACUUCAGCAGUUUGAACCUCAUUUGACAUGAAGUGGAAUGCUCCGAGAGGCAACCAACAAUUUUGGCCCAGACUGGCACAAUUCUGAGGCAUGGCAUUCUCUUCCCAGUUUCACCUCAGUGGGGAUGCUCUAGCCGCCUACGCGCUAGACCUUGGCUUCCGAAAGGGUGUUUUGGCGCCUUUGGAAUUCAGACGUUGAACGGACAGGGACAAGCCAUGUGCCGUGGCGUAGAGGUCGAGCGCGCACUAUCGGCCGGCCGGCCUUUACACCGUCAAUCAACCAUCCUCAUCUCCAUCUUCAUACUUGUCCCCACCAUCCACCAAAGCAACAGCUCCAACAACCACCACUACCGUUCGUUGCAGCCCUCGCGGAUUCAAAUGAAACGGAGAAAACUUCUCCAACCCGCAAACCUCGGGCGUGCUGAUCUCAAUCAUCUGUUUCCGAAGAGUUGGCCAGUGGGGGUUCAUUUCUCUCAUUGGCCAUAGGCCAUAGCAUCACUCGAUUCAGAGCAAAACCUUCUCUCCUUUUUGUUUUUUCUUACUGUUUUCAUCUAGUUUCGGUGGCUUAGGAUCUCGGUAAUUUCUGUUUUCCUUGCUUUAGUUUAGGUUAACUAUCAGCUAGGACAAUCUUAUAUUAGCAUCGUUGUCAACAUUCCAGACACAAACACGGGAGCAGCUAUAGGGAAACUACAGCAACAAAUUAUAACUUAUUAAAUCUUCCACAAUGAGAACACACACAACUGUCACACCGGAGUCUUAACACACACAAGUCUGGAUUCAGUCAGGAGAGAACAUCUUCAGGAGAAUCGACGGCGGAUGCGAUACUAGGCGCUUGAAACAAGACAUCACAAAGAAGCUCGUUAUUUCGGAUCAGCUUUUGGUAGCGGAGGCGAGGCGGCUUAGGACCUGCUCUUGUUGAAGGGAAUUGCUCUGAUGAUCACCUGGUGGUACACGGCCGCCAGGGCAGCGCCCACGAAGGGGCCCACCCAGAAGAUCCACUGCAAAAUCAAACUAGCUUAGGAAUGAAGUUUUUCAGGUAUAUAUAGCCUCUGGUAUUGAUAGGUGAGGCAUGAGAAAACAGAUUGAGUUGCUACACCAUAUCCCAUAGCUUACUUAUUAAACGAUAACGUGCCACUAUGUUAGCAUCAUUGAGGUUGUUAAUUCUAUGAUUAAUUGUGGUUGGUUACAUGCAACACCUGAUGAGCUCAGACUACCCAGAACAUUGUGCACUAACUAUCAACUAAUAUGCCCCACCAUGGCAUGGAAGUGCCGAUUGCAUUUGAUAUGUUCGUCUGGAGGCAGUUUCAUUGUUAGUGGAACUAUUUGCUGAAAAGGGCAAGUAGGUGAGAGUGGGGUUUCACUCACAUGGUCAUUCCAGGCAUGGUCCCUGUUGUAGAUGAUGGCAGCGCCAAGGCUCCUCGCUGGGUUGAUGCCGGUGCCAGUGAUGGGGAUGGUGGCCAGGUGGACCAGGAACACCGCGAACCCAAUCGGCAGAGGGGCCAGGAUCUGUUUUCACAAGCAACGGAUGGAAAAAUGUUACGAUAUGUACCAAAACACUUAGAAAAAUCAUAAUGAGAUGACUAGACACACAAUUCACUGGAGCAAGCAAGAUGAACCAGAGAAUGUAAGUUACAAGCGCGUCAGUUCAUUGUAAUCACAUCAGCACAUCAGUUCAUUGCUAUUCAGUACAAACUACCCAGCUAAUAACUAAGGCAUUGCUAGCAUGUAGCAUCACAUAUAAAACAGAACUGGUGGAGUAGAAGUGUAGAGUACUUACAGGAACAUGGGAGUCUCUGGCAUUCCUCUUGGCAUCAGUAGCAGAGAAAACGGUGUAGACCAAGACGAAGGUGCCAAUGAUCUCAGCGCCAAGGCCAUCGCCCUUGGUGUAGCCACUGGCGACUACAUUGGCGCCGCCACCGUUGCCCGUGUACAGACCCUGCUGGAAGCCCUUCACCACUCCAGCUCCACAGAUGGCCCCUAGGCAUUGCAUAAUUAUGUAGAAGAUGGCCCUGGUCAGGGACAG
rnacentral:lncRNA from 1 species